UUGUGGUGAAAGUUAUCUUUGCGCUUGGGGCAAUGACGCAGCUAGUGAGGUUCUAACCGAGGCGCGUCUAUUGCUGGUUGAAAACUAUUUCCAAACCCCCUCAUUGGCCUGGGCUCCGCCUUGGCCAUUGAGAAUUUUUGAAAGGGCUUCCCUUCUGGGAUAAGCCCUACAAUUCAAGUCUAAGUUUUUCAUUUUAAUCAAUCGUAUCAAAACGGUAAUCAUAUCUCUCAGUUCAAAGUAUAUCAGAAAAGUAGCUUUUUCGACGUAAUAUAGCAGCAUAUGAAGGUAAUGCCCGUAAACUAUUUGAAGGCGACACAAUUUAGAAAACACUCUAAGAGAAAAGGGCAAGAGGAAAUGAAAACAAAGGAGAAGAGGAACUGGACAUUGAAAGAAAAACGGAAUAAAUGGUAAAUGGAAGGAACAAUAAAACAGAUAUCUUUAUUAUAUACCCAAUCAUAUUGGCUUUAAAAUGAAUGAUAUUUAACCAAGUUUUGCAGAUGGAAAGGUUGUGAAAUCACUCCUCUAGGCUGGCUGGCUAACAAACUCUAGCAAAGGUGUGAAACUAAAAUGAGAGGUUAACUGAAUUAAACUUAUACCAAAUGCAACAAACAAAUUGUAAAUUGCUAUCAUUCCGUAUGCUCUAAAAGCAAAACGACCAAAACUUCAAAAUAACGAUCUCUUGCUACAUCUUUAGUGAAGGUAUUUUUAAGCAUGGAGCUAUGAAUAAGCCAAGUGCUUUGCCUGAUGAUGAAAGGCUCUACAAGUACCGAAUAUGGCUAAAUACACUACUAGCUCGAAAAUUCCUCCCCCAGUGAAUUAGGAGGUAUAUGAUCUGAUUCCUCAUCUCUGUUUGACUUGUUUCUUUGAAGAGGCACGAGAUGACUGUUGGAAGACGGGACUAUAUGUGUGUUGCUGAAUAAUAUUGAUAAGAACGAAAGUAUUUGCAGCCAAGAACAGCAAACCUGCCACCCAGAGUUGAAGAAAGACAUUCUUUCCUUUAAAUUCAAGCAAAUAACCCCACAAUAACCAGUGACCCUGAGCUGCCAUCCACAACAAGAUGCAGACCAGUCCUUUUCCUCCGAGCUUCAUGUUGGUCCAUGGCAGGAUUAGUGGCAAGAGACAGAAGAACCAAACAAAGUAUUGAGCAGUCAUAACCUGUCAGAGGAAAAGAACGUUAUCUUGCUAAAGGAAAAUCAAGCUAAUAUUCACUGAUUCUCAACAUAAAAAAUAAUCAAGCCUUGCCAACAAACCUUGUUAAAUGCGACAAAUGCCACAGUCUGCACAAAGAAGCAAAAUGGAAAAUCUUGUGCAAAGCGGAAAACAAGAACUAGCUGCACCAUAAUCUGAGGCAGAAACGAGACGAGCUUUUCCAAGAUAGAUAACUCAUGUUCAUAGUGCAGAUAUAUAUGGUAGAAAUAAAUUGAGAAAUUGUGCCUAGGGUCUGUACGUGUGAGAUGAUAGAGCAGUGCUUCAUGCAAGAAAUCGCAGCCAUAUAAAAAGAAGAAAAUCCCAGUAAGGAGAAAGAACAAAGCUCCAGAAAUAAGCCCAAACAUUAUCCUCCUCCAGGUAAAAAGGCUUGUUAAAAAGUUGCACAUACAACAAGGAUCCAUAAGCUUUUUACAGCUGGAAGUCUGCUGUGACUUACUUUUUCUAGAACUCCAAUUCACAAGAGCAGGUUUUGUACCAUACUGGAAGAACAAGGGAUCAAGAACUAAAAUGAUUGGAAGAGCAUAAAUUAUUGGAUAGAUCCUCAUGUGGACGACAAGCCCAUACCAAAAUGCAGCUUGUACUAAACGACCUGAUCAGGGAAACAUCACCAAAAUCAAUAGAGCGUCAAGAUUUAUAACUUCCAAAGAAAAAAUGAAACCACAGUUCCCAUUAACCCAAGUGGAAAUACAGUUAUCUGACCCAAAAUAUCGGAGGAUUCUUGGAAAAAUUCUCAAUUAAAAAGAGUUUAUUGUUUAACCCUAUAAAGUUCCAGAGUUAACAUUCUCGGUUUCUACUUUCCCUUUAAACUAAAGGUUCACUAUAACUUCAAAUUGCAUAAUAACUAUGAAAAGAAACAGAGGUAGAUUCAGGGCAAAUCUUGUUUCAUGCUUUAUUGAGAAAUCAAGUAAAAGAUGAAUAUUCAGCUUACAUUGAUUGGUUGCUAAAACCUCAUUCACUGUCCGAUAAUUUUGUGUUGGGCCUAUACACCUAACCCUGUGGAGGAGUGGGAGAAAGACUCAAUCUUGAUCGGUGUUCAAUGAGAAUACCUUCUUUUUUACAGUUUCAUCACUUAAAUCAUGAUUCCCCUAAAUACUUCCCCUUCCAUCUGCCCCCCUCUUUACAGUCAUUUACAUUACCCCCAAUAAUAUUGUAAGGUAGAUUAAGGAGACAGGAACCAUUUUGAAAGAGAUAAUAACAGAGAAAAUAGCAGUAGGGAAAUAAACUAUACAUUGAAAAAGAAAAAUUUAGGAGUAAGUUCUCAAUAUAACUAUAUUAAAUGUAAUUAGAAGGUACUGAAAGUUUUACCAUUCAUUAGACAUAGAAUAAUCCAAAGGAUUAUGGCACAGAUGAUGGGCUCACAAUUCCCACGAGUUCCAAUGGUAAAGGUAAAUGGAUUCAAAAGCCAUACCAUCACCGAAUAGGUGCAUAAUUUCUCAGGCACCCCUCUUAGCUUUAGAAUGGCGUUGAUAAGAAAUCCCACGAGAAGAUCUGCCGCACGAACUCAAUGUAAGUUUCAUUAAGCAUAUCUGUUUUGGAAACAUAAUUAAGAUGUCUUCUAAGAAUAUCAAUUAUGCAUUUUUUGCAAUAAGAAGAGACAAUAAACCCACAUACAAGAGUGCAAGUUCAGAAGCUAUUUGUCUACUCUUAGAUUGAUCAUCUACAAGUUCAUGCCCUAAUCAACAAUUCAUCCAGUCUUUAGUUAUACAUCCACAACAACCCCAAAGAUUGCCAAUGAAACCUAAGCAGAUAGAGAUGCAAAAAUCUCUUGGAAACCAUAUACAAGGAGCAUUUGUAUGAGGAAAAACAAGAAUUCCAAAUGAGUCAAUUAAAAAUGGAACCUUUGCGUUGUCUUGAAAUUAGAACCUAACAAGAGCUUAAUACAAAAGUAGGAUUUCAUGUAUCUGUCUGUUCUCACAAAUAAUAAACCCAAAUCAUACGAAAAUUGUGAAGCUCAGACUUCUUCAUCAUUCAACGGGAAUAAAAAGAACCCACAAAAUUGAAGGGACAAAGAAAGAAAAAAAGAAAAAGAGAAGAGAAAGGGAAAAUCUCACCUGAAGCGGAGAAGAUAAACUUUCCCCAAGAAGGAUGAACGAAAGAAUUGGGCACAAGAAGAAAAGCAAUCAAGGGAGAGUAACGAUAUGUAGAUCUUUGAUAAGGGGAUUUUCCGGCAGCAACUAAAGCAGCUGCAUCUGAGAAAACAAGAUAGUCCACAUCUGUGUAUCGAACCUCCAUAUGGGUAUCUUGCCAUUCUCCAUAGAUUAUCAAAAACACCCUAAGAAAGGCUGAGAAUAUCAGCAGCGACUUCAGAUUUACAGUCACCAUCAUUCAGGAACUGAUCGCUCAAUACCCAAAACAACAGAGGAAGGUCUUUUUAUUUAUUUUUUCUUUUAAAAAACAAAACAUUAUGACUUUCCACAAUUCUGUUUCAAUUAUUUCAAGAAUUAAAUUUCACUAAAUAUAAAAAAUUCAGAGUUUGGAUCUUGAAUAGAGUCAAACAUGGACCCUUUUUUAAAUAAAGCAAAGUUAAUUUUGAACUAAAUCAAUCUAGUAUUGAAUUUGGGGUUUUCAUGUUCAAAAGUAAACUUUUAUUAAAUAUUUAACUACAAUAUUAAACUCACCAUUCAAUUAAGCGCUCUAUUUUUGCUUUGACACGAUUAUUAAAAUUUCAAAAUAAGAAAUGAUUUGUAUUUUUUAAAAGAAGUUAAGUAUUUCAAUUGAUGUUCUUGAUCACAAAAUAAUGAAUAUUAGUAUUGAUAAGUUUAGAGAAAAAAUUCCAAGUCAGUUCCUCCUUAAUAUAAAAUAGAUUUUAGCUAAUAAUAUACAUUGUACACUAAGAUGAAGAAGUGUUGAAUAUUUUCAGAAGUCACCAUGUACUCUUUGAAAUUGACUCCUAGAGUAAAUUUCAUCCAAGGUUUCAAAAAACGGUCACCAGCUACCCAUAUUUUAAAAAACUACAAAUGCCAUCCAAGGUCCUAAUAGCUACCAAAAACAACAUCUCUAUCCCAUAAGGUUGUUGGGUACGAUUUGCUUACUCAUAUCACAUUCGACAUACAUCUCUACUCCUUCAAUCUGUGUCGUCUUCACUUUAGAAAACAUUUGUAAAUAGGAAAUUAACCAGGGAAAUUCAUUUCAAGAGUUGAUCAUUCACAUUAUGGGAUACAAUCACUCUUACAUACAAAAAGAAUAAUCAUGAGAUACUUUUUCAUCUUCAGAUUACACUUGCCAUUAGAUUGUCCUCACAAUGGGUUCAGAUUAGGGAAAAAGUUAUCGCCAAAGUUUGGCAUAGGAUAAAAAUAAGAGAAAUAGACUUUCAGGGGGAAAUUGGACAUGUACAACUUUAGAACAAAACAUUGUGGGUAAUAGGAUUUGCUUGAUAUAUUUACUCAGAAGAUGAUCCACUCGGAUCCUUCACUUUAUCAUACUACCUAUUCAGUUUUACUAACAUAAGAAGGUAAUUACAUUAUGAAACUAAGUAAAUACCAGAGGGCAGUUAUAAGAAUUCAUAAACUUAGAUAUCCUAAGAGUAUGUGACUGUUGAUCAACAGAGCUCAUUUAGCCUCAGUAAGUUCUUCUUUCAUAUCGAAACCAGACAGUGCAGCCAGCUCUGAAAGCUUCUUCUCUCCGCUAAGAACCUGCCAGAAUAUUAUAGUUAUAAGGUCCCUCACAGCAAGAUGUUCAUUUUCUUAUCGAACGUGUGAAUGACUGGUGCCUUUUGUAUAGGUUACAAAAUAUUUUUCUAGCAUGAAGAAGGUUCUUGCUCACCUCCCCAUUGAUAACCCAUGUAGGGAACCCUUCGAGUUUUGCUUCUUGACAUGCAUUGAUCAUAGAAAUUCCCCUCUUAAGUCCAUAAGGAAAGCAUUCUACAUAGUCUAGUAACUUUGCUGCUUCUCGUCCAAACAUCUUGUUGCAGUGACACAAGAAUAUACCAAUUUAGUACAGAAUACAAGCCAACUCUUACCUAUACUGCUAAGUGCAUAAUGCAAAUCAGAAUUUCUAGUGGGAUCUUUAAGGCCAUUUUUUAUAUUCUUAAUGUUUAGUUGCAAUAUUGACAAACAGUUGGGGUCAGAACUCUGAGUAUCUGCUUCUGACCUUUAAAGAUUAAUCCACAGAAGCUCUUAGCCAAAUUCCAGCACCAGUAUACGAAAGAAGGAAAUAUAAGGGUCUCUCUUUUUCCCUUUAAUGAUGCUCUUACUUAUUUUACGGAAGACGUUAAUAUUCAACCCAAUAGUAGUUGAUGCAUAUUCAUAUUCUUCCCUACCCAUAUCAUGUUUUGUCUUUUCCCUUAUAGAAUGUUACUUUAGGAAUGUAGCAAUCAGACAACGUGGCUGGAGUCCAAUCAACAUCCACGCUUCACCCUACCUACAUCAUGUCAGAUUUGAUAAUGGGGAAAGAUUUUACUUUCCCAUUUUCUAUGUAUGCAAGUAUUUCUUUCUCUGAAUCUUUUUUUUUGCCUAAUGAAAUGAUGUCACUAUGCCAUUGAGGCAACCAAAAAGGAAAUAAUUUUAGAAAAAACAUCAUUUUCAUAUGCAGUUUUUUUUUUUUUUUUGAGAAACCCAUCAAAAUGCAGUACUAAGAAAGCACAUUUGCAAAAGAAAGAGAACCUGCUUUUGUUCCUGGCAGUGAGAACACCAGAAAGCCCCAUACAUUUUUGCCCCAAUUGAAUGCAGGUGUUUCGCUAGGGAUAUAGCAAAAGGUGUAGACUCUGAUGUGAUCUCUGCUGUAAAGUAUUCCAUCUCAGCCAGAGCAGAACUGCAAAAGAUGGGAAAAGGAUUUUGAGUAAUUGUUCUCUUGAAUAACGUGCAUGAUCUUUUCACCAACUAUACAUUUCAGAUGAUCUAGAGUUUUACCUGUGACUAAAUGACUGCACAUCAAGAGCUUUUCUAUCUUAAAAUGACCAAGAUAUCUUGUUGCUGCUAAAUCUAGAAACUGAAACAAGCUUCUCUUACUUGCUUUAAGAUUCUAGCUUAAAUAAUUCAUGGAAAGUUUUUAUACAAGUUAAUGUGAUUAUCUCUUUAAUCAAUGCCAAUCAAACAUUCACUACUUAAUGCAAAAAAAGAAACUCUUGCCUAUUGUCCUUUCAAUCCAAAGACACUUUGCCUAAUAUCAUCCUACAAUGUGUAAAUGUGUACGGAUUGUUUACCCUGUGUUUGUAGGCUGAGAGUCACUGUAUGAAUUGUUUAGGGUAGAAACCACCAAGAGAACUAUAAGUAACUGUAUACCCACAUCUUUUUGCACCUCUUGAAAGCCCAAACCCUGUAUAUAAAAGAAAUAUCUUUGUCACUACCAUUGCAUAUAGCAAUAGAAGCUAAACAAACAAGUCUGUAGUAGAGAUAACCUUCAUACUGCUGAUGAACAAACUAAAUGACAAUAAGACAGAAGCUAAACAGUACGGACAAAAUUCCCCAGUGAACUUUGUGCUUAGGAUGUACAAGAAGUAUGCACUGGCAGCUGCCAUGGAAGUAGUUGUUCCAAGUAAAACCAAACGCCCAUUAGCUUCACCAGUUCCAAGAGGCCUGCUUUUCUGGCCCAAUUGUAUCCCAAGUAUUGCAACUACUCCAUAAGCAACCAUACCAAUUAAUGGAAGAGGAACACCUGGCAAAUGAAAAAGGAUGAAAACUGAAUCUUUUUCCAAACAUAUUACCUGCAAUUUAAGUGACAUACUGCCUUCAAUUUAAUGAUUUUCCAAUCUGUGUCUUUCAGAUCAAACAAUACAGCUUACAAUGUAACAAAAUUAGCACUGCAUUAGUUAUUAAGUCUGACAACAAAAUACACUACUAUAUAUUAUAAUGUGCUACCUCCUCUGUGAUAUGUAUGAUUACCAUCAAAAGGAGUUAUAACAUUUUGUUAGAAGAACAAAUCACCCCAGUGUUUUUUUUUUUGACACGAUAAAGGUCGAACAAUUCACCUGUGUGUUAUGCACACUAUGCACAUAAAGUAUAUGAGAGAUUUACGAGCAAUUAGAGCCCAAUCAGUACGAGGAUUAGGUGUUGCUACUUCCAGGAAUUGGUUUAUGUUGAGGCCUCACCACUAUGAGAUAAAAUGGGUGCAACUUACAGCAAUGUUUACUGUCAACAUCUUCUUGUCAAGUAUGUUGGACCAAUUGAUAUUGGUUUUUCUAAUUCUGGCUCCACACUGGAGUUUUGUAACCUCACUGCAAUCAAUGUGUGCCGGCUUAUUGUAACACUGAGAUAGGGAAAAGUCCUUUGAUUCAUCAAUGAGUACUGGAAUUGGAGUGGGUGGAAAUGACGGUGACCUUAUGGAGGCGAAUUGGGUACAGCACAGGUUUCUCAGUCCGAUUGCAUUUCUAGGCAUCCCAUUCAUUGAUAAUUCAAACUAUCUACCUUACAGAGUCUCAUUUGAAGACAACCGAAGAUCAUGUAACUUAAAAAAAGGCUAUUAUCAAACAUAUGCUGGUCUAAUUAACAAUAGAUUUCUUCAGCUAAUAACAUCUUGUGUUUAGUAAGGUUUCUUGAAACCAACUUCAUAUUAUGUCCUAAAUUAAUGUUUUAAACAAGCAUAACUUACUCUCUCCAUGUACAACAAUAACAACAUCUAUGUUUUCCUAGUUAGUUGGGUCAGCUAUAUGAACUGCAAAGUUAACAUGCUUUGGCUGGAGUAGUACUGGGAUGGGGUUAUCCCCGGGGAAACUCUGAUUGUGCGAGCUUGCUCUAUAGCUAAUUGCAGGCCCGGAUAAAGGAGGAAGGUUACGCUAGCUUGACAACCCAUAUAGAACUAAUUAAUUUACUACAAUUACUUGCAAUACAACAAAUUUACUAUCACCAUUUAAAAUUAGAAGCUUUACCAUUGUCAUCUUUGUAUGUUUCAUUACAAAGGAUAUGUUUUCAGAGAUAUUAUACUACAUAAAUAGAUGUAUUCCUCUAUUUAUUCUUCCAAACAAUAUUUUCUUACAAACAAAUAAAGCAAUCCUAUUGCAUUACAUGGUCUUCUAUACAACAACAUUACCUAAUGUAAUCCCAAGUGCGGUCUGGGGAGGGUGGCGUACCAUGUACAUCAGAUCUUUCUCCUACCUCAAGAAGGUAGAAUUAUGUGUUCUUUACUAAAAUCUUAAAAAGGGCUUCUUCAACUUCUUAGUCAAAAUAAGACACUAAAUUGAGGUAAUAGGGAUAAAGAUUAUUAUGUCUGGUACGUACAUAAUUCAUAAAGAGAAUCAAACAAGAGGCUAGUCAUAAAAGAGAGACGUGAAUUGGUUAGACUUUGCCAAAACCCUAAAAUAGAAAUUGUAUCCAAUCACUUCUUCAGGUUCCCACCAAUUUUACUUGUACAGAUGUGUUAAUAUCUUCAUAUUAUUCUUUUAAACAAAAAUUUUAGAUAUAUACUUAUAGAAGGUUACAAAGAUAGUCCUAAAGCAGAAAGUUCUUUUAAAGUCCAGAUUUCCUAAAAAUAGCACGGGAUAUUACCAAAUACAGCUGAGUAGCUGCUGUUGAGGAUGUCGCCACAGCUGGCACCAUCACCAACAGGACAAAAUGCUGCAGAGUUAGUUAACUUGAGGAACGUCAAGUAAGAAGUCUCAAGAAACCCAAUCCCACCAAGAGCUGCACACCAAUUGUAUGCUGAAAUGCCUGUAUCAGCAGGAGUAUCUGGCAAUACCACCUUAGAUUCUGAUUCUGUCUCUGCAUCUCCGACCUGCCUUGAUGAGCAGUUCACUCGAAGCAACAACAGUCGCCGAACCGAAUCUCUCUUUAAGAAUCAAGCAAUAAAAAUGUCAACAUUAGAGAAGAAGAAAAAAAAAGUGAAUCUUGAAGAGAUGAAGAGUAACUGUACCUUGAGUUGAACGAGAGAAGAUAUGGAAUUAGAGCGAGAUGGAAGAAGAUGAGAGGUCUGGGUUGGAAAAGGAGAAGAUGAUACGCCGAUGAUACUGGCCAUCAGCUCAGAAUUGGAUACCACCGGCCGUGAGUAGUGGUGGUUUGACUAGCUCUGCGGUGGUUGUUGGUCGUUGGUUGAAGUGCAGAAAAUGUUGCUCGUUACUGAAUACGGGGAUUUGGACCGGAACAAAUUUUGGGCUCUGGCUUAUUUUACACAAAACAUCCUUUGCUAAACUGUUUAGUAAGCCUUUGAACAUUUUUGGGCUUGGAGUUCAACAAGAAAGCAAGUGAAAUACUUAGUUAUUAUUGUCUAAAUGUAAUUUAAUUUCUUGACACAACAACCUAUUGAAAAUAAUAUUUUUUAUUUUUUGUGUAUAGGUUUCACUCGUGAAAUUAAAUUGAAUAUGUUAUUGCUUGUUAUUUAAAUAAAACUUGAGCUGAAACAAAAAUAUUGUAAAUAUAUAAAGAUUUUUUGAGUUUUGAAAUCAAUAUUACUUUAGAUUCAAAAUAUUUUCAAUUAAGAUUAAUUGCUUCAAGUAUUUAUGAAUAUUUAUGGACAAAUUAGCAGUGAAAAUAUUGGUCCUCGCUAACUUUGAGUCACGUUAAUUUUUGAAUCAAGGUCUGAUAUAUUUCUGAUCUAAGAAAUGUUAUAUCCAUCUGGUCAGGUUGCAUAAAAUUUGAUAUGAUUAGUAACAAUGAAAUUUGUGAAAAUGUAUGUAUUGGAACCUCGACUGAACUUGAGAAAGUUGAAGAUUUGCAAGUGUAAAUCAACAUUUCACUUUAAAAAUAUAUCUUCAAAUCAAUAUUAUUUAAAAUUUUACAUAAAAUUUGUAUUUACAGGUAUAUUUACAUUACAAGAAUAAUAAAACAGUACUUCAUGCUCACAAACAGUGUUGUUCACCUUCAUGUUACAAGAGUCGUUUGCACCUACUCUUGAUUUUUCUUGUGAAAAAAAGUUUGUGGUAUUCAAUCAAUAAAUUAUAUAGUUUUUAGGAUGCCGACUUGCCAAGUGAUGUACAUUUUCCCCAAAAUUACUUAAUUAUCAAGAAGGAAGGCGACCUUUUAAACUCAUUGAUUACCACAAUUCUUUUAAAAGAUUUGAGUUUAAUUAUGUACAUAAAACUCUAUAACUAUUCUCUUAUUCCGUUCUUCAAGUGAAAUAUAUGUCCAAACACAACUUCAACUUCUAAAAAUCUUUUUUGAACUACAGUAUUUUUUUUUAAUUUUAAUUUCACUCCAUUCAAUCCAAGUGCCUAUUAAGUCUUUUUUGUUGGACUUUUAUUUGCCCCAAUUUCUUAUCAUAAAUAGAUUUUUCCUUUUAGGAAAAAGUUUUGGAUUGACUAAUCCUUUUUCUGGUAGGAAAAUGUUUAGAAUUCUAUAAAUAGAGACAUGUUCCUUUUAAAUUAAUUAACAUCCACUAUGUAGUCUUAAAGGUUUUGAAAGUUUUGGUUAGGAGGAGAAUUUGUGGAUCACAAGCUUGAUAUGUUAUCACUUGUGUGAACCUCCCAUGUAUUCGUAGUGAAUUGGUUGAGAUUGUUUCUCUCUGUAUUUGUACUUUCAUAUUUAUAAUGGAUUGCUCAUCUCCUUUGUGGACGUAGGUCGAUUGAUCGAACCACGUUAAAUCUUUGUGUUUUUUGAUAUAUUUCUCAUUGCACCUACUUAUUUUCAAUCCUAACAUUUUUAUGGACUAAAACCAGAAAGAAAAGAAGUUGUUAAAAGUUCACUUAAGAAACAGAAGAAGCUAGACCAGAAUUUGCAUGAAAUGUGAGCAAAUAUCAAUAAAGAGCACUCUUUGAAGUUUUCAUUUAUUUUCAAAACUAUAAUGUUUUCAAGUGAGUGCAUCUCAUCUUUUUUAGUUCAAGUUUCUAUUUUCUUAUGUUUGUUUCCCACAUCGGAACCCAAAGCAGCACUCGUACGCAAGUAUUCUGUAAUAAAAGCCAAACACUUACACUGAAUGAAGCAUACCUUUCUCGGCCUUUUGGCUAAGAUCAAGUGUAGUAUCUGUUCUUAUCAGUUUAAUAUCUGAUAUGUGGGUCAUUGGCUCACACGAUAUUAACUCAAUUUUUUAAGGGGAAGGGUCUAUUAAGGUAGCUUGCUGCCUGGGCUCUUGCGCGUCGCCCAUGCGUUGCACUGCUGCACGGGCCUGGCGCACCCCACCAAUUUAAGUUACAAUUUCUUUUGGUCUUUAAUUUCGUUUUGUCUGUGAUUACUGGGGUAAUUUUAAUUCUUAGUACUGUAAAAUACAGUCAUGUUACUCUACUAGUCAAAUACCUUUUUCCCACUUUGUUUUUGGAAAAGCUCCAUCUAUAAGGUAAUUCUACCGAUAGACUUGUAUGGAGGGAGUAUUAGCAUUUGCACAGGAAUGAAUAUAAUGUCCCUUUUGUACAGGAAUGAAUAUUAAUUUGUCAUACUGACAAUGCUCAAUGUCCUCCUUUUGUAAUCCUUUUUGCGUAGAAUCUACUGGUAAGGGUUGUCAUGCCAGCUAUGAAGCAAAUUCUUGCUACAAAAAAACUGCAUCUCAUAUUGACUAUGCUCGUCGGUAUAUAGCAGAAGCCAAAUAACUUUCUAGUCUUUCUCGUAAGCAUACCUUUCUCGGCCUUUUGACUAAAAGAUCAAAGUGUAGUUUAUAUUCUUAUCAGUUUUAUAUUUGAACCAUUGAUUAACACGAGACUAACUUGAUUUUUUGACAGGAUGAGAUCAUUAUGGUGGUUUACUGCCUGGCCUCUUGCGCGUCGCCUAUGCGUUGCACUAUCGCACAGGCCCCGUGGAGGUAUAAUAUUUUGUUGGGCCUUUUCUUUGCCUUUCCUGUUUAGUUUAGUCUAAGUAUUCAAUUACGCGGUUAAGUAAAUUUAUACUACUUAAUUAUUCAUCAGAUUAUACUAUUUAAUUACUCAUAGCUAUAAUUUGCUAUAAUUACCACUCAGGACAAACAUUAUUAUAUUAAUCAUGUGGGCUACUUCGAGUUUGUAUAAUCAACUAUAUUUGUAUAUGUAUAAUUCGCCAGAAUAUACAAAUACAUAUGUAUAAUAUACAAUUAUUUAAUUUAUAUAUUCACAUCUCUCCCACUCUCUGGCCUUUUUUCGCUCGCCUCUCCCCUCGCUCUCCCAGUCUCGCUUGCUUUUUAUACAAAUGCAUAUGUAUACUAUAAUUAUCUAAUCAAUAUAUACAUAUACAUUCACCUCUCUCCCACUCUCUGCCCUCUCCCGCUCCGCCUCUCUCCUCCCUCUUCCAAUCCCGCUCGCCUCUCUCCUCUCUCUCUCAAUCUUUCUUGCCAUAUAUAGAGAUACAUACUAUAAUAUACAAUUAUCUAACCAAUAUACAUAUUCAUUCACCUCUCCCCCUUUUGCCCUCUCUCUCCUCUCUCCUCCCUAUAACAUGUAGUUACGAUUUGUAAUUAUCAAACUAGAAUUAUAAUUAUCAAACUAUAUAUAUGGAGAGUAAUUAGAAUAUUUUUAUGUGGUUAUAUGUAAAAGUUCCCCAUUAUUUAUUAAUGAGAAAAUAGUCAAAAGCCCCUCCCAGCUAUUAUCGAAUUCUCAACUACACACUUAUUCUUCACGGGGUCCUAUUACCCUCCUGAACUUUUUUAAUGUGAAAUAUCCCUACAAACUCACGCCCAGAUUUUUAUUAGGUGGUACUCACCACGCGCUUCUACGUAAGAUUACCCUUUUUUUCAUAUAAAAAAGUAAUUAUUCUUUUAUAUUUUCAUCUCCUCCCUUUUUCUUUCUUUUCCCUUCCUCCAUUUCUUUUUCCUUCCUCCAUUUAUUUUUCUUUGAAGCUUCUGCAAAUUGAUGAGAGGACACCAUGACUAUCAAAACUUCAACCUUCACCAAAAUUCUAGACACUAACAAAUUUCGUUUACUAAAAGUAUAGACAAAUGAAAAAGUCUAUCACUAAAUAUUGCUUCUUCUUUUGAUACUAUCAUGUUUCUCAAAGAUUGAUUCUUCAAAGAAUCACCAGUAAAUGAUACUUGCUUGCCGGGAUAAAGGUACCAAACUUGGAGGGACCAGUAUUGAUUUAGAUUUUAUCAAUGUUUAUAUGAGAAAUUUGAUUUAUAUAUGUACAACAAUUGUAAUAAAUGGCUAAUGAUGAAUUCUUCUCCAUUAAUUGAAUCUAUUACAUAGUGAACUCCUCCAUUAAUACUAGUCUAAAGUUAAAUUCUCUUGAUUUUGAUUUUGAGCUACCAACAAAUUUUUAAAGUGAUGAAAAGUAGAGAUAGAAAAGUAUGUGAUUUGGUGAUGAGAUUGACUUAAUGACGAAAACCUAAUGAGAGCGGUAACCUGGUAGCCGAGUUGAGCCACCGCCGUUGUCUAAUCUGAUGAUGAAGAUUGAAGGGAAGAGAUAAAGAAGGUAAAAAAUAAAUAAAAAGAAACAUAUUUUUAAUUAAAAAAUAGAAUAUUAAUAUGAAAUAAAGUUAAUAUUUUAAUUAUCUUUUUAUCUCUCACUCUCACUAUCCCAAAGAGAGCGAACUACACCUUUGCCACAUUAGCUUUUAGGAGCAAAUAACUCCAUUUUUAAAAUAGUUUAGGAGUAUAAUUAAAUCCUCGUAAAGUAUAAAUAUAUAGCUAGGAAAUCGAGUAUAAAUUGGAGGACUUUUGACUAUUUUCUCUUUUAUAAAUUGAAUGAAGUAAUGCACAGAAUUUGUAAUUACGUGUUUGACCAAAUUCCUGAAUGUAUUAUGGGCUAGUUUGUGAGAAGUAGAAAAUUGAGAAUCUAAAUUAAGUGUUAGAUACGUCAUGUUCUAACAUUUUUUAGUAAUUGGGGUAGUAAAUUACCAUAGUUGGCACCUGUAUAUAAAUCAUAGUAAUUGGGGGUAGUAAAUACUACCAUAAUUGGCACCUGUAUAUAAAUAAAUCUUAGUAAUUUGGUUAGUAAAUACCAUAAUUGGUACCUGUAUAUAUUAUUAUCCAAUAAGAGAAAAUAUCGUAUCUGACCUCUCCUAUUAAAAACUAUUAAAUAAAUUAGGCAUCCCUAAAUACAAAUUGAUCAAGUCUAGAUAACUGCAUUUAUAAUCUUCAAUAUCCUUAUAACGAAAUUCCUAAGCCACUUAACGGGUUUUUGGUUCAGUUUCAGUCUUUUCUUUUUUUCUUUUUGGAAUUUCAGUUUUUUGAUUUAGUAUAAUGGUGCUCUUCCAUGUAUCUAAAAAUCAAUUUUUAUUAUUUAGAAAAUAUUUUAAAUCUAAAUUCACCUUUUAAUCCAUUUUGUUACUCUCUUUACUCUUUAGUUGCCACAAAUUAAAUCAGAAUUUUUUUUAAAAAAAAUCAAAAUUUCAUCUAAUACAAAAACGUUGUAUGUUAUUGAUGUAUGUUUGGUCAAUAAAUAGUUUGGUCUAAAAUUAAAAAAAAUUGGUCCUUAUACUUUGAUAAUGUGGUGCUCAUUUUAUUUUUCAUUUGCACUUACAAAAAUAUUUUAAAAUCAACGAAUUAAAUCAUAUCGAAGCGAGAAAAAAUCAAACCCAACUUAUUUGAUUCGAUAUUUACUAUUUGCUUUUGAAAAUUAAAAAAUUAAAUUUUUUAAUACAGUAAAAAAAGCUAUCGAAUUUAUUCGGACCGAUAAAUUGUUAGAAGAAUCUUUAACAAGACAUUUUAUUACUGAUUAUGAAUAUGACAAUAUGUAACUGAUCGAGAGGUGAAUAAUAAUAUUAAGGACAUUGAAAAGUGUGCUUGUGGAUAAAAGGAGGUUAGACUAGAGAUAAAUUAAAAAAAAAAAAAAGUAGGUCCAUUUGGAACUUAUCCAACCAUAGAAUAAUCCAAGUCACUCUCACAUCAUUAUCUGAAUUAUUACAAGUUGUGCAAAAUUGGGAUUCACAUACAUAAUUCUUCUUUACGUGUCUAUCUAUCCAUACACUUGAAAAAAAACCCUCCUGUCUUCACCCAUAAAUAUCAAUCUCCCUUUCAUUUCUCACCAUCAAACAAAAUAAUUGAACAACUUCCACAGGAACAAACAAUCAUGAGAACUAUUUCCCUUCAUUCAACCUCAUUUUCACUUGUUGAGUUCCAUGGUACCAAGAAUUUGGCACAAAGGUAUAUUUAUAUGCAUUGAAAAUUUUCGAUUGAGUUCAUUUUUUCUUCUUCUUCCAAUGGGUGUUUCUUUUAACUCUGUUUUGUGAUUUGAAUGCUACUAGCAGCAGGAUCAAUAGAUCGGUUUCGUUGAUUCCAAUGGCGAGGUCUCAAUUUCAGCCUAAAAUAAGACGUGACAUUGGUACUAGCAAUAGAAAUCCAAGUUUUAGGUGGGUUUUUGAGUAUAUCCCCUGUUUUUGUGUUAUUUCUCUGUUUUUGGCUUUAAAAUGGGUGUUUGAACAAACAAUUUUUGUAGCUGGAUGGCAACAGUUGGAGAGAAAGUGCACAACUCCACGGUUCCUACUUCUGUUCCUGUUCGAGUUGCACUUGAAUUGCUUCAAGCUGGCCAUCGUUAUUUAGAUGUCAGGUAAUGCAAUUUAUGUAAACAAAAAAUAUGCCCUUUAAAUAUUUAUACUAUUUCUUGCAAUAUAUGAUCAGAACAAUUUAAUUUUUUAUCAAUCGUUUGUAUGGAAGAUUCAAUAUUUUAAACAUUUUUUUUUGCGCAGAACUACUGAGGAGUACAAUGAUGGGCAUGCUGCUGGAGCCAUAAACAUUCCUUACAUGCUUAGAAUUGGCUCAGGUUUGAUUAUUAGUAAUUUAAUACUACUCCCUUUUUCUGAGUACUCGAUGUUAACAAUAUUUAAGUUUUUCAAAUAUUUUUUUUACCAGUGUCCUCCUUAUGAUGCAUGAUAGAUUUUUUUUUAAGUGUCAUCGAGUUCUCAAAAAUUGAAAUGGUGGCAAUUAUUAUGCCUGGUUUCUACUUUCUGGGUGUCGAAUGUUUACAUGUAAAAUGUAUUUUGUUCAUCUUACUUCUCUUUCAAUUUUCUUACUUGCUCAUAAACGGAGGGUUAUUUAAUUUUAUACACAUGACUCUGUUACAAUUCUCUGGUACCAUUUUUAUUUCUUUGAAAAUAUUUUGGCAACUUAGCAAACAUAAAUCAUACAGAACUAGAGUUUUAGACCAACUUAAAGAACACUGUAUUGUUUGGUGGUGUACAUAAGAGUGAUUUUUGGUUAGUCUUUGAAGAUAAGUUUUUCAAGUAUCUUUUUUCCUUCUUACGAAAAUGAUUAUUUUUUUUUCGAGUGAAUUGCAUGUUUGAACACAAUUUUAACUUUCAAAUAACCCUUUUUUAACUUCAACUUUAGAUACUAUAUUUUCUAGACCAGAAUUUGCAUGAAAUGUGUUCAAUUAUGAACAAAGAGUACUCUCUGAAGUAGUACUCUGAAGUUUUAUUGUUUUUCACGGUGAUGUUUUAUGCUACUGCAUCAAGUUUCUGUUCUUCUUUGAGUGGUAUAUUAGUUUCCCACAUCGGAACCCAAAGCAGGACUCGUACGCAAGUGUUGUGUAAUAAAAGCCAAACACUUACUCAGUAAUAGGCAUACCUUUCUCGGCCUUUUGGCUAAGAUCAAGUGUAGUAUCUGUUCUUAUCAGUUUAAUAUCUGAUAUGUGGGCCAUUGGCUCACACGAUAUUAACUUAAUUUUUUACGGGGAAGGGUCCAUUAAGGUAGCUUGCUGCCUGGGCUCUUGCGCGUCGCCCAUGCGUUGCACUGCUGCACGGGCCUGGCGCACCCCACCAAUUCAAGUUCAACUUUCUGAUUGUGUUUUUCAUAGUUUUUCUGUACUUUUUCUACCCUAGAUGCAUAAUCCCAGCAGUAACAGUUUCAAGCGUUUUUGCUCUGUAUAUGUGGUGCAGGGAUGAUAAAGAACCCCAAUUUCUUGGAGGAAGUGUUGGAACAAUUCGGGAAGGAUGAUGAGAUUAUAGUUGUAAGUCAGCAAAACUAGUAGUAUAUGAUUUUUAUUUCAAGCUUCAAUUUCAUGAGGUAAGGAAUUAUCAAUUUCCUUUCUGCCUUUUUGUUGACUUGGCAUUACAGGGAUGCCAGUUGGGUAAGAGAUCAUUUAUGGCUGCAACUGAACUUCUUGCUGCUGUAAGUCCCUUGCAUAAUACAGCUUUAGAAUAGAAAAUUCUUGAAAAUGAAAGUAUAAUAUAAAUAAAUCCCAAAGUAAUUUCGGCCAAAAAUUAAGAGUCUUAGAACGUGUAAAAGAUUGAAUUGUGAUGUAAUAAAUCGACACAUCUCAUUAACUGCCUGCUAUAUAUUGUGCAGGGAUUUACUGGGGUGACUGACAUUGCUGGUGGAUAUGCUGCGUGGACAGAGAGUGGACUUCCGAUUGAGUCUUGAAGGCCUUUUAUUUACUCACAUAUAAAAAGGGUAGAUUUUUAAAUAAGUACACACCAGUAGUCAACAUGGCGAAAUCAAUUCCCUUUCUUCACAUCAAAAAUUAGAAGGAGCAACUUGCAAAAUCUCUUGUACAGUAAUUUAUAGCAGGUGAUGAUGAUAUUCGAUGUGGGAGAAUCUGUAUUGCAAGAAAUAUGUGUAAAUAUUGUUCUCCUAAUUCUGCUAUAAUAAAUAAUAUUUGCCUGAAAGGCCUCUCAUCUGCUCAUAACUUCUUCCCUCUACCAAAAUGGUUGCAAUGUUUGCUUUCAUAAAGAAAUUAUAAAGUAAAGAACAAAGCUGUUAACUAUCCGUGAUUUUUUUCAGGAGCGGCUCAAGCAUGUUAGUGGGCUAAAAUAAAAAUUAAACGGGGUCUUAAAUUUGAAUCAUCAAUAACGUUUAUAUAAUUGAUUUCUUCUAGUUUUUAAUCGAUUUAUUUUAAAUUAUUUCUCAGAACUCUAAAUAUGUCAAAUUUCUUCUAUAAUUCCUUCAUUUUUAUGAAAAGUUUACUUUUUCUACAAAUAAUAUUUAAUAUUCGUUAAAAAAUAAUAACUUAUAACCUAUUAUUAUUAUUAAAAACGAGGCUCUAUAAAUUUGAGGGUUUAAAAUACUUGUCUAUUUUUUUUAAUACUGUCAAACGAAAAUUGCAGACUUGUACUACUUUUUUUUGUUUUUGUUUUAUGUUCUUCGGAUUAAUUUAUAACAAGAAAAACUAACAAGCCAGCUUUAUUUUACUUCGUUGCUUUGGAUUGAAAACAAAGAUAAAUAAGUAGACGGUAGGUACAUAUAGAUUAGGUGGUCUAAUUGAUCAACACACAAGGAAAAUUAAAUAAUCUCAUUCUUAAAUUAAGGAAUCUUAACGAAUAACAACCAGAUGGAAAUGAUUAAAAAGAAUGGUUAGGCAUUUGCAAAUUUGAAUUUUCUAGUGUGAAAAACAUUUACACAAUCAAUAAUUAGGAUAACUUUUGCAUAUAGCCAUUCAAAAAUAGUUUAAUUAUGUUUUAUAGCUAUAAUUUGCUAUACGAUACUUAGCUAGGCGAAUUGUAUGUGUAUAAUUGUCAAAUAUAUAUAUAUAUAUAUAUAUAUAUAUACACAUAUGUAUUUGUACAUCUGGCAAUCGAGAUCGAAAGAGGGAGGAGAGAGGCGAACGAGAGAGUGCAUAGAGUAAAGAGCGGCGAACAUAACUGUCAGAUAAUUGUAUAUAUAUAUAUAACUCAUAUACAUAUGUGUUUGUAAUAUCUGACGAGAGAGAUUGUGGGAGGAAGGAAAGAAAUGUGAGAGAGUGGAGAUAUGUAUAUUUUGUAUCUGUAUAUGUAUAAAAGAGGGCAAAUGACGUAAUUAAAGCUAAAAUGAUGUUGUGAGCCGAAUUGAUUCAAGCUAUAACUAUAUUAGCUAAUUAGCUAGUAUAUGUUUGCUUUUCCGCGUAAUUUUUCCUAAUUAGAUGUUAAACAUUUAAGAUACAUAUUAAUUGAUAACUUGCUAAAAAUGGUAAUUAUAUUGGUCUAUUAUAACAUAUUAACAUGUUAAGUUAUAUUGACGUUACGUAUAUAAAAACUAAAUCAAUCCCCUUUUUUAGUUUUAUGUUUUUAUCGUCUUUUGACUUUUGUAGAAAUAUUAGGAGUAGUUGGUAUAUGUUGAAGCAUUAGUGGCCCCCUGCCCUGGUGUUGGAAUGGUCCUUUGAAAUACUUAAAAGUUACACAAAAUCAAUUUCAUCUUGCCACGUUCUAGUAGACCCAUUGUUCCAUUCUCUUACUUUACUAACAAACAUGUUGCCCACGCUUCCUUAUUUCCACAAUGUUACAUAAAAUCUGUGUCCAAUUCAGUAUCUCUGCUAGAACUGAGUUUGAAAAAAAGAAUAUCAAAGAUGAGGAUGUCCAAGAAGAAUUGGUUUGGUAAUAUCAGAAAGAAACUAUUCAGAUCACAUAAAAAUAUCAUUCUUCUUCAUAACAACACAAUUACCAAUAGGAACAGCAGCGCCAAUGGACGCUCAUCUACAAACAAAAAUAAUGUGCACACCUAUUUUGUGUCUAAAGAGGAUAUGGCUGCUAUUACUAUCCAAUCUCAUUUUAGGGGUCAUCUUGUAAGUUUUACUCAAUUACCAUAUUCUUCUUUAAUUUCACAUAACUCACUGAGAAAAUGCAAAACAUAUUGUCACUUACUUUUCCACGUGAAACAAUAACUACAGUACUAUUUUUCUUCCAUAUCGAUUUACACGUGAAAAAUAUCUGUGGGAAUAGACAUUGAACAUUUCUCAAUGGGAAAUUUCGCAUUUAUUAAUACAUGUGUUGUUUGAUUCAAUAUUUUAGGCGAGACGGGCGUUUAAGGCACUCAAGAGCCUUGUGAGGCUUCAAGCAGUGGUGAGAGGGGCAUGUGUGAGAAGACAAGCAAGGAUAGCUCUGCAUUGCAUGCACGCCCUUGCACGGUUACAAGUUACUGUCCGAGCUAGACAACUCCUCAGCAAGUGCAAUGACCGUUGAUAAAAGAAUUUUUUUUUUGGUGAUCUGAUAGUGUGUAAAAAAAAAAUAUUUUACAACGUUAAAGUACGUAUAGAAGUUAAAUUCUUGUGCUUCUUGUUUAGAACUGGUAUUGCAACUAACAAAUUUAAAAUAAGUGUAAAUCGUGUUGUUUCCACUGUUGCAUUAGCAUAUGGUGUUUUCUUUUAGAUUUAUAUAUAGAUCUUAUAGGUGUGCUUUUUGUAAGCUUUUGAAGAAUAUGUCGAUUAUCUGAAAGAUAUGAAUGAUGUUCUUCUAAAGUACAUCUAUACACUAUGUGCGCAUGUGGUUACGUUGUAAGAUGAUCUAACAGUUAAUUCUUUUCCAUCUCUUAGUACCAAAAAAGUUAUGUUUUCAUCGUUAUUUCUUUUUAAACUAUACGCCUAGGAUCUAGGAACCUCAAAUUUCACUUCAAUUCAAUUGCAGAAGGUAUCAAUCUGUCUAUCUCUACACAUUGAAAGCUAGUCAAGGGGCAGAAAGAGGUUUGCUCAUUCAUUGUGAUGAUCGUUAUAUUUUAUAGACAUCUUGGUUUACGAAGCAAUGAUCUGGUGGCUAGAACCAGAUAAAGAGGAUGAAAAUUCUCAAUAAGAAAGGUACAAAAAAGGGUUAGGAAUUAGAACUUGCGCAAAUUCACAGUUAUUCUGUAGAGAGUUGCCAAAGCUUUACUCACCAGCUUGCACCCCUGACUAAAUUAGGAAUAGUAAAUGAAUGCCAAGCGACAUUAGAUAAAAACCAUGAUUUUCAAAAACUAAUCAGAUCAAGUUUGGAUAUCAGAGAAUCUGUACACCGAGACAAAAGCUGAAGGCCGAUCAACCUCCUCUCUUUUAGUAAAUUCUCAGUGAUUGCCCUUUCUAAGAGACGAGAAAAAGCCACCGAUUGAUUUGUCCUUGUGUCUGUCCUCUCCAUCAUCUCCAACCUGUUUUUACAAACAUACAAACCUAGGUUCAAAGAAUGAACAAACUUAAAUAAAACCAAGCUUAUAAAAUAAAAAUGCCCACCUCCUUUGUUAGUUGCUUCAGAAUAUCCAAAAUCUCCGAGAAAUCUGGUCUCUGUGUUGGGUCUUGCUGCCAGCAUUUUUCAAGAAGUUCAGCAAGCUUUGGAUGAGUGCUCUUAGGAAUUGUUGGCCGUAGACCCUGAUAACCAUGUUAAACCAAAUGUGUGAGGUGUUGGUUUAACUGGGGAAGAUAUCAACAGUACUAAUGAUGACAGUGGACUUUAUACUACCUGUUGCACCACACCUAUUGCUGCUUGUAAUGGUGUUAAGUAUGCAUAUGGAAUCUGCUCCAUCACAGAACAUGAACAUUAGUUGAGGUGUCAAGCAACUAACACGUGAACACAAAUACAUGCCACGCAGAGACUUACUUCUCCAGUCAGAAGUUCCCACAGCACUAUACCAAAGCUGAAAACAUCAGCCUUGUGGUCAUACGGUUUGUGUUCAAUCACCUUCAACAAAUAAAAACCAUUUUAAGUACGACACUUGCAUGCAGCACGAUGUUUAAGCACAAAACUGGGAUACAAAUGACGGGGAUAAUGUAAGAGAAUGUUGUAGUAUUAAGAGGAAAAUAAGUCAAAACCAUUUACCAAGAGGUUCAUAUUUUUAUACUUAAUAUUGCAGAAUCAAAUGUAUCUCCAUGGUAUACUGUAAAGGAAUCAUGCAAUGCAUAUUAACAAGUAAUUCUGGUAGAAGGUUAUUGAAAUCUCCUUGUGCAUGAAGUAUCCAAGAUGCAUCAAGGUGAACACAGAAACACAAUUCACAGCUGUAUGAAAGUGAAAAGGUGACAACCACACUAAGAGUGUGAAAACAAAAUCCAAGUACAAGGAUAAAAUUGCAAAAGUCAGAGAGAAUCACACAUAUUAAAAGCACCUCGUGCUUAAACCACACAAGAUGCUUGAGGUGUAUCCCAAAGCACUAGGCCCAAAUCAGCUCGAGGGGAACUAUUGCAGUUAUUUUAUUGUGGAAACAAAAUCUAAGCACGAGGAUAAACGGAAAAUUAGUGAGUAAUCAUGCAUAUCUGUCAGCAAGAAGAUCAAAGAACUUAAAAUCAUGAAUUUCAAUUGGAUUGAGGAUAUUGUAGCAUAAAAUUAAGUUCAGAUCUUCUGCACCUCAGGAGCCAUCCAUCUAUACGUUCCAGUUUCAGCUGUCAUCACCCCAGUUUGAGUCUGCACUCUAGCAACCCCAAAGUCACCAACCUUAACAACCUGUUAAGGAGAGGAUGGAUCUUAAAAGUCAGAGUGAACAUUCUGUAAACAAAUCAAAUAACGUGGGAAGUAACUCUGCCCAGCAGCAAUUUAGGUGUUGCUGUGUGAUUAAGCAAAGUUCAUGAAUAAAUUUCCUUGGAAAUGCAAAAACAGGUGAUAUAGAAAUUAACAAGAAACCAUGUACUAUUUUGGACUUCACGUUUUUCAAAAUAUGAACCAAACUAAAUUCCCACUGAUCAAGCUUUAAUACUGUGCUACUAUUACUCAUAGAUUUUCUUUCUAUAGAAUUCAAUGAGUAAGUGGACCGUGCAAAGGAACUUUUCCAUCAACUUUAUUUGUGGCAUUUCUUCUAAAGGUUUUAAUAUUGCAGUCCAAUCACGGCUUAUGGUUCUUUCUCUUAAAAUAGUUUUUAGAGGAUAUUGUCCAUGUUUAGACAUUUCAAAUAGCCUAUUAACAGGGUUCUGAUCAAUGAAAAACCUUGGACUUCUAAGUCAUACAGAUCUCACUGUUUGCAUAUUAACCUUGAAUUGCCUUCAUGUUUAAUUGCACCCAAAUUUUUGCGUGAGAAUGUAUGUACCAGUUUUAGGAUAGCUUAUUAACAGAUGAAAUGAUACACUAGACUCCAAAAAUAUAAUAAUCUAGACAAGCUUUUUGAAACAGUUGCAGUACAGCUCUGACUUACUCCAUGUUCAUCCAUCAGAAGAUUGGCAGUCUUCAGAUCACGAUGAAUUAUGUUAUUUUGGUGCAGAUAACUCAUUCCCUUAGAAACAUCAAUUGCAACCUUCAGGAGAGUAGGAAGCUUAAAAGCACCUCUUUGCUUGUGCAAAAAAGUAUAGAUGCUUCCUCUGGUCAUGAACUCUGAUCAAUAAAAUUAUCAGAUGCACCUUGUCAUUAACGUGAUGAAGAAGGAUAGAGGUACACCAAAAAGUUACAAACAUAAGCUGCCAUUCAAGUGCAGUAGUGUGAGGAGAAAAUUCAAAAUUUGGAAAAUGAAUAAAAGCACACCUCUGCAUAUUAAACACUACGUAUCUGCCGGCGAACAUUAUAUAACAGUAUUCAACAGAGAACAAACAGUUUCUCCAAUUUAUUAACCGACUUAGAAGUUCACUUUAAAUAUAUAAAAUCUUGAAAUAUACCUGUCACGAUGCACAGGUUGGGAGGUCGUGUGCAUGCCCCUAUAAAUUGAACAACAUUUUUGUGCCGAAUUUUCCUAAAACAUAGCGAGACAAGAUCUCAAAACUUGGUGAAAGAAAUUUAGAAACAAGAAAUAGGACGUUGGACUGAUAAACACAAAUUUAGUUAUAAAAUUCAAAUUCACAUAUCCACUAAUGUUUAAAUUUGUAAUUAUUCCAAGACUUUAAGUGUGACUGGCAGAACCUAGUCCCUAGCAUUAUGUAUGAUCCAUCCUUUUCAUCCAAAUAGCCUAAUGCCACUAAAAAGAAAACAAAAUAGCUGAGAUCCGCAUAAAGAAGAAAUACCUAGUGACUCAACAAAGUAUAAAGGAAACAGGACAUUCAAUUUACACGGCAAGAGUAAAAUAUUGUAAGAUCUCUAGUGGCACAGAACAAAUUUUUUCAAUAGAGUACGACUCUAUCUAGGAGUAAAAAAACAAUCCCUCAAAUAGACUUUUAACUAUGGAAAGAUUCUCUAAUAUACUUGAACAAUAGUGAAGUUAUGCUGAAAGGGAUUCUCAACCAUGAUAGUACAACAGACACACCUCAUGAUAAAGACCUCUUGAGAGAACUCUUUUACCAUAUCCAUAUUCAAAUUUUCAGGCUUGAGAACUUUUAUAGCCACUUCCUGGCUACAGUAUGUACCUUUAUACCUGAAAAAGACACAGUAUAAGUCCACCGACUCAACAAACUCAUCUGGAAAUCAAGAUAUGGAUUGUUGGCUCAUACAGAUCUCCAAAUGACCCAGAUGCUACUUUAUUUUCAAAUUUCAGCAGGCGGAUAUCAAUUUCCCAGUCAUCAGAUCCAUCAGUAGGUAUUUUUACACUAUCGGAGCCUGAUUCAGAUGUUUGACCUGGUUCACUGAUUGGAGGCAGGACUUGUGGCUGCUCCUGAAAAACAUUACCAGAAGACAAAGCACUGAGACCAUCUGUUCAAUAUGAUAAUCAAAAUCUAGAAAACUAUAAAAGAAAACUUGUUCAAAUUUGAACCUACAAUUAGUAAGUUCAGUUGGAAUUAUGUUUUAGUCAGUUACGAAAGUUUAUCCUCCUAUGCUUUAGGAGUCCUCAGGGUCGUGUCAAAGGCUUAUAUGCUAGUAGGAAAAACAGUGAACUGUUAGUACUUUUUAUUUCUAUUUGACAACAUAGAUUUGAGAUGAGCUUAAAUAUAAGGUUAGUGAUCCAUACAACUGACCCCAACUUGACUGGAUUGAGGCAUAGUUAUUGUUUUGAUUCCUUCUAUCAUUUUAUAACCAAGGAUUAAUGGUGGGGGAAGAAGAAGUAAUGGGUAUUUAAAAGUGGGGCAGACGACUGUAGGAGAAGGGGGAAAUUUUUCGUCAAAUUUUGCUUCAAACGCGCCUAGAGGCGGUGACAACACCUCCCAUGACAGGUCAGCACUUAGGUGGGUAAAAAAUAGAUAAAAAUAUAGUUUAGGUGGGUAAUGGGACACCCGUGUAGUUGGAGUGUGUAGUUGGAUUUCGUGUAUAGGUUGGGGGGCUUUUGAUCAUUUUCUCGUUUUGUUUUCUUACAAGCCCAUUUAACAUAAGUAUCCUACCAACCUACGAUUUUGUCAGGCAUUUGAGCCCAAGUUGUCAAGUAAUUAUUAAGUUGAGCUUUAAAAUUUACUGUGAGGAUUCACAUUUCUUUUUUCAGAUGUAACCUUAGGACCUCCGUUAUGCGCUGUGAAGCAGGAUGUUAGAGAAUAUCUGCAUGACUUCUAAACCUGCUAUGCAAUACAUAUAUGAACCAUAAAUUCAGUUGAUGUCAAAACUUACUUGAGCUAUAGCUGUGUCUGCAAUAACUGAAACUAAUUCGGGGAGAGUUAGCAACAGAGCAUUAACAGCAUUACUGUAGUAGAAAUAACAACUCUCUUCAAUAAAUUUGUCUGGAAUAUUAAUACGAUUGUUAAGUAUGCUAUCUUACUCAUGGAAAGCAUCAGACUAGCAAAAGUGAGCCAGAAAUUCAUAGAAUAUAUAUUUUGAGUAUUUUUUUUAAAAAAAAUCUGAUCUUAAUAACUAAGUGGACAACAUACAUUAACUAUAAAAUGCAUAGCACCAUUAUGAAGACAAUACAGCAAGAUCAGCAUUUGAAGAUAGCCACAUAAAUCAUAUUAAGUAGAUAAUAUUGAGUGCCAGAAUUAAUAUCUACCUUGCUCCUCAUAACUUCCUUUUGCACCUCACUCUUAAGCAACUCCGUCUCCUAGAAUUUCAAACACAGAUGAAUAAGUAUAAAAGUAAAUUACUACAAAAGGGAAAAGAAGAAGAACGAGGGGUUGAAUUUCCAAACUUCCAUUUUAAAAAUAUACUAGAUCCUCAAUUCACCAAAUAACAUCUCAAGGUUUGAACAACCUAUUAAGAGAAAAUAUAUCUAGUUGAAAAAUAUGACUAGAAUGAGAAAGUUAUCACUUAUCAGUACUAUAGUUGUUCAUCCUCACCAUCUCAUAGUAUAUAACAAUAUUUCACACUGGACAUAUCAUAGAUUUUAGUUUGAUAUAUAUUACUAUAUUACUAACAGUAGAAGAAUAUAUACUAAGGUAUGCCAACAAAGUUGGUUUAAACAUUUGAUGGAAAAAGAAAUCACAUCACAGUUCAGAGUUUAGAAGUUUGAUGAGUUUGAAUUAUUGAAAGAUGUAUAGGAAUGAAACGGUGUCAAAUAUUUCAGGGCUGUCCAAAAUUGAUGGGAGCCAUAUAUACUGGGACAUGAGGACGAAAAAACAGGGCUAAAACUAACACAUAAUCUACUAAAUGAUCAAGGAACAUAAUUUCAAAAACUUAACCUUGUUAACAAGAAAUGACAAACUAAAGCUAAGAAAUGACUGCUAAACUGCUAGUCAGCCUUUCAUUAUAUCUCAAGAGGAACAUUAAUUCUGUACCUCAUACGGCCAUCCAUCAACCACAAAGACAUCCAAGGAGAAACCAUCAGUAGUUGAAAAAACAUGGGCCUCUUCAAUGUUCAGACCAAUCUCAGAUAUUAUAUUGGUCAACUGGAAAUCCAGGAUGGACAUCAGUGCAAGUAAAGAAGAUGAGAACACAGUUAACAUGGUAAGAUAAAUAUGUUUGAUAGAACUCUGAAAAUAUGGCAGAAUCUGCAGAUUAAUGAAGUUACAUAACUUCCAGGACUGAACAGGAAUGAAUAAUCUAAUCAGAGAUAUAAGCUUAAAUUGCACUAGACAGAAAGCAAAUAAAAGAUACAGAUUUCGGUCCAGGUAUACUGUCUCUAUAUUUUACGGAGACUGUUAGAUUUGUAGGUACAACUAUUGAGCAUUUACAUAAGAAUUUCAUAUAUUAACUUUGGAACAUAAUUGUAUCAGAAAAGCAGAUAGUCAUGAAGACAAAUAUUCUUCAAAGCUAGGUAUUAACUAGGGAUGGCAAUGGGGUAGUGCAGGCGGGCUGAGCUUAACCCGCAAAAUUUUUAAUCCGCCCAUCCCGUAUUACAACUUCUUUCCAUUUUCAACCCGCUCCACCCAGCCCCGCAUAAUUUUUUAAUAUUUUCUUUUUCUGGUUAACUUUGAUACUAAAAUAAAAUUCAUAAAAAUAAAUUAUUUUUUCAUAAAGUUGUAUUAAUUUAAUAGAUAAUGACUUAAAAUUUUAUUUUGUAGAGAUCAACUGGAAACAUGUAAGAAAUCGUAUUAUUUUUAUUAAAACAUUUUCAUUUAUUAUUUUGAAUAUUUUAGUAGCUUUAGGUUUGAACCCAUAUAAAAUCACAUAUACCCGCAUCCCACCCCGCCCCGCAUUAGCUUUAAAAAACCCACUUCAACCCGCCUCGCAUCUCUCCCCCCGUGCAUAGCCUUAAACCCACCCCACCACGCCCUAUUGCCAUCCCUAGUAUUAACUGACUAACCCCACCCUCAUCUCUUAGGUGCAGAAGUUAAUCAAAGAAUCAAUCUGUGGGUCCAUAAAAACAACUUUUCCUUAUUAUCCUCUGUUUCCCCUUAAGUGUAGUCUUCUAUCACCCUUUUCAUGUUUGGGGGGGGGGGGGUGAAUCAAGUAGUCUUCUCUAUCAAAUUUUAUCUUGACUAAGAUGCUUAUACUAUGCACUUGAGAAAUAGAAAUCAAACACCAUAUCAUAUCAGCUGAACGACUCAGCUAAAGGUCAUUCUAUCCAUGCUUAUUAAUCUAGAAUGAGUCUAUCUUCAGUUAUUAUAUGUGGUGAGUCCUAUGACAGGUACGGUACUAUCCAUCCACAAAAAGGAAUUCAAGGGAUUUAACCUUUUUUCCUGUCAAAUAUUGGACUCAUAAUAUCCACAACACAACAGGAAUUCGAGGGGCUUAGCCUUAUUUCUGGUUAAAUUCACACUAGCUCUGCAUAAGAUAAAUUCAUGAAACUAUAGUCUUUGUUUGAUUAUGAGAAGAUAAAAGAUGUAUUUAUGAACAAAAAGGGAGGAGGAUUCCUAAAAGAAUAAGGCACCUGAGUGAGCGUUUUUGGCUUGUCAAUAGUUGAAAAAGUAAUCUCGUGCAUUGGCCUGCACAAAAUCAUUUGGCUCAUAAGAAAGAAAAGUCAACUAGAAAUCCUUUGUGAACAAUAAAUACACUUUCUAUCAAAGCUAUGAAGCCAAACUAGUAUCAUGGAUCUUAUCAUCUUCAACUCAAGAAAUAAGGCAAUUCAACCUGGUUGUCCGCGAAGUUGAAUUGAUAUCACUAUCUCCAUGAUUCACAUGAGCUUUAUCAUCAUGAAUUUCAAGGCCUUGAAGAUUUGGUGAUGAACCAAAAGUUGGAGGAGGAUGAAUGCUGGAGAGGGACAAUAUGGAAGCCCAUAAAUUAAAUGAUUUAACGAAGCACAAUAGAGAAAAAACAAAUGUGCAGAAGUAAUAUACAGAAAGAAGUUAUACUGAAAAAAAGAAAAACUUAAAUUCUUAAACUAAAGAGCAUACCUUGGGAUUUCUUCAUUAACUGAAGGAUCUACAUCAACAGUAUUGGUUGACGUUCCAGUGUACAUAGGCUGAACCUGCAUUAUGAACUUAAAAAUGAGAACAUGCAUGUAACAAGAAUCUCUUGAAAUUAUAAAGUACUUGUCUUAGGCCAGGCCAUGACUUGCAUUCUCUUUUCUGUUGGUUUACAAUAUAUAUUCCAAUAUUAGUACAGGAAUAUGUACUAAGAGACUAUCCUUUCUACAUUAUUUUCCAAGAUUUCCCAGGACUUUCAAGAUAUAUCCAAUUGGAUCCUGUUAUGGUGCAACUGUUUCAACCACAGUCAAAGCUGGUCACGGAUUAUUACAUGCUCAAAUAUUUGACUGGUUAGUCAUUUGUAGCCAUUUUGUGAAUUCUUUUAUAUAAAUAGCUAUUCCAUUGAUUUGCUAAGAUUUAAUAAAAAAAUUCUUUUCUCUUAGAGGAAUGGCCUAGAGAUCUAAAUUUCUUCAAUACAAGUCUAACCUCAAGUUGUCUUAGGAUAUUGAGGAGAUAUCAAAAUCACUUUUACAGUAGGUUUACAUAUAAUUCAUACCCUCUUAAAGAUCUCAUAUGAUCUAAAGGGCAUGAGUAAAUGUCAAUCCCAUAUUCUCUUCUCAAAGUAUUCAUGCCUUUAGAUGUACGGUCUAAUUACAAGACUUAAGAACCCAUUCGACUUCCCAUAUUGCUAAUCCAUCACCCACAAAUCACAAAGGCUUGUAGCCUCUAUACUAAGAACGACCAAUUUUAUCUUAUUCCCCUCAUUACCUUCAACACACACCUUGCUCUUUGCAUAACACCCUAUUGCCAUCAACGGAGAUGUGCCCAAGGUGAACCAAUUACAGAACAUCUCCUAUCUUAUUAACAAAUAUGAUAUCCAUUAAACUUUCUUCAAACAAGUCAAUCCAGUGUACCUAUUCUGUAAUGAGCAUCCAUAUUUUUAUAUUACUGUUACAAACACAACUGGUUGUGAGAUUAACAACUCUCUACAUUGGCACCAAGAUAAGUCUCUGACCAGAAUAAUAAUACUCCUAGCAAACACGAACACUAAUGCAAGAGGAAGAUUAAAAAAACUAAAUUUUACUGCUAACAUAUUAGUACCACUAAUAUGGAUACUUUUGCUUUCAUUGUGUUCCAUCAUUAGCUUCAUCCACAUGAUUCAGAAAAAUUGUAAGUCUAUAGGUACAAUUUCCCUCCAUGUGAUUAUAAGUCUAACUCGUCUUUAAUCUCAAGUAGUUUUUCUCCUUUUAUCCUCUAUGAGUCCUACUUGCACUCUCUGUUGAAUGUAAACUGUUGAAAUGUGUGGCCACUUUAUCCAAAAGCUUAAUUAUUUUAAAAAUGACACUUUCAUUUACUAAAUUAUGUUCUCAACAUGCCCACUUGCAUUCAUCUUGACUUUUUCAUGAGGUAAGCAUGUAAAGAAUCUUUUUGAUUGUUGGUGACAAUAAGACUCAAACUCAGAAAAUUUUCCUUGAUUUAAAUGUUUAACUUGAUAGAGAAGAAACAGCGUUGUUAACUUAAUUAUGUUUUCAACAUGAACAUUUCAAAUCUUCUUUCUUUUUAUCGUCAAUGAGUGCUGCUUGCAUUUUCUGCAGAAUAUGACCAUCUAAAAUCUUCUAUGAUCUCACAUCCAUAAUUUUAUAUUAACAUUUAUCUUUUGGCUUCCAGCAUCUUCUCUUUCUACUUGAAACACAAACUUCAAUCCCCUUAAAUGUGAAAACUGAAGCCUAUCAGGAUAAGAGAAUGUUUUAAAUGGUUUUAAUUUGGUCAUUGGAGAGUGUAACAGAUGUAAAAAUGAACAGCAGCACUAAAGAAAGUUCUCCAUGCCCAACCUAAGGUAGCAUGAAAGAGAAGUAUGGGAUGGAUGAAAGAAAUAAAAAUAUGGCUUUGACAAGAUUAUUGGCAAAUUUACUAGUUUUUGCAACUGCUCUCGACUACUGUAAAAGCAAUAAAUAAUAGAUGCUGUGCUUCUCGGGAACAUUUUACGUAUUGAAUCAAAUCCCCAACUUGUUCAGCUACGAUCAAAUUAAAGACUCUUCCUUGUCAUACAUACGGAAAAGUUUUUACAAAUAUCAUAUCAACUUGGUAUGGGUUUCCAGAGUUGUCAAGAGAAAAGAGCAAAUUAGACAUUCCACCUUGUCAUACAUACAUAGGGAGAAGUUUUUCAAAUGCCAUAUUCAGAGUUAUCAAGAGAAAAAAGCAUUUACAAGGCAAACACACAUCAAAAUGCACGAAAAGCAGAUAAGAGUAUAACCUGCACAAGGCGGACAUCAAAGGCAGGUCUAUUCUCAGGAUCCUCCGCUAUGUCCAGCAACCUCUUGUGCAUGAGCACAUCUUCUGCUCUUUCCACAUUUACAUCCGAUGCAUAACUGCACGCACCCAAAUUCAGAAACAAAAAACUUCAAAACUUAAACUUCCGAGACAGAAAAUGGAUUAAUUACUCAAUUAUCCAGUACAAAAUAGAACAAAUGGCAAAAAAAAAUUUUAAAAAAAAUGAGGAAAGAUAGGGUUUAUGAAGUUAACCGAACAGGGAGGCGAUUAAAGUGAAGCCAAAGCUGGUCUUCAAAGCCAGGGAGUUUAACCUCUUGGAGAUUCAAAUCCUGUAGUCUACUAAGCACUUGGUUAAACACUUCAUUCUUCUGCCUCUGUAGCCGAUUUUGCUUGGGCGACAAGGGCUCCAUCGCUCUGCUCCCGCAACUCUCGUUGUCGUCCAUCGCCAUUCACAAAUACAAAAUUACAGAAUUCACAAAAUCUCCUCCUCUUUGUAAUGGAUUUACAGGGGGGAAAAGUUGCAAGUAACAGUAGAGUAGCAUAAGAAAGUAGUUUCCAUAAUUUAGAGAAAAUUUUUCAUGAUGAACAGAAGGAAUGGAUUUAGAGUUGAUUUGAUGGGUAAAUACGAGAAAGGGGACAAAUUUUUUUUAGGGGAAAAGAUGGAGGAGAGAGAAUGAGAAGAUUCCGUUUUUCUAGUUACAAAAUUGGGUGCGGGGAUUUAUUAGUGCUUACGAAGAUGGCAUAUGGGAAAAGAAGAAAAAAGUAUACAUCCCAUUCUUACAAACAGUGGCUCCACAUUUCUUCAUGAGCUUAUCCUCUUUGUGGGAUCAGAUCAACGCCGAUUGUGGUGGAUGAUUUUAAAAUUUUAUUACUUCUAAUUUUAAAUUUGGAUAUAGAUAUUAAAUAAAAGAGCUUUUUUUCAGCUGAGAAUUAAAUAAAGAAAUUCAAAAUUUAAAUAGGAAAAAUAACUUAAAUACACAACUAUAAUUUUUAUAUUCUUCAAUUUUCCCUACUUUUUUUAAAUAUUACAUAAUUCCCUUUUUUUUUUUAGUGUAAGUUUUUAGAUAUAUUACAUUCUCUCUCUUAUAAUACACAUUUACCCAUUUUAAUGCCUAUUUUUUCUCCAUUAAAACACUCAACCUCUUAAAUCAGUUUUUGAAUUUUAAAUUUUAUCCAUUUAAACACUCAACCUUUUAAUCAGCUUUAUGAUUUUGAAUUUUUAAAUUUAAUUAAUUUUAAUUAAAAGACCAAAUUUUGAACUUUUGAAUUUCAAAAUUUAAAAAAUUUGAAAUUUAAAAAAGUAAAAAUAUCAGGAAGCAUGACAACUUCCAUUAACUUCUACCGUCUUCUUCUUACUCCAUCAAAUUUCAAUUCUUUUUUUUCCUUAAUCAUCUUCAUUCAUUUUAACCCAUUACAUUUUUUUCUUUUCUUCUUUGCAAGAUUCUUUCAUAAAUUAAUUAUUGGAUUUACUACCUCUCUCGUUGAUAAGUGCAAGCAAGCCUCGAAUCCUCACUUUCAUUCUUUAGCUCUAUUAUGGUAAAUUCCUACAUUGGAAAGAAAAUAGGAAAAAGUUUUUUCAUGAUCCUAUGAAUCUUCAGAAGGAUUCAAACAAAGACUCUGGCGAAAUAUCAAAAUCAAAGGUUGUCAAAAUACAACAAAAAAAAGAAAAAAGAAGCAGCAAACAUUGUUGUUAGGCCUACAUUGUUUCGGGUUAGUAUUUUGGUACUUAAAACUGUUGUUGAAAUUAAUAAAAAUUUUAAGGAAUCUAGUGUGCUUGCCGAUACAUUUGAAUAAGUGUGUAUAGUGUUUUAGAGGUGAAUUGAUACAUGAAUUUGUUGUGUAUCAUAAUAUUUUAUAUGUAUCAUGAAAUUUUGAAAAUUGUUGUAAUGUAUCAUUCAAUAAGUUUCGUAAAUGCGUCAUCAACUGUGCUUGAUGAUACAUAUAGAAUCAGUGUGUACAGUGUUUAGUCAAUUCACUGAUACAUGUAGUAGAUAUAUAUCACAUGUUUUGCAUAUAGUAUGAAUUACUGAAAACUGAUAUCAUGUAUAAGUAAGGUAUUAGUUGUUUAGUUAAUGUACUGAUACAUGUUUGAAAAUUAUUAUAAUGUAUCAUUCACUAAGUUUAAUAAAUACGUCAUUAACUGUACUUGAUGAUACAUAUAGAAUCAGUGUGUAUAUUGUUUAGUCGAUGUUUCUCAUACAUGUAUUAGAUAUGAAAUUAAAUCUCCAACAACGAUUCCGUCGAUUUUGUAACUUUCAUACUGCAAUUCGUUCACCCAAAUUUCGGAAUGUCUCAUCAAAAUCGAAGUAUUCAUCUUGAAAAAUCCACUGUAACAACAAUAAAAUUAUUGUAGUUCGAAAUUUAACAGAUUGUUCAAAAAAAUUGUUUUCAAAAUAGAUGACAUAAUCUUUGUUUUUCAAAAUUUGAAAUUAAUAUCCAAUUAAGUGCUGAUUUUAUGCUGAUUAAUGAUAUGUUAUCGUAAAUUUAGCUGUUUUAUUAACAACAUUAACUGUACUGUUUUUCCCCCUUUUUUUCUCAACAGUUUAAAAUUACCAUGUAUCAUUUACCAUGUAUCACUAGAGUCUAAAGUAUCACGGCUCAACAAAUUUAAGGGAUUUUUUGUAAAUACUAAAUUUAUCGGGACAAAAUAAAAUUAUUGAAUUACACUAUGGGAUUCUUUAAAUUUUUACAUUUAAAUAUCUCUUGUUCAUCAAACUUUUUAUUAACUUUUGACUUUUAUAUUACUUUUUUUUCUUAAGCCCUGUAUUCAUAGACUUUUUCAAUUUAUUUUAUGAUAAUAUUUUUUUUCUAGUGUAAUAUAGAAGUGGUCAAACUGUAUAUUCAAAUUAAUUCACUUUAUAAAGUAACUAUAUCGAUGUCAUCGAAGAAUUAAUAAACGAUGAUUAUAUCUUUAAAAAUGAUAGUAAUGUUUUCAAUGAUAGUUGUCAAUAGUAAAUAUUCAUAUUAUUUUGCUUUAUAGCUAAAUUACAAAGAUAUACAUUGUUGGUAUCUAAAAAUUACUAUGACCCUACUACUUGUUAAAAUAGUUGGACUAUAAAUGGUCCUUAGCUCAUGGCAAAGCUAUUAUUAUCCGAGAGGUGUUAAUUGACACUCCUUCCGAACAAGUGUGUGUGUAUAUAUAUAUUUAUCGAUUACUUUUAAUAAAAAUUUUAGCUUCAAUAGUGAGUAUCAUAAGUAUAUUCAGCAUCCAAGUGGGGAUAUUCUUGAGCAACGUAAUACGUAUGUGGAAUAGUUUUGUUUAUUAAAUAAAAACAUUUGUUGAGCAUAAAAACCAAAAAGCGAUGAGGUGGAAUCCACAUGUUAUGGUCAGUAUGACUUUGGAUAACGGAGUAUAAAAUAUAAUAAUAAUAAUAAUAAAAAUAUUAUCAUCUUCUUUUGGCUCAGAAGGACCAUAUGGUAUUGCUGUGGCAACACGAAGCCGCUAGACUGUAACAUACAACAAAUUGUAUUAUAAAAAUCUACUGACAAUAAAUACGACCCUUUCUUGAUUUUUUUUUUUUCUAUAAAUAAAUGAAACUAUGCUAAUGAUGUUUAAAAUUGGAUUAUAAAAUUAAGCUCUUCUUUAUCUUCUGACGUGUAUUGUAUUUUAAGCUUUUGUUAAUGGCUUAAAAUAUUACUUUAGUGUGCUCUUUUAGGAAAGUGCGAUGUAAUUAUUAAGUUGAUGUAGAUAUAUAUAUAUUUCUACAUCUUCAAAGUCAAUAUGAUGUUUGUUUGACUACCUGAUGGAAGUGGACAAUUAGGUUUUUUUAACUAGCUUGUUAGGGUAAUUAAUUAAGUUAUCACAAGAAGUUAACUAUAUUAAUUUAUCAUAAAAAUAAGAAAUUAAAUAAAAGUGAUUUGAAAUUUGACACACAUUUAAGAACAUUAAUCAAAGAAAAUUUAUGGUCAUAUAUAUUUCCAGACUCUUUUAAAAAGUAAAUAUAUUCAUUAUUUGAGAUUUAGAAGUAGAUAAAAUAAAAAAUAAUAUAUAAUUUGUACGUUAAAAUAAUUAUUUAUGUAGAAUUUGAAUUGUUUUUUUAUCAUUGAACUAGAGGGAGUAUCUAUAAUAAUAAUAAAAAUUAUAACAUAAAAACUCACUUAUCUAAAUAUGAAAUGAGUAAGUAUACUUGAAAGAAAAUAAUUAAUGCCUUUUUAAUUAUGUUAAGUUUUACUUAUUUUGGGAUCAAAGUAAAAAAGCUAAGUAAAUAAAUAUAUAUUAUAAAUUUACAAAAUAAAAAUAAUUGUCUUAUAUACUAGAUGAAAAUUCUAGCUUCAUUAGAUAAAUUAAUAAUAAAAAUUUUAAAUUAAUUAUAAAUAGUGACAUAAUAUUUUUAAUUAAUCCACGAAUAAUGACAGAUCAAAUGAUAAAAAGUAAGAUCAAAGUGACAGACAGUCAAAAUGAGCUUUGAAUGUGUUGUCUGCACCUCUUAGUUAAGACCUGAAUUUCAUUUCCAUGUUUAAUGGGAAUAUGUGUCAUCAACGUGUCGCCAUAUAUGAUGUAUAUUUUGUUUCUAUCUUCUUCUCUAUUUUUAGUUUUUUUCAAGUUCCAAUAUUACCAAGUAAUUAUAUAUUAUACCAAUAUGGAUGUGAUGCACGGAGUGUUUGAUUCUUAAUCAAAAAUUUUAAAUUUAAAUUUUAAAUAUGAAGAAAAUAUUAUUAAGUGUGUUAUCUUUGAAUGAAUCCUAUAAAAACAUAAUUCAUAUUUAGUCGAAGCUUUAAUAUAGACUUCAAAAAAUCAAAAGAAAAAAAGAUAAUUAUAUGUUGUAUUUUAAUGCAACUCGUUGACAUCUUUUUACUAACAUACAUUGAACCUAGAAUAUAUGAGAAUUGAGAUGAAGAAGAAAAUGGAUUAAGAAAUUCAAAAUCGUAUCCUUUGCCUAUCUACUUUAGUCGUCUUCCCCCCACAUGGUCAGCCUAAUUAUUAUAAUUACAAUUAUUAGCCGUCAUAUAAUACGAUAUUUUUGUCCAAUUAUUUUUAAUUAAUUCAAUGCAGCUACUUCCUUUUUUUAGAACGCUAAGAUCCAACAUAGGUUCUUUUAAUUAUAAGUACUUGGAUGCAUCGUUUUGCUCACAAAUUUCAAGAACUCAAUGAACUUUGAUUUUUUGCCACUCGUAAUUGUUUGAGAUAAGUUUGACCAAACUAGCAGUUAAGAAAUUAUAAGUUCAAAUUUCAUCAAAUACGCAUAUCUUUAUAUUGUUUUGUUAAAAGUAUUUACUUAGUUCAUCAUGUAAAUCACAUAGAUAUAAUAGCUGCUUGUUUUGUAUAAGAAAUAAAUGAAAAAGAAAGAUGUAAAAACACCUAUUGGACUGUUAUAUGCAUCUAAAAACAGAAGAGAUGUACGUGUAUGAGAAUACUCGGGGGUGGGGUGACAAAAUCAAACUCAAUUCGUUCAAUCCGUUUAAGUUUGAAUGAGUUAUUGAUCGGAUCAUUUAUUAACUCAACCCUUUUCAACUCAUUAAAAACUGAGUUGAUAUGUAAUUCGAAUUGACUCACGAGUAAUAUCGUUAAAAUAUUUGUAAAAACAUCCUAUUUCAAUUUGAUCUUUUACAUAUCCAUAAUAAAAUCAUAAACUUUUAUUAGAUACUAAAAUAGUUUAAAAGAACGAAUAGAACAAUUACUAGUAAAAUGUAAAUUGAGUUAGAUCUUGACCAUUAUAUAACCUACUACAUAACCUUUUUUUACCUAAGCGAAUUUGUGUUGACUUGAAUCAUAACUCAAUUGACGAUUAUUAUCUGAACACAUUAUUAUGGUUUGUCCAAACUUAACCUAACCCACUCACUUAUAGCCCUAAAAAAGUCUAUACUUCAAAAUUCUGAUAUACAUUUUUCAACGUUAACUAUAAAUGCCUAGAGUAUAGAGUAUUUUAUACGACUAUAAAGGGAUAGUUGAAAACUAAUGGAAUUAAUAAUGGGGUUUGGUGACACAAGAGGAGGUCAUAAAAGUGCCACCUCUGAAAGUAUUAUCCUCUCAAUUUGACACCAAUCUUGGCUGAAGUUAGUCCACCUAUACCUGCAAUUCGAAAUUAAAAGUAUUGACAAUUUGUUGGGUAAAUUGAUUAAGUCAUAGUCAGGUAUUCUCGACCCACCAAGUGAAACUUUUUGUUUUUUGGUCACAACUGCGCUAAGACCCUAAGAUUAAAGCUAUGUUAAGUGGCAAUAAAUAAAUAAAUAUCGUAGGUAUGCAAAAAUAAAUAAGAUUCAUAAUUAAUUGUAUUUAACGAACUCUGUCGUCUCAAAAUGAAAAAUUAUCACCAAAGUGUUGAAUAGUUAAUGGACUUGUAGCCCAACGGCAUCCUAUUUGGGCUGAGAGAUAUCAUUUUUCAGGAUUGAAAAUUAUAUAGAAAUCAAAUUAUUAAUAUCUAUAGUUUAAUUUAAUUGUAAUUUAUAGCAAAAGUUGUCAUUUGCCACUCUUUGUUUUUCAUUGACGGUCUCUCUCUUCUCUCUCACUUUAUACAAAUAUGAAUGUAUAAAAUGUGUUUGUGCAUGUAUAACUCGAGAGAAAACUUUAUAUACAAAUACAAAUACAUAUAUGUCCUAUACACUUAUAAUUAUAUAAAUACAAAUCUUCUCCUCUUUCGCUUUGUACAAAAACAGAUUAUAGAAAUUACAAUGUAUAAUUUGUGUUGUAUAAAGCGAGAAUUUAUACAAAUUUAAAUUUUAUGCAAAUAUACAAACACAUAAAAUUGAAUUGAGAGGCUAUCAGCGAGUUAUACAAACGAGAGGCUAUCAGAAAUUUAUACAGAUGAGAGGCUGCAAACGAUUUAUACAAAUCUGAUGCUCCAUAGCAAAUAUAAAGUUUGCUAAGAAACACGAUUAUACAAACUAUAGUUAUAGCAUAAAAAUAAAAUUUUAAUGUUUGUUGAACCUAAAAUUUACUUUUUUUUAUGAUAGUAUACACCCACAAGGGACAAAGAUGUAAAUGGUGAUUUAUAAGAAUGACUUUGAAAAUAGUUAGAGCUGGAAUUUUUUUUAUCACGAUUAUUCAUAAGAAUUACCUGCAGUUUGGGCUUAAAAAUUUGUCAAGAAAGCAAACGGGGGUUGAAAAUUCAAGACCAACAAUCUUCAAGAUAAUUGGAUAUAAUUUCUUGAAAAACUUACUUUUAUAAGAUUUUUAUUAAAAAUUAUACUAAUUUCAUGAUAAAGUCUAGAGCAAUCGAAAUGGACGUGAUCCAAUGAUAGUCUAACCCAACCAGUAGGAGUUAUGUUUGGGUUGAGAAUUUUUAAGCUCAUUUAAAAACUUUAGAAGUUUUGACUCUUAAUCUUCGCCCCAUUGGGCUCAUCGGCUCCAAAGAUUGGGCCGAAAUUGGCCCCUGAGGCCCAAGAGUAAAGCAAGUUUCCAAAAAGUAAUAGGAAAAAGAAAAGGAGAGAUUACAGAAAUACACAAUUUUUGUUUCAUUUAUUUCUCCAUUAUUCUCUAUUAUUUUUAAAAAAAAAACUUAAAAAUUAUUUAUUUUUCUAAUGUAUCAGAAUUGUAUAUUAAUGUAUCUGAGCUAGUUUAUAAUGAAUCUGAGCUGCAUAUUAAUGUAUCUGAGACAAUAUUUAAUGUAUUCGAAUUACGUAUUAAUGUAUCCGAGCUUCAAUUAUUGUAUUCAAAUUUUUUUAACUUAUAAGGGAUUAAUGUAAUGAAAAACUUAUCAGGGGUAGAUUAUAAUUUCAUAUUAAAGUAUGUGAUUUAUGUAAUAUACCAAGAAAAAUAAUAUAAAAACAUAACUUAUUUUACUAUAUUUUCUAAAAUGUCAUGUCAUUUGAAAAAAUUAUAAAAAUAAACAUUCUAUUCUAUUCUCGGUUACGUCACUUGACGAGAUAUAUCGGGGCGUUGAAUGAUGUAUUCAAAAUUAAGACAUGAUGUGUUAGACAUUGAACAAUGUACAUGAAACCGGAAAAACGAUGUAUCAUGACGUUUUGGGGUAUAUAAAUUUCACAAAUUUAAGAGAUUUUUAUAAUUUGAAAAGAGUACAAUUAUGAUACAAUUAGUUCUUAACACUGCGAAAUAUGUGCAAGAUUCACUAGAGUAGUGUUUUUAAAUUUAAACAUAUAUCUUAAUAUUAAAAUAAAUUUAAAAAUGUCUAAAUAAAUUUUAAUACAAAUCAUAAUAAUUAAUUGUUUAUUCUAAUUCAAAUUCUAAUGAAAUCUUCCAAACUCUAGUGUACUUGCUAGCAUAGUAGUAUAAAGGAAUUGUAAUAAAGAAAACCACAACGUUUUUCUUAAAUCUUAAGUGGGUUCUCGUGAGUGUUAAUAACUUGUAUUAAAACAUUGUAUUUAUAUUGAGAAAUUUACAAGUUAGGUGAUAAAUAUGUUUGGAUAUUCAAUAACAAAACAAACUAGCUAUAUUGAUCCAAUGGCAAAAAAAAAAAAAAGAACUCACUUAAGGUUUGCUAAUUGCAUCCUUAAAUUGAAAAUUCAUAUAUUUUAAAAUUUUGAACCAUUAACCAUCUAAUCUAAACAUAUUACGUACGUGUAACAAAAAAGCUUCUAGCCUCGAUAGGAAUAACAAAAAAGCAUAAGAACCAUAACAAUUAAGGUCAUUAGUACAUGCAAAUGCACAUUUUUUUUGCAAGUUUGUUUAAGUCAAUACAAAACCACUAAUUAUUAUAAACUGUAGCAUUAAUUUCUAUGAAAAUAAAGACAAUGAACCAAGUCAUCCUGUGAUAACAACAAUUGUGAUUGUGACCAAUAUAAUUAAUUUCUACUAUAACUAUAACAUUUUAUUUAUUUUUACCUUUUCCUUUUCAGGGAAAGAUACUCUUAUAAGUAAAGAAACACAACCUCAUAAUUCAUAAGAUUAUAACCACUGCCAAAUAAAACAAUGAAUCUAUUUAAAGAAAAUAGCAUAAUACACAAAUAAGGUAUAUAUAGGAAAAAAUAGAGAAAAGACAAAUACUCCCUAUCAUUCUUAUUUGUUCCUACAUAAAUUUUGAGAAACAUUUUAAGUUACCAACAUGUUCUAUCUUUCGAUUCCCCCACAAAUUACAAAAUUAAAUUCACAAGUACAAAUAGUAUGUUCUUCAUUAAUCCUAGCAAAAGGACAAAUCCAUUAUUUUAGAGAAAAAUCAAAGUGGAACUAAAAUAAAAUAGUCCAUAUAAACAAGCUGGUUAUAGCCUCAGUAACGCUAUGGACAUUCACAUAUAGAUCCACCAAAUAUCGCACAAUAUUCAUUUAUUGUCAUGCUUAAUUAUUAGCCAAAUGCAAAGUCUAGGACAGACAUAUAUACAUGAAAAAGAAGAUGAAAAAAUAAAUAAGAAUGGACUAAUAAUCAAUACUAAUUAAUUAUUCAAAUUUUAAUUUUCAGCUGGUCCAGUACCUGACUUACAAUUCAAAUUCCAUGGAUCUUAUUUUUUAUUUUUCAGGAAUUGAACCUAAGCCAAAAAUCUUUGAGAAAUUUUAUUCAUCUGAACACGAUAUAUAAUUAAAUUAAAUUCAAUAAUAAAUUAGAGGAACAAACCCUAGAUGGUAAUGCAUGACGAAUUGCCUGCAGUUAUAUAUUAGGUAGAGAAAGUGAAAGUGAAAGAGAAACUGAGAUAUUGGCACGGCUCAAUCAAACGAAAAACGAAAACUCAACCAUUCAAAUAUAGUUUACAUUUUGUUGUCUGAGUGAACCAGGCCAAUAUCAAAGUUACUGUUUCAUAGGGGAAUAAUAAUAAUAAGUGAAAACUGAGAAUUCAUAUAGCCGAUCUCAAUUUAUUUGAACGGACGAAAAAAAAAGGGAAAAACUAAAAGAGGGAGAAAAGAUUGAAUAUUUUGAGUAGAAGAAUGGGAAUGUCUUGGGGUAAAUUUAAGGAGGAAGGAGAGAAGGGGUGGUGUGUUUAGAGUGCAUUUAAAACUGCGACUACCAAAGCACAAGGACAGGGCCACUGCAUUUAACUCCAUUAUUCUUUUCCUCAUCUUCUUCGACAUGAAUUUAAUCGAGAUAUAUGAAAAUUAAAUCAUAUAUAUAUAUAUAUAUAUAAUUUUUUAAAUUAUAAUUAUAAAAAAUUUAUAAUCAAAUAAUACAAUAUUUUUAGGAUUACACAGACUCUAAAUUACUUUUUUAUUUAAAAAAAAAUUAUGUUACAUAAAUUAAAAGUGAAAAAAUAAUUAUACUUUUCAGUGAAGUGGAAACUAAUUGGGGUAUAAGUUGAAUGGUCAAAGUAAAAUUAGUAUUUGAAAUCUUUUAAGAGUAUUUGUCUUUGCUUCUCACUUAUUUAUGAUGCUAUUAUACUUGAAACUUCACUUAUCAACCCACUCUUCCGAGUUACUUCCUCCAUCUCAACUCCAACUUAUUUGUGGUGAUAUAUUUUUAAAGAAUAGCUAUUUCAUAUUAUUCAUUCCAUUUUAUUAUUAUUUAAUACUUAUAUUAAAAUUUACUUAUCCGUUUUAACAAAUUAAGAGAGAAGUUAAAUAUUUUCAUCUUAACAUUAAAAUAAUUAUAUAAAUACUUUUUUAAUCAAUGUCACAAAUCAACAUGGACCAGAGGGAGCAUUUCUCAUUUAAAAAGUUUAAAGCAAAAUCAAUCAGUACUAAUAGCUGCAUGCAUAAUAUAUACGUUAAACUAAAUUGAAGUCCAUAUCUUCUAGAGAAUCGAUAUGCAUGGUAAGAGUUUAUAUAACGGACCCCUACACAUAUUGUAGCAAGAGAUCGACUGACUAUCAUAGAAAUUAAUAUAAGCAAAAGAGUGGUACAAAGGGCAUGAGUGUUUAAAAGAUAUUGAAUGGUACAAAGGGGUAAAAAUUGUUAUUCAAGAGUGGGUGACAUAACACGAAAAGAACGUGAGUUAUUUCAUUCAUAAUCAAAAAUUUAAUUUAAUUGAAUUCUAAUAGAAACGCAUAUAUUAAAAAUAAAAAAAAAAUAUUAAAUGAGAGAGGAAAAGGAAAGGAUGGCCCAUGAUGGUGAUACUGAAGGACUACCAACCAAGUGAGUAUGAAUCAUAAAUGAGAAGAGGGAAAGGGAAUCUCUCUUUAAUUUUCUCAGUCGCAUACAUAAAUAAAUUCACUGAAGGGGGAGAUGGAUAGGCAUAUAGGGCAUCCCACAUAUUUAAUGUAAAACUAACCAGACCCAGCAAGGGAAUCAAAUUAAAGUUUAUCGACCUUUUUGGAGUUACCUUUAUCGGUGAAUUCAAAAUUUAAAUUUACUUAAUUGAUAAUAAUUGUAAUGUUGUUAUAUAUACUCUCUUUGUUUAUUUUCAUUUGUUAUAGUGUACUUUUCGAUAGUCAAUUUGACUAAUUUCAAAGUUAAAUUACGUUAUAUUAAUUUAAUAUUUUAAAUAAAAAAUUUAGAUAUUCAAAAAAUAUGUGAAAAGUACUAUAAAUUGCAUUUUUUUGCAUAUCAAUAUAAUGUAAAAAUGCAUCUUAAAAAUUUUAAUUAAAGUUCUUACAGUUUAACUUUAAAAAAAAAUUAUGACAUAUAAUAAUGGACGGAGAAAUUACCGUAUAUAGUUGUAUAUGUGGAGGAGGUAAGCUUAGUUAAUUAGCUUUUUCUUUAAAAAAAACAAUAAUCUUAAUUCAUUUUUAUUCAUAAAAAAUGGGUUGAUAUAUAGUUCAAAUAGACCCAAAAAACAGUGUUUUUUAUUUAAUUGUUAUAUAUAAUUAAAGAUUUUUUUUAAUUAGGCAUACUAGAAAUUUAUAAAAGAUAGACAAAUACAACAAUUAAGACUUUAAUUAAAAUUGAUCAAAUUGAAUUAUUCUCGCAUGUUAGCUUAUUUCUAUUCAAUUUUUUUAAUUAAUUCAAUUCAUUUGAUCUAUUUAAAUUCAGUAUAACCUGCUUACUUAGCACCUUAUAUAUAUAUAGUAUAGUUAAAAACCUACGUAUGUAUAGAUCAUACAAUAUUUUAGAUCUGCCUCUAUUCUCAAAGAAGCACGAAGUAACUACUUUCGAAUCUAGGCUUAGCUUCUUCUCUUCCUUCAUGAACGGCGAAUCACUUUGUAUUACAGUUGUGCCAUUGUGUCGCAUCUCUAAAAAACUUUAUCAGGCCCGUUUGGAUGGGCUUAAUAAAAGCAGCUUUAAAAAAGUACUUUUAAAAGUGCUGAAACUUAUUUUUAAAAUAAGCAGUUAUGUGUUUGGAUAAAAGUGCUGAAGUUGUUAUGUCAAACGUGAAAAGGAAUAAAUGGAAGAAAGAAAUGUUAGGGUUAUAUGGGUAAUUUGGAGAUUGUAUAAAAAUAUUAAGCACAAAAAGAUAAAAAUGUGGUCAACUUAAAACAGCUUAUAAGCUAAAAAUAAAAAAGCACCCCUACCCCAGCUUUUAACUUUUGGCUUAAAAUAAAUUUUUUUUAACUUAAAAUAAGCUGUUUUGAGUAUUGCCAAACAGCUAAAUAAGUCAAAAACCAGCUUUUAAGUCAGUUUGACCAGCUUUUAAGCUGAGCCAAACAGGCUCUUAAAAUAUAAGAAAGUAAAUUCACAUAGAAAAUUUAAUAAAAAAAUGAACUCAUACAAAAGUUAAAGAAUAUUUAUUAAAAUUUUCAGACGAAAGGAAUUGAGAUAAAUUAUUUACCUUUUGGCAGGAGAGUGUGUUUAAUGUUUUAAGCUUAUGCUCGUGACAAAUUCAGAUACAAUAUGGGAGUCAUUUAAGAGAGUCUUCACAUUUGCUGGCUAUUCUGCAUAUAAAACCAACCAAUAUUAGAUUUGAUUCCUGUAGUGGGCAACUUGCAACUUCUUUUUUACAGAAUCACUAGGGACCAAUUACUAUUCUUAGCAAACCAUUUUAAUUUUUUCAAAAUUUUUUUAUGACCCCUACUACAUAAUUAAUUAUUCCUUUUUUCCUUGUUUCUUUUCUUGGAUAAUUUUAAAUUUCACUUUCAAUCCAAACAAUGAAGAAGAAGAAGGAAAAUUUUAAGUGUACAAGAUGAAACUAAAAAUUCGAAAUUACUGAUAAAGCUGUAUGGUGGUCUAGCCUAGGUAGCUAGCUAGUCCAAAAUUAAAUGGAUACAAAAGAAUUUGGCAUGGUCACGCACAAUUCAAACAAUUUUUAUUCGAAACACUAAAACAUUGUGGUACAUAUAUAUUAAAGAAAAACAGUUCAAGCAUUUAAUAUGUGCUGUAGAUAUCUACUAUUGCUAACGGCCCGUAUGGUCAUGCGAUAUAAUAUCAUAGAUGAAAUUAUGAGAUGAAUUUUUUUUUACCUGCGAUAUGAAAUUCUUUUGUGGUGUAUUUUCUCAUAAAUAUAAUAAUAUCAUAAAUUGUAAAACUAUUGAAAUAGUUUCAAUUAUUUAUUCAAUCUUAUCAAAUAAAUAAAGUUUAUAAAUUAUUACGGAACUAUUUGUUCUCUACUUAAGUAAUUGUUUCAUCAAAUUGUAAUUCAAUAAAAAUAUUGAACAUAAAUUGUAGUGUACUAGUAUGUAAUAUAAUCCUCCCAGUAUGAACAAUUUCCUGACACGGAACUUGUAUUUCUUGAUCAUGUGAUGAAGAAACGAACCAACAUUGUUACUUUGAGUUGUAAUAAAUACAAAAUGAUAGAAUUUAGAAGUAAUAAAUUAGGUCUUCGAGUAAAUGUAGAAAAAAAUUAAUACUCAACAAUCGAUUGGUGUGAGUUAAAGUAACAUGUGUUGGUGAGAAUAAUAAAUUUUAAAAAUUAUUAAUGUAAUUAUAAAUUUUAUUUACAUAUGAAAGAAAUGGAUAAGUAGAUAUAAAUGCAAGUUUUGUUUUAAUAAAAUAUAAAUUUGUAGAUUAAUUUUUGUAUUAAAAUAUCUCAAAUCAUGUUAUGAUUUCCAUAUUAUAAUUUUAAAAAAAUAUGAAAUCACAUCUCAUGGAGUCAUGAAAUAAAAUUAACAUAAAGUUAUAUAUCCAAAAGCUGAUUCCAUAUCUAUUAUUACGAUACAGUAUAUCACUCGGCCAAACACCUUCAAAGUUUCUAUACUAAUUAAAUGCUCUUUCAUUUGGGUUUUUUGAAUUCACGUAUAAGAUGUGACACCUUAUUAGCUGCAGAGGUAAAGCUUAUUAUAUUUCAUGUUUUUAUUAAACUAAUGACAUUAAUUAACUAUAUAUGAUUGACCAAUGAAAAAUAAAUUAAUCAAUAUCUUGCUUUUAUUUGAUUUUUCAUGAACAUCACAGGUGCAUAAAUAUUUUUCUUGACCUAAUAACAAUAAUAAUAUAUCUGGUGUAUAAGGAUAUAUACGUAACUUCAUUCUUAUCUGAUGAAAGUAGAAUAGUUAUUUUUGAAAGACCCUCGGUUUAAAAGUAAAGCAUAACAAAAUUACGUACGAAAAGAAAAAAUAUAGUGAUGUAUAAAUGAACAAUAAUAACUAGUGAAUACAAUAAGUAAAUGACCAAACACAAGGAAUUACCAGUAAUAAUAAAAUCAAAGAACAUGGAUAGUAUGUGAGUAAUACUAACAAUCUUUGUAAGGUAAAGUAGACAUGACUCGUCUACUCACCAACAUUCUACUCAAUUUUUUCUAAUCGUCGAAAUUAUCUCAAUUGUGUCCCACUGCCAUUGGAGCACUCUCUGAUACGUAUUCAAUAAAUAUUUUUUUUAUAUCUAAUGUCAUAUCCUCAGUAAAUCGUAAACGUAUAAUUUUAUUCUCUCUACUACUUUUUUAACUUAUCUCUCUAAUAUAAGUUUUUUCUUGACCGCUAACUUCAAAAUUUUAGUUUUGUUGCAAAAUGUAUUUCUAGUUUAAACUUUAAAGUAACUAAGUCUAGAAAACUUUUCUGAUGUUUAAUUUUUUCACACGAGAAGUGAAAAUUAAUCCACUAUUGGAGAGAGCAAGUUUAUAAUUUUGAUGAAAUAACUUCAAAUUUAAUACACACUCAUAAAUUUACCGACACCAGAAUCGAAAUACUUUUUUAGUCAAACAUACUAGUAUUUGUUUGUUCAUUCAAUGUUUUUCAUUGGUCCCGUGUUAUUUGAAAGAGUGCGGAGUUAAAAGGGUAAAAAAAAUUGUCAAAAAUUUCAAAAGGGCAUAUUAAUUUUUUUAAAAAAUCAAAACGGUAAAAUCGCUCACCGUGUAGCGACUUUUACCUUCUGAAAAAGCGAAAUCGCUGCAAUAACAGCGAUUUCUUAAACUUGCUUUUUAAAAAAAAAUAAAAAAAAUUGAACAAAUCGCUCCACACGGAGCGAUUUUCAAAAAAAAUAAAAUAAAAUUUGUUUUAUAAGUCGCUGCUUCUGCAGCGACUUGCACUAAUUUUUUUUAUUUUAUUUUUAUUUUUUGCUUUAUUUUUUUUUUUAAAAAAAUUAAUUCAAAUUUUUGUUUAAAAAAAAAAUCAUUGCCAGCGAUUUCUAAUUAGUUUUUUUUAAAAAAAAAUCAAAUCACUGUAAAGGUAGCUAUUUACACUUAAUUUAUAAUUUUUUUUUGAAAAUUGAAUUAAAUCACUGUAAAAAAAAUUAGCCGAUUAAAUUAAAUUUUCAAAAAAAAAUAAAAAUUUAAGUGUAAAGCAAAAAAUGUGUUAAUUAAGAAUUCAUUUUAUAAACACAUAUAAAGAUCAGUCCCAAAAAAUGUGUUAAUUAAGAAUUCAUUUUUUUUUUGAAAACUUAAUUUAAUCGGCUUUUUUUUUGCAGCGAUUUAAUUAAAUUUUCAAAAAAAUAUAAAUUAAGUGUAAAUCGCUGCUUUACAGCGAUUUGAUUUUUUUAAAAAAAAACUAAUUAAAAAUCGUUGUCAAUGAUUUUUUUUAAAAAAAUUGAAUCAAUUUAUUUUUUAAAUAAAGAAAAAAAUUAAAAAACUUAAUGGAAGUCGCUGCUUCUGCAGCUACUUAUAACAAAAGUAAUUUUUUAUUAUUAUUUUGAAAAUCGCUCCGGAUGGAGCGAUAUAUUUAAUUAUUUUUAAAAAAAAGCAAAUUUAAGAAUCGCUGCUAUUGCAGCGAUUUCGCUUUUUCAGAAGGCAAAAGUCGCUACAUCGUGAGCGAUUUUACCGUUUUGAUUUUUUAAAAAAUUGAUGUGCCCUUUUGAAAUUUUUGUCAAUUUUUUUACCCUUUUAGCUCCGCACUCUUAUUUGAAAAGAGUGAAUAUUUGUAUUAUAUUUGAUAACUUUUACCCAUGUUAACUUAUUUCCAUUGUUUUAAAUAUCAAUAUAUGUAAAUUGUACGAGGCUUUUGAAUUACUUCUUUAAAUUAGUCCCCAAAUUACACACUUGUGUCUCAAAUUGUUGGAUCAUAAUUUCUUAUCAUAAAAUAACUGCCUAUGAUUUUAAAAGGAUUAAAUGAAAAUUAACCUGCUCCGCUCUGCUUUAUUGUCAUUUCUACGUUACUUAUUAAGAGGACACAACGUAAAUAUAUGGUGAGCUAAUAAGAGAAAAUUAAGCAUCAUGUCAUGACAUAAUAUUACUAUUGGUCUUUAUGGCACUGAGCUAACGAUAAUUUAAGAGGCUCAAAUAUGAAAGGAUCCCACAGAAGAAAAUAAAAAGGACAAAGCAAACUAUUGAAUUCUCUCUUCAUUCUGCACAUAGUAUUUCAAAUAUUUGUUUGUUAGCUAACACAAUCAAAUGAGGAAACUUCCAAAAUCCACCUGAUGUUAACUCUUCAUCAACCCAAAUAUACAAAUUUAAUAUUUAUUAAGUCAAUGUCCAAUUAAUAACAACUAAACAUUUUUGUCACUUUGGUAUAUUUCAUUGAAACACAAUAAUAUGUUGCAUACGAUAAUAAUUAAUUUGAGAUUCGGUUAAUUAUUUGAUUUUCGCUUAUGAUAUAUCCUUUAGUUUCCUUUCUACUUCCCUCUUCCUAUAUGUACAAUUUAAAAAAAAAAUCAACUGGUAUAAGAAUUGUCAAACAUGAGAAUAGUGCAACAAUUUAAUUUAUUUGAUGACAUGGAGAAGUCUUAUCUGAUCCACCAAGUAGGUCAAAUAAUAAAUAAAAUCAGAAGAAAUAGUUAAUUUCAGAGUCAUUUUAAACUCUUUUAUUUGAAAAAUAGUUCCUGGAUUGAAUAUUCAGAUUUAACUUCCCACCUAAUAAAGUAAACCAUUAAUGAAAAACAAAAAUUGACAUGCCAUUCCUGCCUACUGCUAUAUGAUCAGUACUGUUUUUUCUUCUUUUUUUUUUCCCACCCCAUCCCAUCCUUAGACGAAUCAAUAGUAUUUUUUCUUAUUUUUUAACGUGACUUGAAUUCUAAUAAAGGUGCUAAAUCACUUAGACUAAAAUCAAUGUGACUCAAAUCAUAACAAAAUAUGAGACUAAUUGUGAAUUAUAGACCAUACCACACAUAUCAUAUAGGACUUAAUGCUCCAACCACUAACUUAUUUGAGUGAUUCAUGCGUUUAAUUAGGUAAUCACUUUCAUAAUUACAUAAUAAUUAAUAAUAAUCAAUCAUGCAGAUUUCCCUCGAUAUUUAUUCACAAAUACAAGUAGCUUUGAAGAACCUUUUUAUAAUUGCAUUAUACAAAGAAAAGGACAUAUUUCUGGUAGAAUACAUAAUUGCUAAUUAAUUUAAUGUACUUGUUUUUCCUCAUCCUAAUCAUACACACCUCAUGAGGAUCAAUCAUUCAUAUAAACAUACACCAUCCAGCUAAACACCGUCCGAGGUUUUUAAUUCUCCCCUAAUUUUUCAACAAUUUUUUUUUUAUUUUUUGGUUUAAGUUCAUCUUUACAACAAGGCACACUUACAAUGCAUGAUUUGUAGUUCUACAUAUCUACAAGUACCUUAAACGUAAGAUUUUUAAUCUUGAAAAUUACAUACGGCAUUAAACCUGGUCUGAUAGCGUAAAAAUAAAAAUUUCUUACACUAUUUUUUUUUGGUAGGCCUCCUCAUGACUCCAGAAACGUAAGCCAUGAAUUACACAUUUGACUUGUCCCAAUCAUAGCAGUAACGGACGAUACGUUGUUUCUUAUGGAUAUAAAAAAAAUACUAAAAUUUCUACAGAUAACGACAACAAAAUAUACUCCUAAACACGCUUAUAUUAUAAUUUUUUUUGAGAAAAUCCACUCACACCAUAUAUGCUUUUCCUAAUUAAAUAGAAAUAAUAUUAAACUAAUACUUAUUUUUAUAUAUAAAGACACGUAGAAGAGGGGAAAAAACCGAUGAUACAAAAAAUGCUGAAAAGUUGGCUCAAAAGUAGUGAUCAAUUAAGUUGCUCUAUCUUCUUCUAAUGGCACUCUUUAAUUCUAGAUAGAGAGAGAGAGAGAAAAUUAAAUUCUUAAAGAGGGGUUGAAUAUUUGUGAAUUAUUAGUUGAUUUUGGUUAAAUUUAAUGGGUCAAUGUGUAUCUACGUCUGCCUAUGAUCAGCAUAAGGGAGGGGAAAUUUCAACAUCAAGGCCAAGGCAUGCAAAAGAAAAUCAUCAUCGAUAUGGAAGACGAAUGUUGAUUAAUAAUAACAAUACUGAUAAGAAAGGAUAUUUAUCGGUGAUGAUAAAAGAGAAACGUUCAAGAUUAUAUAUCAUAAGAAGAUGUAUUAUCAUGCUCAUCUUCUGGCAUCGAUACAAUAAGAGCAUUUGAUCAUCAUUCUCUAUAUGUAUAUAUAUGCCAUUAAUUUUCUUGUUUAAUUAUGUUGUUCAACCUUUUGAAGGAUACAUCAUUUUUGUCUCUCUCUAUAUGUGUAUAUAUAUUAAUGGUGUUUUUGUUUAUACAUAAUAAUGGAAUUAAACGAUAUUAACCUCAUUGAUUUUCUAUUAUUGGAAGCACAUACGGUAUAAAUUGGAAUGUAGAUCAGUCGAACCCCAUACUUAGAGUUAAUAGUUUCGAAUUGAUAAGUAUAUCUUUUUAUAGUAAUAUAUUUUGUUCGAGCCGAAAAUAAUAGAUUCAUUUGAACCAGCUUAUAAGACCAAGAGUACUCAUCCUUGGAUAUAUAGUAUACAUGUUUUUGAGUACUAGUAGGAUAUGCAAAUAAGGAUCGUAUGAUUUUCGCUAUUCUCUUUUAUCUUUUUUUUUUCUCUCAUUUUUCCACAAAGAUAAUAUAUUAUGCUAGUAUAUCUACACCAAUUUUCUAUAAAUAAAUCAUUCUUGUUGAUGGUAUAAUCUAAACUUGUUCGUUUACUGUUGCCAACAAAAAAAAUAUACAAAGGUCUACCUGAAUAUAUAUGUAAGUGAAAUAUCCAUAACAUUUUUAAAAUAUAUUUUUUUAAUGAAAAUCCUAAUUAGAAAGUAGAAACUACAUACUAAAGUGUUGGGAGUAUAAAUUUCUUAAGAUUGAAACUAUUUUGAAAAUUUUAAAAAUUUUGGUAAAAUAUAACCUUUUACUCCCCUCAAACUAAUAAUGACACAUAUAUGAAAUAUUCACAAUUUUUACGAGAUUCUGAAUUAGAAUUUAUAUAAUAAAUAAAAUUCUCUCUAGACUAUAGCCGACGGUCUAACAGAAAUUAUCUCUUCUACCUCUCUGUAGAGUUAGGGCAUGCAAAUUGUCUAAAAGAUACAUGAAGGAAAGAGUCAAAGAGGCAAUUUUGAAAAAGAAUUAAGUUUCUAAAGUUGUUAAAAGGCAAGUAAUAAGUGUACGAAAACCAGCAGGAAAUAAUUUUCAUAUUUUUGGAUGAGUCCAUUGGCAUUAAGGCUUCCAGCUAUGAAUGACGCUGCAGAGUUUUUAGAGAAUCCUUUACAGCCAAACAACUUCAAUAAUUCCAAUUUAUAUGAUACCAAUACCAAAGUCAACAUCAUAUAUGUUAAAGUCAAAUGAAGAAUUUAUAUGAGUUACUUCUUUGAGAGUUUCGAUUGCAAGCUCAAGAACUGAAUUCAAUUCAAGAGGCAAACUUGAUGAACAAACUUAUUGUUUGAUCUGAUUUAGAGAUAUCAAAUGCCCGGGUUGGGCUAAAUUUAGACAAGUGAAAAUGAUCUAAGUUAAUAAAUAUAUAAAAAUUCUGGAGGUUUCCCUAGUUCUUGUAUGAUAUUUAGUAUCUGAUAAAUUGUUUUUUUUUUUCCUUACUACAGCUAUAUAUAACUGUAACAUAUCAAAUGAAAAAAAAUAUAUCUUUUGAAAAAUACCGUGUCACAAUUUCUACAUAUCAACCCAAUUUUUUAUGGGCUGAGCUAAUAAAUGUACGGCUCAUAAGUUAAAGAUAUAUUAUAUUUUCACGGGCUAAUUUUUCUAGGGUUACUAUGAGUGCAUAGUUCAUAAACUGAAGUGAUGAACUAGUGGACGUAGUUAGUGAUUGACAAGAGAGCAACAAAGAAGAGUUGAAAAACAAACUGGAGAUGUUGAUCGCUUGAAAGGUUUUUUGACAAAGAACCCCCUUCUGGUAAUUAUUACUUUACAAUAUUCCUAAAUCUCCAAUUCUUCUAAUAAUCUGGAGUCUGGAUAUAAUAAAUGCUGCCAAUAUGGAUGGAAUCAAAUGUACAACAUAUAACUUGAGCAUAGUCACUCCAGCCCCUUCUCUUAACUUAUAUACAACUAUCUAUGAGUGGUGAUGAGAGGAAAAGGAAAGACACCAUCUGUGUGUCAUGGUAAUAUAUCACCACAUGGCUUUUAAGUCGUGCCAUCUUUGCAAUAUUUGUUGAUUUGCACUAAACAAACUCGUCUUUCCUGACCUUCACAGACAGCUUUCUUUCAGCUACCCACUUCAAAGCUUGAUCUCAUCUCUCUUCUUUUGAAAGUUUAGUGCUACUAUUGUUGGCAUGGAAGGAGUUCAUCUUGAAUGCGCACAUGCUACUAUCACAUAGUUCACAUAUUCUUCAGCAACAAUCAAACUAUAUACAUUUUACCUAGAGGUUGCAUUGUCGGGUUAGCUAGAUAAAACCCCAACUGACACAACAUAGGUAAGGCAUUUACUUUUCGAGAUUUCUACAGCAAGGGGAACAUGUACACAAUAAUAAUACUUGAACUUCCCUGAAGAUUAUUGAUUCCUCCAAACUUUUGUUAAUGUGAUACUGAAAAGUUGAAAUAUAGCGCGGUGUCAUAGCUGCCAUCAAUCCAGAAGGAAUAUUUACAUUUUAUUUCUGAAAAGACAAGGAGAGAGUUUCAACGGAUAGCAGCAAAAUUUGAAAGAUGUGCAUUGUAGAAUAAUGUAAAUUUUCAAGAGCCAGAUGAAUACUAUAUCCAUAAUCCAACAUAAUAUAAAUAUUCUCAUUCCAUGACACUAUUAAUGUAAUCAAAGAACUCUUUCAUUGAACAGUAGAAAGAUGUACCUGGAGAAAGAUUUUAGAGCUCAUGUCUUGAACUCACGAAGUCUCAUCAGUUUGUCCUUCCACACAGCUGCAGGAACCAGAAAAUAUAGGUGAUGUGUCAACAAAUUAAUUACAGAAAAACUAUAGCAGAUGCUUCCACCAAAAUAAUUAUAAGUUUACUUUGAUGUACCUGCAUCAUUGUACCUCUCCUCAUUCACUGCUAAGUUCAUAUUUCUCAACAUACUAAGUUCUUCAGAAAGUAAAUCGGGGCCAUCUGAUGCACUGCGCCAAACAGAAUUAGUCUUAAGUUUGGAGAAAGUCCAAAGAAAUGUACAUAGGAGAGAAAAGAGACCAACCUAUCUAGUAAUACAUCAUAGGUGGACUUAAUUCUGCUAGAUCGGUCCAUUCCAUAACCUAUUCUAGUUGCAUCAGUCAAGACAAUUUGCUUAUUCACAAAUAUUGGUGCCUGCAUAAACCAGAACAAGCUCAAUUACAGAUAACGGCUGUCAAAAUUUGUAGGUGGGGCAUUACAGCUCAAGAGAGAUUAAUAAGACUGAUUCUAACAGGAGCUAAAACUGAAAAGAAGUUGAUCAUACACAUAAAACUUUACCACAAGUCCUUAUGAAUCUCACAAGUAGGUCUAGUGAGAUCGUGUGUAUUCGACCUUACCCCUACCUUGGAAGGUAGAGAGGCUGUUUCAGAUAGACUCUGGGCUCAAGGAAGAGAGAUCAAUCUUUUCAUCUCAGGAUGCUAGGAAAAAGGUCAAAUGGAAAACAGUCAGGAGACAUAAUGUUUUCUACAAUGGUAAGCAAUUUAUAUGAAGCGAUUGAUUAUCAAACUUGAAUCUCAAAGUCCCAUAAGAACAAUACCUUACAUCUUCUGGCAACAUUAAUGGCAUCGGAGGGACGAGCAUCCACACUAAUAAUAUCUUUUUCCCCUGCCUGGGUAUUAUCAAAAAUGUUAAAUUCAGAUUAAAUGCAAUUACAGAAGUAGGAGUAUAUUUUCAAUCUACGAACAAAGUAUUUUGAACAUACCUUGUGGAAAAAUAUUCUGGCAAAAUAAGUACUAGUCACUCUUUCUGUAAUCUUCACCAUUUUAACCUAGAAAUGAUACAUCACCAAAUUAAGAAAGUAAGACUAGCACUUCAAACAACAAUUAAAGGCGCGGUGUCUGUGUCUGUUUCCCCAAUUUAAAGGUGAUCACAUCUCAAAGGAAGUGUUACAUCUUACAAACACGUAGAAGUAAGUGAGGAGUAGCCGCCUCCUGCUCACUUGCCAUGUUACAAGUAAAAGUAACCAGUAAGAACUUUUCAUGAUACUUGGUAAAAGCAUAUUAGUAUCAUGAACUGGCAGCUAAAAGAUAAGCAGAAAGAGUUAAUGGCCGCCUCCUAAAGUUUCAUUUCAAUAUAUAAAACUUAAAAAUAUGAACAUUUGAAUAUAUGACAUGCUUCUGAAAACCAAAGGUUUCUAAUAUCAGGGAAUGUGGUAACAAAUUCAAAAGAGAAGCUAAAAGUAAACAUGGCUAAAAUCAAGAUUGAUAUUACUUUAUAAUUAAAAAAUCAAGAUUGAGAAAGGAUGCAUAUGAUGAAAUAGAUAAAAAGUGGUAUUGACAUACUUCAUAGCCAGAUUUCAACAAUAGAUUCCUCAAAAGCAGGAACUCGUCGGGGCAAUCCUGCAGCAGGCCCAACGUCAGCAUCUCAAAGAAAUGUUAAGAGAAAGAUAAGGAAAAGUAGUCAGAAAAUCCGUUCUCAAAAUCUUGAAAAAAAUUACCCCAGUCUCCUCCUCAUGCAAUGAAUCUAUAAGUUUUUCGACAGCAUGUUCUCCUGAAGUAGCAGGCAGUAAGAGUUAUGAAAACAGUAUGAUAUAACUGUUUACAAGACACUGCUAGUUGUCCAAGUAGAAAUUUAAAAGUACAUACCAACAAUAAUUGGUAAGACAUAUUCUGCAUCACAGGAAAUCUUAAGAAAAAUAGUUGGAUUCUUGAAACGGCGAAGAAAUCCUGUCCCUAAAGAUGAUGCAUUAGCAAUACGAUCCUUAGGAUGAAAAGAAGAGGGAAUCAGCUGAGCAGAUGAGUGCCAUCUUGUUUCUUCUUGAAAUCCACCCAUAUGCAUUUUGUAGUGCUUCAUAGUCUCUAUAGUCAUUGCAGCAUUGGUAAACAUGCUUAGCCUCAGAUGCAGGGUAGAAAAUACUAAUAUACAGUAGAAAGACUACAGAUAAAAUGUGAUAAGCAAUUAGAUUUCAAAGUACACAUAACUUAAGUAUUUGAGAUGAAUGAGUGGCUAUGCAAUAAAAAGAUGCCUAACAAAGUGAAAGGUUAUUUUUAUAUAAGUACUAGACCAGCAAUAUUAUAUUAAGAUUGAGUGCUGAGCCCCUAUGUCCCAUCACAUCCACGGAAUAAAUAUUGACAUAUGGAUAUUAAGAUGGAUGAAUAAGGAUAAUAAGACAGAUGUGCAAGCGUAGAAUAUUGGAGAAGAAUAAUAAAAAAAGAUGCAAGUAGCACAGGCAGAGAAUAAAGAGAGAGAGCCUGUGAUAGUUUGGUCAUGUCUGGAACAGACCUCCAAAAGGUGAUAGAAAAGGACUUGGUAGAAAUUUCUAAAAUAUGAAAAUUCUACCAGGACCAAUGUCACAACUUACAUAAUGGAAGCAGAGAAAUCCACAUAUACAUAUUCAUUUGGUACCACAUGAAAUAGACCUGACUAAACCAAAAUGGAAUCAUAUGAAUCAAAUAGGGAACUCAACUGAUUCUGUGAUUCAGUAUUCAAGAUAUAAAUUAUCAAUUGACUUAUUUUGUUUCUCAAAUUAUUGUAGAGCGCAUGAUUUUCCAUCUCAAGUCAUUUUUUAUACAAAUUGAAAUGAUUAAAAUGUGUGCAUCAGAUACUCCAAAAGUAGUUUCUUUUUGAAUGAUCCACGUGUGAUAAUACAUUUUUUGGAGAGGCGGAGCAAAGAUUUUAGGUCCCUCCAUUCCAUAACAUUGGUUUUUUAGACUAAUUCGUACAGGAUCAUCAAAUGUUACUGGGAAAGCAACUUGUUCAAAGUCUGUGGAGCUAGCAGCUAAGCAACCAAUUUUCCAUUUUUCACUUACUAAUAGCAGUUGAGCUACAUUGAUUAAAAAAGCAAAAGCAUAGAGAGAAAAAUCUGAUCUUUUUCAUACAUUUCAACAAAGUAAUGUUCAUGAAGAAUAUAUUACCUGCAUCAGUAUUUCUCUAACAAAAAAAUAUCGGAGAAAAGGGCAAAACGGUAAUUUUCCAUACCUGAAACGAGAACGACAGCUUCAAUAUAAUCAUCACCCGGUUCAUCACUCUGAUUAGAUUUCCGAUUAAAGCUUCCGCGUGAUGACUUGCUACAGAUUACCAUGAAUCUGGACUUUCUACAAUGCCUAUUUCUGGAAGAGAGAUGAUAUGAGAUAUUUCCAAUGGAGGAGUUACAGUUCCAGCUGGCACUCCGGCGACUUGUUUCCGGUAGAUCGGUGAAAACUCCGGCGACGGUGGAGAUCCUUAACUCAACGCCGAGCAUUGUUAGACAAUAAAUUCAAUGUGGGUUUACAGAGAGAGGAGGAAAAAAAAAGGGGGGGAUUUAGGGAUAAAAUAAAUUAGGUGGAGAAGACAAAAAUAUUUGUUGUUGGGCGAAGGAAUGGAGCAUGUUGAUGUUAAAGUGGCUUUUAAAAUACUCUACUACACUUCCACAGGGAGGACGAGAUUCCUUUUCCCCAAUACAAAAAUACGUACUAUUUCUAGAUAUUUUUUAUUAUCAACUUUAUUUCUAUUUAUUUAUUAUAUUAAUAUUAAAAUAAAUACACACACUAUCAAAAUAUUUAUUAAUUUUAAAUAUGUCUAUUUAAAAAUUAAAAGAGAUGUCAUAAAAGAAAUAGAGAAAUUCUUAUUCAAUGGAGUAAAAAGAAAAUAAAAUAGUAGUAUAAAUUUUAUUUCUAAACAGUUUAAAAUUUAAUGUUUCAAAUUAAACGUAAAACUUUUUAUCGAUAUACUUUAAGAAUCGUGCUAGGCAAUGAAUUGAGAUUCACGUUUAUCUCAUUUCUAUUAUUUAAAAAAUAACGUGUUGGAAAAAAGAAAGUCGAGAAAGAUAAGUUCCUCUUAGGUCUACCCUGUUAUUGGCAAUCUAUCAUUGUUCACCACAAUACCACAUACUAAAUAUAGAAUAAGUUCUUUCCAUUUCAAAAAGAGUACUGUAAUUUAAAUUGAUAUAAAAUAUAUAAGAAUAACAAUAUUAUAAUAUUAAACUAAAAUUAUGUUAUCAAAAUAUUUUUAAUAUCAUGAUCUUAAACACAUCAUAUAUGAAAAAUCAAAAGUAAAAUUUUGUAAUGAUUUUUUUUUUUAGGUAGAUACUACUUUUUUUUUUGGGGGAGUAGCAUUUAGUCCAUCACUAAAGUUUUAAUUUUAAAUUACUUUAUUUUUUGAAAAUAAACUUUAAAUUCAAUCAUCAAACAUGAUUACUUAGUAGUUGUCUGUUAAUUGUUAUAGAACACGUGGAAGGAAAUGGUUGGCCUUAAGGUAAGAGUGCGCCAAAACGUGCAUCGCAUGCUCCUAACACUCGUAUUUUGUUGGAGAAUUUUUCCUAACCCUUCUGUUCACCUAGCAAUAUUUAACUUCACAAGGGUCUCCCUUUAAAUUUUUGCACAAAAAUAGUCAAAGCUCUUACUACUAGGUCAUAUGUAUGUGUAUAAAGAAGAAGAAGAAAAAGUCAUAUAUGUAAGACUAGUGAGGUCAUAUGUAUGAGUAUAAAGAAGAAGAAGAAAACGUCAUAUAUGUAAGACUAGUGAAUAGUCUAUGUAUCCACAUACCAAUUCAUGAUUAUUGAGGCACAUUCUCUUUUCAACGUUUGUUAUUAACAAUUACCAAAAUAUAAUACUUACACUAACUCGUAAAAUAUCUUCACGUGCUCAUUAGAAAAUCUAGGAUAUUAUUGUUGACAUUUGGAAGCUUGUUCCGUGUCUAGUCAUCUUAAUUCUUAUCCAUUUGUUACUCUUUUUUUAUAAUUGGAUGUCUAAUUAACUAAAGAACCUACUUUUAACAACUUGAUAAGCUCGUAGGCCCUCGUGUUUGUACUAGAAUGAGUCAAAUGUCAUGUUGGGGUUGGACCACCUUGUAAUAACGAACAUGGCUACUUUAUCACGACACAUCUCCAAGAACGUCAUAUCUUGUAAAAUCAAGUCAUCAACAAAUAUCUAAUAAACUCAGCUACUCCAUUUUGUUCAAGAAAAUACCAUUAAGCAAAUUACUGGGUGAAGUGUACAUUUUCACUUCAAACUAAUAUCCAAGUUGCAAGAAAAGAGAGGAUCUUGACAAUGAUAAAGCCACGAGCCAGAAAGUUGCUAAACAACAUGUAAGAAUGAACCAACAGAUAUCGUAAACGAUGUCACGACCAUGAAGACAACAAAAUGACAAGCAACGAAAGAGAAUACAUACAUCAUAAAGUUUCAGAAAGAUUACAGAUAAUCCACAUUCAAGGUGUAACCCAGACAUACAUUCAUUAACCAGUACUCUUUAACAUCAAGACUAGUCCACAUCAAACUUAUAGAUCCUUACAAAAGCAGUUUCCAUAGCUGAGGACGAAACCCACUUAUCUAUAACCACGAGGGUAGUUCCUUUCAUAAGGAGAAUAUGACCGGGAUCGCGCACGUCUCGACCUUCCAGCAUAAGGUGAGCGUCUAGGAGAAUAAUCUCGCCCACCUCUAUAUGGAGAGUGUCUGGGAGAAUAAUCUCGCCCACCUCUAUAUGGAGAACGUCUUGGAGAUCUUCGGUACCCAUAGUCACCACGGCCACGAUACCUACCCCGAUCACCAUGAUAACCUUUGACCAAAGCAAUGAGUACUUUAGAGAUUCCACAAAUCAAAAAUAGAAUAGGAACUUACAUAGCAUCAGAAGCUUACCAUCACCCCUUGCGCUCUGAUGAAGCCCAAGAUAAUGACCAGGUGUUGGAGUCCUUGGCCGUUUUCUACGAGACUGAAAAACAAAAUAGAUCAUCUCAAUAUGUGAAAUCUGAACAUAUGUGAUUUACAUCAAGAACAAAUGGGUUAUCUCGACCAGAUAAUGUAUUCUAGAGAAUGAAUUCCUUGUAAUGGAAGAAUAUGAAAUUGCUAAUAUCGGGUGUUCUCUUCACAACAAAAAAAAACAGAAAUAUUUGUAAUUCUAUGAAAUCAUAACCUAUGAUGCUAACAUCCAAAGAAAAGAGAAUCACCAAAUGCACUCCUAAAGGAAGAAUAUAACAUUCAACUAAUCUGUGCCAAAAAAAAGCAAGUCUCCUCGAAAAACCUCUGCAAAACUGAAGGUGGCACAAGCACACAACGAUGUCCAUUACUAAGAAAUAGGAUAUGACACUAGUCACACAGGAUAGCAGCUUAAAUAUUUUCGCACGUCUUAUAACAGCUAAAAGAUGGAGAUAGAACCAACACCAGGAUGAGAUACCAUAAAAGCCUGAUUCUAUUGUUGAUAAUGACCCUUGAUUAGUUGAGAGUUUGAAGUAUUUGCUGAGGUUGUAUAGUUGUUUGGCAAAAUAGUUGCUAAGUUUAGUCGAUCAGAUGCAUGUGAAAAGCUGUUUUAGCGGGCCAUUUGGUCAAGCUGAGUGAAUAUAAUGUUGCAAUGGAAGAACUGAUCAUCUUUGAUUGCUGCCAACAAAGCUGACGUAAUGUCUUCUGAAUAUAAUCAGAAAACCUCCAAGUCAAGAAAAAAGAAAAGCAAGCCAACAGAACAAUGGUUCACCAAUCAAUGUAUAAAUAGCUGACCUUCUCCACCGUUAUGGACCGGCCUUCAAGGACGGACUGAUUAAGGUGCUUAAUGCAGCGAUUGGCAUCCUCAAGACUAUCCAUUGUUAUGAAAGCAAAACCACGAGAGAUGCGAGAACGGGGCUCCACAACCAGAAAAGCUGACUUCACCUAAUCAAAAGAAAGUAUAAGAAACUUCAAUAGCAAGCUUUAAAGUAUGAACAAUGAGAAAAGAAUCCAGCCAAAAUUCCACAAUACAUCAAUAUCUUGGCAAAUGCAUUGACAAGACUUUGCUCAUACAAUAAACUUAAAUGAAAACUAGAUGUUUCUAAGAUAAUCAUCAUAAAUGAAAAAUUUCCAUUAUAAAGAGUAGAUACAACACAAAUUAUUUUGAACGAGAGAGAAUGUUGGUAUGCAGUAUGAGCACCAAAUCAUGGCAGAAACAGAACCAGAAAACAACUUGCUUAUACGUAAACCAGAAACCAACCUUUCCCUCCUUUGAGAAAUGCUCUUCAAGAUCCCUUUGAGUGACCCUUGAAGAUAAUCCAGUCACAUAGAGUGUGUUUCCAGGAUUAGUAUCUUCAGCCCUAAUCAAGUCAUGGAGGAAAUUUUGAGAAACCGAAACGAAGCUGUUAACAUAAAGAAGGUGAAGUAAAACUAAAGUUCCACUCAUACCUUCCAUGACUUCUGGACCUUGAUCUUCCUCUUGGCCUUGACUGUGAUCUAGUUGGGGAUCGAGAGCGAGAUCUUGACUUUUCUUCCCAAGGUGAAGGAGAGCGGGAAUACCUGGGAGUCCAAUAAGUACAACAUUGAACCAGUUUAUUAACACCAACCACAUGUCUUUAAAGAUGGUUCCUCGAGUAAUGAUGGUAUCUUUUUCAAGUAUAUGUAGCUCAUAAAAUUUCUAUGUCAACUAAUACUACUAAAGACAGUGGCUUAAAAGAAAAUCCGUUGGAGAUCUAUUUGCGUGCAAAAAGAAAACAGAAAUGCAUCGCUAAGGCUAUGUUAGUGUGUUCUCCAUUAACAUGCUCAACAAUUUUACUUGUAAAAAAUGCCAAAAACUUAUCCAUAAAGGUUGAUUGGUACUUUCUAACUCAAGAAAGACUUAGCAUAUGACCAAUUUUAUCAAUAAGUAGGAGGAUCUUUGACGACCAUACAGUGGGAGACUUCAUUAGGAUGUUCCCUGGAAAACAUUACUUCAAAUCAAAGAGAGAGAAAAAAUUGAACCUUAUCCCUUGCAUAAGUAAGGCAUAGGAUUAAUGACUUUAUUAUAUACAGAAUUACCCAUAUAUACAAAAUAUGAGAUUCUCAGAAAUGUUUUAUGCUUCAGUGACAUUCCCCAAUAAAACAAACGGAAAACUAAUUCUACAUGAUAAACUUAAAAACAAUUCUUCCAAAAACAGAUUCAUACCUUACCAUUUCUCUAUUAAAAAAGAUUAACACAUUAACAUCUCUCCAAAACACAAAUCAAAGUGAACUCCCCAAAAUCCAACAAACCCCAUUCAAUUUUUUUACACCACAUAGAUAUCCCAACUAGCCUGAUGAAUAAAACAAUGUAUUCACCAUUCACAAGGCCAACAACCAAAUAAAGAAAAUAUAGAUCAGCGAAAUACAGACAAAAAAACCCUAAUAAAGAUAAAACCAAUUACGGAAAGUUAGACGGAUCAAGUCGAUGCAACAAAUAAACAGAAAAUCCUCAAAGUUCUAUAAAGAAACAGAGUGGUACCUUUUGCGUGGAGAAUCAGCCUGCAAGAAAUCAUAAAGAUGAUAAAAUUUGUUGUUUCGACAAUUAAUUAGGUUAAAAAAUUCUGAAAAUAUGCAAAAAAACACAUAUAUGUUAAAUAGAAGAAAGAUAUAAUGGGAGAUUAGAGAGAGCAAAGCUUGCCAUUUCGGAUGAUGGAGCGAACCCUAAAUUGCCAAUACGAAGCGAUCCCUAAAUUGACUCGACUAGAAUGAUGCAAGAGUUGAAGCUUUAAGCGUGCCUGUCAUAAAUAAUCACAAUUUUAGUUAUGCCCUCUUAUUUUAAAUAAUACCACUUCAAUCCCCUUUAGCUAGAGCCGUCAAUAUGGGCUAGGCCUGUUAGACCGAUCUGAUCUAAUUCGAAAUUUAAUAGGUUGGGCUAAGAUUUUUGAAGCUCAUUUAAAGAAAUGGUUUUUUAGUUCGACCUGAAUAAGUCUGCUCAUUUGGGACUUGAGAAAUAUUGGUAGGGCCGGUCAGUUGGCCAAUAAAAAUUAAUUUGAAAAUAUUAUAUAAUAUUAAAAUAUUUAAAAAUAAAGAAAGUCCAAAUCAAAAUAAUUAGGUUAAUAUUUUUAUUUACAUAUUUAUACUUUUAGUUGAAAAACAACUUAAUAAAUACUAAGGAAAAUGCAUAAGUACCCUAGAUUGUAACUAAAAUUUCAGAGACACACCUUAAUUAAACUAAUGUCAUAUUACCCCUGAACUUUUCUUUUUAAUUUUAUACACAUUUGGUCUUAUGUGGCACUCUAUGUAACUCCACGCAAUUGAGGCGCGUCAGAGAUAUUUGGAUGCCACGUAGGCCAAAAAGGUACACAAAAUUACAAAAAAAAUAAGUUCAAGGGGGUAAUACGACCUUAGUAAGGUGUGUCUUUGGAUUUUGGUCAUAGGGGUACUUGUGCAUUUUCCCUAAAUAUUAUAAAAAUAAUUUUAUUUGUGAAUUUGAUUAACAAGUAGUGACAAUGUCUCAUUUGUUUCCAUUAAGAUUAAGACGUUUGAAUUUGAAUACACAUUUAAAUAUUAAGAUGUGCAUUAAGAUCUAAAAGUGUAAAUCUGAAUAAACAUCUGAAUAUUAAAAUAUUGUCUCUGAAUCUGAACACUAAAUUAUUGGGACAGUUUGUUUUCAAUAUCUGAAUGCACAUAUGAAAUUAAACAUUAUAUCAAUAAAAUAUUAUAAAAACCUUGUUAGUAAAAUAGUUUUUUUUUUCAUAUAUUAUAAUAUUUUGAACAUUUUUACCGUAACAAUUUAAUAUAAUUUAUCUUUUAAGAACUCAACAUUAAGUUACAUCAUUAAUAUGACUAUUUUUUGCACUCAAAUACUUUAAGAAUCUAAUAUAAUGCAAUUUAAAAUAGUUUAUAUAGAGUAGUAAAUAUAUAGUUUAGAAAAAUAUUUUAUUUUAUUUUAUUCUAUGAUAGAAAUUUUUUAUUGUUAUCGAUCAAAUAACUAAUACUUUCUUAUUUUUUAAAAACCAUGCUAAAUAUUAUAUCAUGGAAUGCUUAUCAAUUCAAAUAUAUUAAUUAAUUUAGAAAGUAAAAAAUGUAUAUUAAAUUAAUUUGAAUAAAGGAAAUUAUAAUGGCAAGCAUGUAACUAAUAUUAAUUAAAUAAGAAAAUAAUUUGUAUGAGUUGUCGUGAUUUAGUUGAAUUAAGAUAGGACGGUCUUAUUUUUUAGUCUGAAUAGUGUUAAGGUGUGUUACAGAUCUGAUUCAUUCAGAUAUAUCUAGACCCUUUAAGAGGCUUAUAAGAAAAUAAAUAAACGAACUUAAUGAAUUGAAUCUGAAUAAUUAAGAUCCAGUUCUUAAAAACAAACACACUUAAUGAGACAAAUCUGAAUGAAUAAGAUUCAAAUCUCAUUAAGUGCAAACAAAUGAGGCCUAACAUAAUGUUAUAUUGUUUUGUCGAUAUUUAUGAUAAUAUUUUUAAAUUAUAAUUUAUAGUUUAAUUUAAUAUUUAUAAAAAAAAGGGAAAAGGGUCAAAUAUGCCUCUGUACUUUUCGAAAAGGUUUAAAUAUGCCCCCCGUUUAAAGUUUGGUCCAUUUAUACCCUCGCCGUCCAAUUAUUGGUACAAAUAUGCCCUUAUGGGCGUUAAUUGACCACCUCAAAAUAUCCAACGCAUUUUACUUUUCUUUAAUUACCCAAAUGGAUUUUCCACGUAAUUUUAAUAUUACAGCGUGACAUUUAUAUUACAAAAGAGAAAGGGUCAAAUAUGCCCCUAAAAAUUCGACCCAUUAAACUUACCCAUAUUUUAAGGUUCAAUUAUACCCCUUUUAUUACCCGUAUCCGACCCAAAACCCAUAUCCCUUUUCCCCCGAUUUUAUUACCCGUAUCCCCUAAAACCCAUCCCUAAUUUCCUAAACUUCCUUUUCCCCAAGAACACAAAUCGCGGAUAGCAUAUCCAUUCUUCAUUUCAAAGUUAGGGUUCUUGAGAGCCUCAUUACCCCCAUCAAUUACAUUAAUGUAGCCUAACCUAACCUCCAGAUUAGUGCCUCUGCUGGAAAAUGGCAGCAUUCAGUACUGAAGCACCAAGAGAAAAGGGCAAACAGAUACCAAAGAACUACAUGAGGAAUAAAUCCAAAUCUCUAGCUACCUAGAAAAGAAAUAAGCUUACAGAUGCUCGAUGUAUUUCAUGAUGAAAUUUCAGAGACGAAUUACACUUGACAGAUUCACCAGAGUUGCUUUCUUGAUCAAUUGAAUCAAGCUUUCCCAUAUAUAGAACUCCUUCCAUUUUUACCUGGACUCUACCACGAUGGCUUGUACACUAUAGCCAGGUAAUGGCAGAAAAAUAACAUCUUCACGAUAUCACAAAGGACUUCACUGUCAAGUUUUGGGGGAUACGGGUAAUAAAAUUGGGGGAAAAGGGAUAUGAAUUUUGGGUCGGAUACGGGUAAUAAAAGGGGUAUAAUUGAACCUUAAAAUAUGGGUAAGUUUAAUGGGUCGGAUUUUUAGGGGCAUAUUUGACCCUUUAUCUUUUGUAAUAUAAAUGUCACGCUGUAAUAUUAAAAUUACGUGGAAAAUUCAUUUGGGUAAUGAAAGAAAAGUAAAAUGCGUUGGAUAUUUUGAGGUGGCCAAUUAACGCCCAUAAGGGCAUAUUUGUACCAAUAAUUGGACGGCGAGGGUAUAAAUGGACCAAACUUUAAACGGGGAGCAUAUUUAAACCUUUUCGAAAAGUACAGGGGCAUAUUUGACCCUUUUCCCUAAAAAAAAUAUAAUUUUUUAAAAAGUGAGCUGGCCCGGCAAGCUUAUAGCCCACGUACUUGUGGGCUGGGCCGACCAUUUUUUGGCCCACACAAAAAAUGGGCUAGCCCGGCCAGCCCCGUAAAAUGUCAAAGCAUGUAUGGGUUAGUCCGGAUGGGGUGGGCUAGUCCAUAUUGACAGCUCUACCUUUGGCGUUGACAAAGGAAAAAAUAUUUAAUUUUUCAAAGCGUCAAGAAUAUUCUCUAACUUUAUUUAUUAACUAGUGAAAUUAUUCGCGUUUUGCGCGAUUAUAUAAAAUAUUUAUAAGAUAAUAAUAGAAAUAUGUAAUAUUUAGGUUAGUAUCGAAUAUAUAGAUAAUAUUAAUAUUUUUCCUCGUCUGCGAUAUCAUAGACUUUUUUUUAUACAUAUAAAAUAUAUUUAUUUAUUUUGUGUAUAUAUAUAUAUAUAUAUAUAUAUAAACAAAAUAUUCACCGUAAUAAAGUAAAUAGAAUAAGAGACAGUAUGUUGAAAUAACAAUAUAUUGUAUUAGGUUGGAAAUAUUUUAUAUGUUAUAAUUUUCUAUAUCUUUUGUAGCAGUACUAAUGUUCUGUUCAAACUCUGAUCUCGUCAAAACAAAAUUGAUUUUUUAAAAUUUUAUUAUUACAUUUACUUAUUAUAAUUUUUUAAACAUUAAUUAAAUAUUUAUAAGACUUACGAAAAUAAAACAUAUAAAAGUUAUAAUAUUUAAUAUAUAUAUAUAUAUAUAUAACACGUUACAAGUAAGAUGAAGAGACAUGAGUUAUAAAUAAUUCAAAUGUAUAAUUUUAUUAGAAAAUAAAUGUAUUACUAAUUAUGUAUUGAUUUUAUUUGUAAAUUAAAUAAAUAAAAAUAAGGGGUGAAAAUACAAAAAAUGAACAGAGAAAAUAUAAUAAUUGCUGACUACAUAAAAAUUAUAAAUACAUUUCGAAGCAAAAAGAAUGGUGACAGAUUGUUAUAUAUACAAAAAAAUUACAUCAUGAAAAUAAUAUUUUAUUUUUCAAUUACUUUUUUAAUUAUAAUAAAAGUGAAACUAAUCAUCAUAAUUUUUUUAUUUUUGUUAAAUGAAAUAAUUAUAUUAAUUUUCCUAACAAAAAGAAAAUAGAAUAUUAAAGGAUCAAAUGAUUAGCAUUGAAAAUAUAAUACAUUUAGCUUAUUUACUUAUAUAAAUCAAAAUUUUAAAAAGUCUAGCAAAAGUAAUUAAGUUGCUAAUACAGUUCAAAAUGAAAAAAUAAUCUCUAAGUAUGCUUCAUUUUUUUUUCCUUCUAUCAUCUUCUUCUACAAAGAGAUCCGCCAUCAUGUUUUGAUCCAUAUGUCAAAUUCUUCAUUAUAUGCAACCAACUGAAUUAAAAAAAUCAUAUACCAAUUAAAAAUAAUUAUGUCAAAGGAAAGAACGAAAUAUAAACUAUAUUUAAUAUAUUAUCUUUUCAAUAGUGCUAACAAUACUAAAUAAUAAUUAUUUCUUGAAAUCUAACAAAUAUUAUAAUCAAACUAUAUUAAAUCUGGAAAACUAACUAUUGGAAAGAGCAAUUGCAUACGGACAACACAUUGUUAAGAAUUACAGAUAUUUUUUUUAAAUCAUACUUACUUGAUAAAUUAUAAUACAAAUAUAAAAAAUAUAUAUUAAGAAAGCAUGUCUAAGUACAUAAAAAUAAAAAGAAAUACUUUAGAAUGAAAUAUAUCUUACCUUCAUAUCUUUUUUUUGUUACAUGUUAGUUAAUUCACAAAAAAAUAUGAUGAAUAAGAGAAAUUAUAACUUUGUAUGUGAAUCUUCAUGAAAAUAAAUAUGAAUUUAUAUAGAAAAUAAAGGAAAUGAAAAAUAAGGGCUUGAGGAUGAUAUAUUUAUUAACUUCAUGCACUUUUUUUUUUGUUACAUGUAAAUUUCAUUUAUAAACCAAAUACUAAUUUAUAUAGACAAAAAUAGAGAAAAUAAAAAAUAAAAAUUUGCAAUGAAAUGUUUGUUACCUUCAUGUACUUACUUUUUGUUACAAAUCAAACCUAUAUGAUAAAAAGAGAAAGGAUAAUUGUGAAUGUGAAUCUUCAUGAAACUAAUAUGAACUUAUAGGCAAAAUAACGGAAUACCACAAGACAUCAUAAACUUACAAAUUUAAUUUGGAGGUCAUGGACAUAAAGAUUAUGAGAGUUAUAAAUAUUAUUAAAGGUAAAAAUUAAAGCGGGACAAGUCAUGAUUAGUAACUCCCAAUGAAUAAAUUUAAAAAUAAAAAAUAAAAAUACUUAAAAUAAAAAAAUAUAAAUUAUGAUUUCAUGAUUAGAAGUGAGAUAAACAAAUAGAAAAAAUAUAUAGAGUUUUUUUUUAUAAAUGUUUCUACGUUAAUAAAAUAUUUAUUUGUAUAAAUAAAGUAAUAUAUUUUUAUAAUAAAAUAAUUAAUUUAAAUUUAAAAAAUAAAUAAAUUAUAUUUCUCCUUUUAUUAUAAGUGAAAUAAAUAAAUAAAAAAAUGAAGAAUUUUUGUUAUAAGUGAUCCUCCAUUAAUAAAAUAUUUAUUUAUAAUAAAUUUUAGUAAUCCUCUUUAUGAUAUAAUAAUUAAUUUAUUUUUUUAAAAAGCAAAAAAAAAAAAAAAAACUAAAUGCAAAUGGAAGCUAUACAAAGGUGCCACAUCACUUUGUCCAUAGUUCUCAUAUAUAUGGCUCACUUUGUCCAUAGUUCUCAUAUAUAUAUAUAUAUAUUGAAUUUUUCCUUCAUUAUGUUACUUAACUAAAAAUAUUUUCAAUGUAUACUUGAGAAGUAUACCUCUCAAUUGGACGUGAUCCAACUCAAUUUCUAAUUGAAUCAAAUAAUUAAAAAAAUGGAUAGGUUUUUUCGUUUGGGAGCGAGCAAUGCUGAGCUUCUAUUAACCAAAAAAGAAAGACAAAUACUAAUAGCCAAAAAAAAUUAACCAGAAUUUCGCUAAAAAUAUAAAAAGUUUAUAAUAUAUUUUUUUUAAUUAAAGCAUAUAAAAGUUAAAAGGAUAAAAUAUCAAAAAAAAAAUAAUUAGUUUAUAAUGUGAAUAUGUUGUUUUUACGAUCCUGGCUAAAUUAUGACCAAAUUUUCUUGGCAAAAUUUUUUUUCCAAAAAAAACCCCUAAUAUUCUUAGUGAAGAAAACAUUUUUUUUAAAAUAAAAACAAGACUGAUUUGACAAUCUUGCCUACCCACAAAACAAAAUCCUCGGUAACUCCAAAUGUAGAUAAUUUUGUCGAUACAUUCAUGAUGUAUCUAUCUCGUUUGUCACGAAGUUAUAUUCUCUUUUAUACGUAGAUAAAGAGAAUUAAAUUUUUAAUCUCUCUCCCGUAACUUAACCCUCAUUCAUACUAAAAUGUCUUAUAUAUAUAUAUAUAUAUAUAUAUAUAUAUUUCAAAUACAUAAAAGUUCAAAUUUAAUCGAGAUUUCAUACAAGAUCUUGAUUAACUAAUAGCUUUAAUGUUCAAAAUAACAGUCCUAUCACCAUAAGUUGUCAGGGACGCUAGAAAUUGACAUUCAGAAACUCCUCUAAUCAAUGAAUUUUUUUUUUUCUAAUAGAAAGUAUUAGAUUGUUUAUUGAUUGAUUGUCAUCAAUAACUAUUAUAAUUGAAUGUUAAAAAGAAAAAUUGUAGCACAUGAACUAUAAUGAAUCAAAACAAUUAACAUCUCAACUAUAUAGUCCCAUGAGACCCACAAUAUUCAGCACAAAUACAAGCCCACAAUCAUAUCAUUUCUAUCCUUUUUUUCACCCUCUAUUGUACAACAUAGAACAAAUGUACAAAAUUGACUAAUAAGGAUCUUGCAGCUACAUAUUUUCAGAGUGUCCAAACACUCACAAUCGUGUUAAUUAUUGAGGACUGACUAUGUAGUCAAAACAUCUGGGAUAGUAGGGGCAUGAUUUCCCAGAAUUCUACCUCCUACAUCUGGGAAAUUUUCAUAUUCAGCUAAUGGACCUACUUUCCCGUCCGCGCCUACAUGUAUUGGAUACUUGAGAAGAUGUCCAUGUAGUUGAGUGAACUUUUCAGCUGUGUAACUCUUCCAGUUUCCUUCAGCAACCUCAUUCACCUUCCUCACGCAUGUUAGCGCCUCUGGUUCCUUGAAACAUUCUUCUAUCCUCCCAAGGUGUUCUGCCCAUAGGGACAUUCUGUAUCCAUAGAUCUGGAGAUCAAGACAAGAUGAAUAAAUAAAUGCAUCCGGUUUCGUUAACGUCUUCUCAAGAUAAAGUAUGUGCAUUAUGUGAUUUUCUAUCAAACCUGUCCCCGUGGACGCCUUUGCUUUUCUGUCCAUGCAUAAUGAGGCUGGUAGGCACCCAUAGCUAUCUCUGUAUCUUUCGACCCAGCUAAGGAUCGUUGAUUUAUGUUGGCAGAGCCCAUUAUAACAUACUCAUCAUCCACUAUCAUUCCUUUGGCAUGAACAUAUAUCAUGAAACGCUGAAACUUAUAUGAGUCUGAGACCUGGUUGCACGUCAAAAAAAAACUUCUCACAAAAGUAUUCAAGCUUGAUCAAAUUCAGAUAAGCAAAAUGAAACAAAAAACAAGAAAGCAUAGAGGAUGACAACUCACAACGAAAUAAAAUUGUGUUUACUUUAUGAGGGUUGAUUUGGUCACUGGUGUUCCUAAAUCUAUGCAUUAGAAAUACCCACAUUCUUAUUUUGUUCUCUAUCCUAUUCCUCAUUACUUAUGAAGGUAAGUAUGAUGUAAGAGAAAAGGUAAAAUAGCAAUCAAAGUAACCAAACAAUCGGCCCAUGUUUUUGCUUCUGCUUCACACCUUAAACGGAAGCAUGAAAGACCAAAAAUAUUGGUACUGCAAAAAUAUGGUUCUGCAUAAAAAGGUAUUAAACCUCAAACCUUAAAAGAUAUUGCUAGCCCAAAAUCCUCUGCCACAUGGAUAUAGAGCAAAGUUUAAGAUACCCGGUUUUUUCAAGCAAAAUUCCGAAUCUGGAUAAUACAAUUAGAUUUCCUUUUGAAAGUUCAAUUAUAAUUCUGUUCAGAUACAGAACACUUUAAAUUUAUUGGGUCACACGAAUACCAAAAGUCCAUAGCAUAUGACACUUUGAGAACUUUCACCCGCCACAGAGGGAGAGUAGCGGGUCUGCUUCCUACAUUGAGACGAGACUCUUAAGUCAAACUAACUCGUAUGCCUACUUAGCUACUUGAUAAAAUUGAACUUUGUUUCAUUUCAAGGUGUAUAUGAUUGGAUUCAGUCAGCCUCUCGACAUAAUUAGAGUAAGCCUUCAGUUAGCCUCACUGGAAUUUCCUCAUGGAUCCAACUAUAGGUUUAUGGGUGGCUCGUGAAACAACUCUAUUCUGUUCACCUGAAGAACUCAUCUCAAUUGCACCUUUAAAGUCGGUCUCACUCUAUCAUAAAUGGUUUACCCACCCCCAACUAGUGGUCCAUCGUAAAGCAUGCUACAACAUGUGUAAUCAAGCUUUUGAAUAAUCAUUCACCAAUUGAGCGACCAAUAUAGAGUUUGAGGAGACGUAAAACAAGCAGAGCUAAGGAAAUAUUGAUAUUGUUUUAAGUUAAAAGGUCAGCCAUUUUUCAAGACUCUAGAACCCAUAUUUAUCAAUAUUAAAAGGCAGCUUUUGUUUCAGCUGCUCCCAAGUGUAUGUUGUGUAUAACACUGUAUAUACACUACAAGAAUAUUUUAAGAAUCAGAAAAUUCCCUAUUACCUUAUCACCAUUACCAGAAGAUUGAGCAAUAGAGCCUGGAAUUUCCUCACGGUUACCAAGGCAGUAGAAAUUUAAAUAAUCUUGUGGAUGUGAGUCCAAAAUCUGCAUCGAUUUGAGCUCUGUCGCAAUAACUUGAUACAUCAUCUGUAUUGUCUGGCUCUGUUGAAAGCAAACAAAAAUCUUAAAAUAACACUUCUCAUUUCUUCUUGUAUACCUUUUUUCAGAUGGCUUCUUCCUUCAAUAUUCAGUUAAUCACAUAUUGAAUCAUCAAAAUUGCAUAGUAAUAUAAUGACAAUGAGAGGCAUGAAGGAAAAUAUGUCAUGGAAAGUAGUGUCUUUUAUCAAAAUCACCACUCAUUUUUUAUUCCGUCAGGUCCUCAUACAUACAAUAAUGCCCAUAAACAUCCCUUUUCAAAGUCCUUUUUCUGGCUUGUCCCUCCAUGUCUAAGGAAGGAAAUGUACCAUUUUAAAGGAUAAGAAUAUUUUCUCAUUCAAAUAUUAAAGCAAAUAAAAGCUCUCUCUUUUGGAUAGGCAUGAUUAUGGAUAUUAGAAAGAGGUGGCCACUGUUUAUGCUAAUGCACACUCUUAUGACUAGUACAUUCAGAUAUUUGGAUUCAGUAACUCUUCAAGAUAGCUGGCAUUUCUAUUCUGAAAGUAUCCUUGCCUAGAUAUAGCUGCCUAUUUGAGGCCAGUAUCACCUAAUCAGUUUUUUUAUUGUUAUGGCCAGUAUCAGUAUCACCUAAUCAUUGCUCAUUUAAAACUGCCUAGCUUCUUCAUAAAAUCCAAAAGACAUAAUCAAAGAGUUUCACGAAAAUUACCUGCCAGAAGAGUAUUUCCUGCAUAGUGAUUGACUUGGGGUCCCCUUCAGGCCACAUGGGCACGACAACAUAUACACAAAAUCGUUCCCUAGCUCUAAUUUUACUAGUGAUUUUCAGUGCCAAUUCCAUCGGUAUCAGAUGAUCAGCUCCUGAUCAAGUGAACAUCAAACAAAAUCAGGAAGCAAUGUAACAACUUCAAGAGUGCUGAAAAUGAGUACAUCUCAAAAAGAAAUAUAAGGAAAACUAUGUAGGAGCUACAAGUUUUGUUUAGGAGGUUGCACUAUCUCAAAACCAUUUCAUUUUUUUCUAGGAAGCUGCAUAAUUUGGAAUCUUACCAAGUGUGAAGCAACAUCCUAUUUAAUUUCUAAAAUGGGGAUGCAUUCCAAGUGACAAAAUGGUCAUUUAGAUGAUAUUCUAUUGCUAAACAAUAUUCUGACCGCACUAUUGAGCUUUACCUAUGUGUUUCAAUGCAUUAAGUUGCAACAAUUCAGGUUUUCCACUUAACAUAUGGACAAGAAUAUAAAGCCAAGCCAACAUCAAUGCAAUGCUACAGAGUGUAAUCUUGUAUAUUGCAAUUCAGAAACAUAACAAGAAUAUCAAAAUUUGACCUGCAUCUUUGUAUGAUUCCCAAGCAUAUGACGAUCCAAGAAAAUACUGAUUUUCAAUAUAUAUGAAAUGCUGAGCUGAUCUUAUUGCCUGAAUAUAUGCGGCUUCAAUGCUUUUAUCUACCAUCAGAUUUUUUGAGCAGACAAGGUUCUGCAAAAGAUACAACGCUAAAGAAAAUGUGAAGUGCAAGGGGAAGACAAGAUUUCUUCCUAGUGUUCCUAACUUAUUACAGCUACUUUAGCAAAAGUUCAUAAAUAGAACAAAGGCUAUGGUUUCCUUGCCUGUGCCUGCGCAACGUCAAUCGUCUUGGGAAAGCCCUGCACUGAACCAGAAUCAAUGGAACGGAAGAUCUGCAAUAAAAGAAUGAGGAUGAAAGUUAAAAAGGAUGUAAGUUAUUCAAAGAUAUCCACAAAACAAAAAAAGGAUCUACCUGUACAUGCCAAUUUUCUGAAUGAUCUUCCCCAUAUACAUGUAGUUUAGGAUCAUCCUCUGGGAUUGCAGUACUAUCCUUUAAAACAGCAAAAGCAGGGCUGAGUAUCCAUGAGAUACGCUCAAUUUUUAGCAUAGCAUCAUCAUGCCAAUGAGACAUUGUUUUCUUAAAGAACUUGAAUUCCCUCCACUUUGUCGCUUUCCUCCAUCGUUGAGCAAAAUUUAUAAGCACAUCAUAUACAGCAGGUCCAUCAAUUCUGCAAUGCAAAUCAUGCCAUGGUUGCCUUGGAGCCUUGGUCCCUGCCUAAUGCAUGCGACCAAAAAAAAAAUCAAAACAGAGAAAAGAAUAAUCAAUUUUUGAGAAAAACAGAAAUAACGAGAAGAAACGAAAAUGUUCCAGAAAAAGGUCAGAGAACGCAUGUAAACAUGCAACAUGCUGAAAUGGGCUUGGUAUUCAACUUGAUCUCAAUUGAGACAGAAGGUGAAGACCCUGCACAGUUACUAAGGGACUUUUUAGCUAACCCUAUUCAAUACUUGCAAUAAAAUGUUCGAAGUUGAAGAAACAAAAUAUAACGGUAGACAUGCUUGUUAGGAUUCAAAAAAAUAUUCAAUAUCUAUCAAAUACUAAAUAUUUACGGCAAACAAUACUGAAAUACAUUAAAUCAAUCACUAACAUAUCGAUAAUAAUCUACAAAAUUUCUUAUGCCAUGGUUUAUUUUGGAAUUUAUUUUAUCACAGUUCUUGAAUAUUGUAUUAUACAGCUAUUUGUUAAUGAACAAUUAUUUUCAAUAAUUCCAUUGCUAACAGAUUUAUGUUACAGAUUGAGCAUUGGAGAUGAAAUAGGCUUAUCUAUAUUAAGGCUAAUGACUAACACACGACCAAUACAGAGUCAGUAAUAGGUAAGUUCAAUUUUUCAAAAAAUGCAUCCAAGGAAAGAAAUCAUGAUAAUGAGAAAUGAAAGAAGAAAUAGCAAUCAAAAGCUCAUAAAACUUCUGGAAAAUAAUUACAAAGAUUAUGGAUGUCAAGAACCAUAUUUAAGUUUGAAAGGUUAAUAUUCAGAAUCCAGGGACAUAAGUUUCAGUAUUCACCUUUUAACUUUCAUUUUUAAACAGCUAAUAAAUCUCCUGAAGAAAGCAUCUACAGCAAUUACGUAAGUGGAGAAAUUAUAUGUUUUCCGGCUUUCCUCCGCAACUAACUACAACAUACUUGAGAGCUUGGACCACUGUAAACUACAGAUCUGCCCUUCGCUUGUUAAAAUUUAGAUUAUGUGAGUGAUAAUAGCUACUAACUAAAUAUCUAGCAGCAAAUUGUCUCCCAAAAUAUGAAAAGAUGGCUUACAUUUGUUAUUUCAGAAGAAGAAUUUAUUAGAUACUUUACAUAAACCUAAAGCUCUUUCUUUCUAGAAAACUUGGUCACAAUAAUAUGUGAUGAUAAAUCUGCUGUUACCCCUAUUGAUAAUUAAGUAUAAUAAUUCUGUUGUUAGUGCCCACAACAUCCCACCAGCAUUAACUACACUAGCCAUUUGCAACUACAACAUGCUAAGUUUCAAUGUCUGCUGAAUGCAAUCAUUGUAGUUCCAAAUUCUGCAAGGAAAAACUUAGCAACUACAACAUGCUAAGUUUACGGAUAGACCUUACCCCUACCUUGUGUGAGGUAGAGAAGUUGUUACGGAUAGACCCUCAGCUCAAGAAAAGCGGCUUCAUAAACAGAUUUGACAAAUAGAAGAGUAAAACCUAUGCUGAAAAUACUGUAGAAAAGAAAAAUACUGAAAUGAAUAAAUCAGCAAGAAUAGUAAAAAUGUUUUUUUGUGAAUCUACACUCGAGAGUGCUGAUCCCUUAACCAUCUUCACAGUUAUGGAAAACUAUCAACUAUGUAAAGUAAAGAAUCAUCCCAGAGACAUAUGACAGAUAUCAGAAAUGUCUAGGAAAAAAUUGAGAAGAAAAACAACUCACAGGAAAUGUAGGCUGAUGAACGUCGUCUUUAAAUACAGUGUCAAGGUCAUGGAAUAAGCGAUGUUCAGGUGUAUCAUAUCGACCAUCGCAGAGAUCCAGACCUCCUAAGAAUGCUGUUACUUUUCUAUUAUUACCAGGUGCCUGCGUAUCAACCAGAACACACUUCUGAUGGUGUGUAAACAUGGUUCCAACUACCUGGAAGCAAGAAUAUUCAGCUCACAAAAUCACUUCAUUGCAAUAUUGGUAGAGGGGAAAUAAAGAAUCCAGAGGUAAGGAAAUUGGCGUAAUUGAUAUUAUAUUUCAUAAAAGGAUUGAAGAAACUCUCAGAAGGGAAUAUUUAUGCCGACCAUACAAAAUAUAGCUUCACACAUCCCAUUAAAACUUCAAGUACUGCUGCUCUAGAAGAAUUAUAUUACUUUAUUCCACUCAUUCAUGAAAAUAUUUUGUCAAGCCACAGAAGGCAAGCAUUCAUAUUUAUGUUUUUUCUGCUGAGACGAAGCUCUUCCUUAAGCCCUAUCUUUCUUCCGCAAACUUAUAAGAAUAUUUUCUACAAAGUCAUAAGAAAGAACACCCUCCAUCAAAUGGAACGCCUGAUUCUGAAAGCAAACUAUUUGAAGGCAUGGUUUAAGGGGCAAUAACUUCACGGGCACAUAGAGAAUUCAAUGAUCAGAAGAUCUCAAAGUACAAAUAAUCUAACAAAUGUGUCAAUGGUUAUGAAAGAUAACCUGUUGCUUGAUAAGGCUGAGCUUACUGCUAGCAUAACGUGGUGACAAAACGCAUAUUACAGAGGAAUGCUUAAAAAACUUCCUGGUUUCCUCGUCGUGAGUUCCCAUUACUCCUGCCUGCAUCCAAUGCCAUUUCAAACUGCUGUGAGAUUGACCAACAAGAACUACAACUAAUGAGACAGUCAUUUGAAAGCAAACAGAAAAAACAAUUCAUUAUAAUGUAAAUUGAGCAUACCAUUAAAAUAAUAACAACUAGCAGCACUCACACAAUAUUCUUAUCUUACAGCUAUCUGAGCACAUACUUAAAAUAACAGCCAAUAAAGUAUCCAGAAUUACUUCAAUAUAGUUUAUCAAAGAAAUCAGUAAGUAAUAGUUUAAAUAUCCAUACCGUGUUAAUAAAGAACUUAUCAUGGGAAGUUUUAUCAUCCCAAACUAACAACAGAACCCGCACCCCCUCUUGGGACUUAUAUUUAAGUAAUUCACCAAGUGUCAAGUCACCGCCGCGCGGCAAUGGCCUGGUGGGCUCUCGAACUAACUUGACUUUGUGAAAAACAGACCACCCAACAAUGUAAAUCAAGUGAUGAGCCUCUGUAAUUGCAUAACAUAUAUCUUCCCAGCAUUUGUUGUGUUCAAAGGUUGUAUUGUUUUCCAACUGGAUUUCCGGCAGCUUAAACUUAUCGCUAACGUGAGCAUCUUGGUAUAGCUUCACGGAACUCCCUUUUCUCAAUGGGAAGUACGUAUUCCUUACCCCUAAAUACUGAGGAUCUGAAGCAAUUCCUCGCUUAUACAAUGGGUUUGUAUCAUAUGGAACGAAUUUCAUCCAUAACCGGAGAGCCGUAUCGGGUUUUGGAGAUUUCCCUGAAGCGCCAAUGACGGGAAACCAGCCGGAAACCACCUCACCGGAGGCUAUCUUUUCCGCCGGGAUUGUAACUUUACCCAUAACUUGAGCACCGAAAACAUCAUCAUCUUUAACACGAAAAUCCAAGCAGUCCAUAGGGUGUGCUAAAGGGAUACGGAAAUGCUCAUCCCAAACAGGGUUUUGUGAAUUGGGUAUAACACGUGUACGAGCAAGAGCGGUAUGGGGUGCACACACAGCAACAUAUGGGUCACUAGUGAUUAUACUCCGGUGGUGGAUUUUCUGGUCGGUGCUUUUCACAUUGGGUAGUUCGCCGUUUCCGUCGUCGGCAGUGGAUCCAGUUUGAGGUUUCCGGCAGACAUCACAGGCUGUGAAGCAGCGGCGUAUACGCUCAGAAGUUAAGUCCAUGUUGGGUAAAUGACGGGCUUGAAUGAUGUGAAGCUCCAAAUCUCCAUGUAAACAGAUGAAGUUUUCCUGAGAUGAAUUUUCUGCCAUCUUCACAGAGAAGAAGAAGAAAGGUUGUGUUUGAAGAUAGAAGAGAAAAAUGGGUGGCGUCACGUUGUGAUGAAUAACUGUAAGUUGUUGGCUUUUGCUGAGAUUUUACGACUCCGAACAGGUGACACCAUAGCGGUGGAGGUUUAAAGUAGAGAUUAUAUAUGUUCUGUUAAUAAUAACCAAAGUUUCAGACAUUUUAUUUGAAAAAAAAAAGAAAAGAAAAGUAGUUCUUGUAAUUGAAAAAUAUUUCAUUAAAAAGAAAAGAGUUUUGAUAAUUUGAAACUCAUUUUCAAGAAUAUUUUCCUAGUAUUUAGCAAAAGAGAGGUAAAAUCGUAUGUUAGAAUCUCGACAUAUUUAAUUUCCCUUAAUAUCAUUUUACUUGUUUAUUCUUUAAUUUUUUUUUGGAAAAAGAAAACUUUUUAUACGUACUAUUUUAAGUAUUAAAUAAUUAUAUAAAAUAUUAUCAAAAUUAAUAUAGUAAAUUAUAUCUUUAAUUAGAUAAAAAAUUUAAGGAAUAUGUGAAAUCAACAAGGUAAAGUAAUAUAACACCAAAAGAAAAAUUGCAUAUACAUUUAAUUAUCACUAUUUUUUUAUGAUAAUUAAAGUCACAUAUUAAGACGUAAUUUUUAAAUAGCACAUGCCUUUUUAUUUUACAAUUUACAAUUACUAAAUGCAUUUAUGACUAACAAGUAAAGUAAAACUUGAACUUAAUGAUUUAUUAAAGUAGUCAGUCCAUUAUGACUUUCAAGAAAAAAAACUUCAACAUAUCAUUUUAGUAUGAUUUCUUAUACACACAAGUUAAAAAGGAUCAAACUAAAACAUAUUUCAUUAGACAAACUAAAUUCACAAAGACAGCACAUUAUCGCAGUUAAUUUAGAGGGCAUAUGUGGCAUUUUUAUAUUAUUUUAUUUGUUUAUUUAUUAAAGUUUUAUAUACUGGAAUUUGAUGGUGUGCACAUCUUGAGAGAGAGAAAAAUCCGUUGAUUUGGUGAUUGUAGAAACAGAUAAUUAAUUAGAAAAGUUUGCCUUUUUCUUUAAUAUUAUUUGACUUUAAGGCCGACAUUUUCUGUUAGACCAAUUUUGUGGUGAUCGAUUAUCAAGAUUUGAGUUAAUCAAAGUGUGUAGAGGCCAAUAAGUAUAGCUUUACAGAAAAACCAAAAUGAAAUAAUAUUAUUCCCUUCUCUUGUCAUUUCUAAUUGCAACACUUAAAAGCCUCGACUUUACAGACAAAAAGUUUAAAUUAGAAAAACUCCUUUUUCUUUUUUUUGCUUAUUAAUCAUCCCAUAUUUAGCUAUUGUAAAAUUAGACACAAGUUCAUACUCCCUUUAUCCAAUAAUAGUCGUAAACUAUUGACUUGACAGAUUCGUUAAGAAACUAUAAAUAAAAAGAUAAUUAUAUAAUUAUCAUUCUUUGAAUAUAGUAAAUACAAUGUCUUAAAAAAUAUAAUAAAAAAAUAAUAAUAGUUAGUGAUAAAACUAAAUAUAAAAUUACUACGGAUUUCAUACGUAUGUUUUGAUAUAGUGAACAAAUAUUAUUAAACUGAGGAGUAGCGAUAUUUUUGUAAAACAAGAAUGCUCAUCAUUAAUUAUUGAUUUGAAUACACAUUUUUGUGGGGGUGAACUCGAUAACAAUAAUGUCUUGGGUGGAAAAAUUCAUGAUGAAAGACAGUGAUUGGUUAUCCACCUUAUCAAAAUAUCCACAAUUAAAGUGUUACAGUGACAUCUCCUAGUAGUUUAUUUUUAAGUCAUUAUAUGCAAAAGCGAUGUUUCCAACUAAAAAAAGAAAUAGUAAUAACUAACAUAAUAAAAUUGAUUGAUACGAUAUAUGCACAAUCCAAUUGUUGGUAGUACAGGUUACCUGUUAAUUCAAAAGCAGACAAUAUAAUCGCUUUCCACGUUUUGACAUAAAUAAUAGUGUUCCUUCAUUUGAGAAUUCUACAUUUAUCUGCGUAUGUCAGGUAAUCCCGGCGCCAGACGUUGCGCUACUCAAAUUCCAACGAAUGUCAUAUAUAUAUAUUCGAACUUGCAAACAAUGUACUCAUAAACUUGCUAAGCUUCAUGUGGGUCAGCAGUAAACCAGGAUAGAGUAACAACACUUGUUUAAAUUAUAUCUAUAUCCCACCAAAAGAAGCAAAAGGAUCUGUAUCUAAAACAACACACUCAUCUAUAUCUACAUGUUCAUUCACUUGAUCAAACAUUUACUUCGUUAUCUAUAGUCAAAGUGCCUCUCUCCAACAGAGUAUAACACAACAGACGACCACAAACAGUAAAAGAGUGACCCUCCGAAUUUUCCUUUAUUCGAAAACACCUAAGUUCUCACACUACUUUAAAAGAAGGAACCAUGUUUUCUGCAUCUUUAUAUAAUAUAAUCCCAAAGUAUUCUAGACUGGAAAAGAGAAACCCAGAAACUAGAACAAAGCCUGUGUUCUUCGAAAAAUAUUAUACAGCAAUCUUAUGCCUUCAGAAAGCACAGUAAUGACUAAUGAGCCAGUUUAGCAACUGAAAGAUUAAAGUUUCAAGUAAAUACAACUUCGUUCCCUCCCUAAUGAUCACCCAGCCUUGUCAUCUUUGACACUUCUGUUGUCUCUCUCACUCACACGUGGGGUGUACUGGCUAGUAGAUGAUGGUGAAUACCCAGGAGCACUUGGUGAGUACCCUGCACUUGGACUGAAGAAAAAACAGAUUUUAGAAACUAACAUAAAUCACACUGCAAGACGGUCCAGACAAGUAAAAGCCAACUAACCUGUACUGGGGAGAACUGGGACUAUAAUCUGGGCUUGUACCUGAGUUGUUGUAUGGGCUGAUUUUGGAGGGGCAAAAAAAAAGAGAAUUAUUUCAAAAAAGAUCAGCUAAUAGUGCUCAUUAAAUUCAACAUGCAGCUAAGACACAUUGAAACUAAAAAGGAGGUCACCCUCCAACAAUAUAAGUUCCAGAAAGCUUUCAGGCAGUAAAUCAAAUAAAGGAACCCAUGCACAUCACUUACCUGCUGGGACUAUAGGUUGGGCUUGAAGGAGAAUAUGAUGGAGAUGUUGGAGAGUACGAUGGUGAUGUGGGACUGCAAACACAGACAACAUUUAAUCACAUCAUUAGUAAUAUAUCUAGAACCGAUCUGAAAUCCACCAAUACAAAAACCCGACAACUUCAGAAACUAACUAGUUAUUAUGAAGCUAAAACUAGAUAUAAGUUUAGGUAAAGUGACCUAAUUAAGAAGAUUAAGGCGCUACCAAGUCGCUGCAUUAUUAUCAAACAGAACAAACUUAAAAACCUUUCCUGUCUCAGCAGAAGAAUCAAAGACACAUGUAUCAAACCAAGGUUGUUUACCUGUAACUUGGAGAUGACGGGCUGUAUGGACUAGAAGGAGACAGCUUCGGGCUAGUUGGCGAAUACGCAAGGGAGGGGCUGUAUCUCGCCGAGGGAUUGUAACUUGGUGAUGUUGGACUGUAGGAUGGUGAUGUUGGGCUAUAGCUGGGAGAUGUUGGGCUGUAACCAGGGGAGGUAGGACUGUAAGCAGGAGAAGUCGGACUAUAUGAUGGAGAAGUCGGACUAUAAGAGGGUGAGGUGGGGCUAUAUGAAGGCGAUGUGGGGCUGUAAGAAGGUGAAGUGGGGCUGUAAGAUGGCGAAGUGGGGCUGUAAGAUGGAGAAGUGGGGCUGUAGGCCGGAGAAGUAGGGCUGUAGGCCGGAGAAGUGGGGCUGUACGCUGGAGAAGUAGGGCUGUAGCUAGGUGAUGUUGGGCUGUAGCUAGGCGAGGUUGGGCUAUAGCUUGGAGAUGUUGGACUAUAACUGGGUGAUGUGGGUGAGUAUGAAGGACUGGUUGGAGAAUAUGCUGGACUUGUCGGGCUGUAGCCAGGGGAGCUGGGGCUAUAAGUGGGGGAAGUGGGGCUGUAACCAGGAGAUGUGGGGCUAUAACCGGGGGAAGUGGGACUGUAUCCUGGAGAGGUCGGGCUGUAACCAGGGGAUGAUGGGCUGUAACCAGGGGAUGAUGGACUGUAACCAGGGGAUGAAGUGGGAGAGAAAGCCAUGCCACCCACAUACGGAGAAAAUUGAGCAUCUGUAAUCGGUGACAUCCGCAUAUUUGGGCUGAGCAAAUAAUUUGGAGACAUCAUUCCAUCGUGAUAUGGGGUUCCACUGAUAGGUGAACGUCCAGGUGUCAUGCCAAAUUCAAGACCACCUUCCAUGUAGCUAGGUAAUGGUAUCUCAAUAGCUUGUUUCAACAUCUCCUCAUUGAGAUACAAUGAACAGCCUCCUGUGCCAAUUGGUGCAAGCUGACCUAACAUGAUAUUUUCUGUUACACCCCUCAGGUGAUCUGACUCUGCAAAUACAGCAGCGUCGAGAAGAAUGUCCACCGUCUCCUCGAACGAGCAUCUCAUCAUGGGACCAGUAUCAUUCCGGUUGAUACCAUGCCGAGUAAUGGCCAUUAAAUGACCACGGUAGGUCAUGGUAUCACACAAUAUGGCCAAAUGUCGGUAGUUCACAUAGGACCCAUCAAAAGAUAUGACAACCCUCAACUCAUCUAGCAGUGAUCUACGAACUGCCUCAAUACCAAGAACUUCAAUAACUUCAAUUAAGUGAUUACUUGUUGUUCUACUUGCAUCCACAUCUUCGUGUGUCAUAACUGCCAAAAGAUUUACACCUUCAGUGUCCAACAUCCAUUCAUUUCUGCUUUAAAUCCUUCAUUGUCAUCAAACUUCUGCACCUUACUGUUCUUUAUAAACACCUUGUUAAUAUCUGGAAUACCCCGGAGAGCCAUCUCCGUCAGCAUGUUACUCUCGAUCUUCUUAAGGAAUACAUCAUCCUCAGCAGAUUCAUCCAGCUCACCUUUUGGAGCUUCAUCAUUCAUAAUACGAAUUCGAAGGAUUAGCUUUUCCGCAUUAUCAUCGUUAAAAAUACAGGUUAAGUCAUCAUCAAAUUCAAGGUUGAUCUUUUCAGCAAUGUCAGCCAUGCUAAGUUUCUUAUCCACCAUCAUUUCACGAUUUAACUCUAUGCGAAGCAAACCAUGGAGAGAUUUUGUCAGGGUCAAUCUCUUCAUCUGGCAUUUCAUAGUAUGACUUGACAAAUUCAACAUCCUCUUCAAUAAGGGUGCUCAUAGGAUCAGGAUCAUACCACACUUCUGUGGCUUGAGUAACACUCCGCAAAGUGGUAUAUUCUAACGCACACUGGACAGUUUUGGCCCUCUCUUUUGUUUUGCCUACCUCAGGUUUUAAGUACACAGAAAGAGAAGGUGUUUUGAUUUUCUUGGCAACAUUGAUGAUCUCCCUCAACCUUGGCACACCAAGAGUAACAUUCUUGGCACUCACACCAGCAUAAUGAAAUGUAUUAAGAGUCAUCUGUGUGGCAGGUUCACCAAUAGACUGUGCAGCAACACAGCCAAUCAUCUCUCCUGGUGCCACAAGGGAUUGCAAGAAGCGAGACUCUAUCUCACCAACUACCCAUUCAAAAGCCUCUCGACUAAGCCUAUACUCCUUCAGAACCCUUUUACUAGCCAAGGCACUACGGAGCAAGAUAUUGAAGAAAAGAGUAGCAUUCUUUUGAGCCUCCAUGCUUAGAUAAUCAUCACCAGGAACAACCUUAAGCCUCUCCUGUAACUUAUCAACAGCUUCCACGAUCUCCAUCGGAUGCAUGUCAGAGGGCCUCCGGAAAUCUAUUUUAAAUGUCUUUUGGGCAUUUAAGACAAGCCUCUGAAUGUUAACAGGAAGAGGCCAAGAAUUGUCACCCGUUACAGCAAUCUCUGUCCCAAGCUGAUGUCUAUCAGCUUCAAGUUUCUGGACCUCCGCAUCAAACACACUACGAAUCUCCCGAAUACCUUUUAAAUCUUCGACAGCUUCUGGCAACAUGUAACUUGGGUUCCAGUUAGGAUCAUCGAUCUCAUAUGCAUACAUGUCAUCAAAUGUUCCUUUCUUUGCUUUCAGAGAAUCCAGCUUCUGUGUCUCAAUCCAAACAGAAUCCAUCCCAUCUUCCCCAUACAGAAACUGGAUUACAUCCCCCAAUGAAUUCCUAACAGUGCCGUCAUACUUGACCAUGAUAUCCUCCAUGGCCUUCACUAACCGCCUCUGAAUGUACCCGGUCUCAGAAGUUUUCACAGCAGUAUCAAUCAGACCUUCUCUACCACCCAUAGCAUGGAAGAAGAACUCUUGCGGGUCAGUCCCCGGAGAUAUGAAUUCUCUACAAAACCACGACUUUCCGGACCAUAAUCAUCUUUGGUAAAAUGAGGAAGAGUACGGUCUAUGAAACCAAAUGGAAUACGUUUUCCUUCAACAUUCUGUUGCCCCACACAGGCAGUCAUUUGAGAUAUGUUGAUAAAACUUCCCUUCGAUCCAGCAGUAACCAUAGCUUUAAGAUUAUUGCUCUCUGAUAAACUCUUCUCUGCACUGCUUCCAGCAUCAUCACGAGCCUUAUUUAACACCUAAGAUUACAACAAAAACAUUAUUAAAAGAAGUCAUCAAGCAAAAGGAACAGGAAAAGAUGGAUGUCCAUUUACAAAAAGUACCUGGUUCACUCUGUUCUCAAAUGAUUCCAUCAUAGUUCGCCCUGGUUCAGCUUCUAACAGCUUCUCUUGAGCAGCUUUAAUAAGUUCUUUGACUUUGGCUUUUGCAUUCGAGAUAGUUUCAUUAAUUUUCUCCAUCGUUGAAGCAUCAGCAAUUGUAUCUCCUAUCCCGAUGCUAAAAGCUUGCUGAAGAAGCCAAUAAUUAACAAGCCACUGUGUAUGUCCCAAAAACUUCCGAGCAGCAUCAGGCCCAACCUCCUCCCUGUUUGCAGAGGCAAAGUUAACUACAGGAAAAAUGACAAUGACUCUGCUUACGGUAACAUAAUUAUAAAGCCCAUGUUUUGCAGCUAUCAUCUCAUCCACCUGGCAUUUAACUAAUGACAGCAUCCGCAGAUAAACAGGAGGAGGAAAGCAAGCCCCGCACACAAGACGGUUAUUGUCCAUAAAAGUGUUUAGGAUUCGACACAAAGCCAGCCCUUUUGUGCAUGCAAUCAAGAUGGCGGGGGGGGGGGGGGGUAGAAAUACAAAAUUCUGAAAAUGCAUACCAUAUAACAUGAAUCAGACUUCCGGUGGACGUCCCAAGGGUCUUUUUGCAAAGAGUACCAGAUAGCAACUCCCCUUUCUCUAUUCUAACUUGAGUAUCUCCAGGAGUUAUGUAUCCUUUUUCGGAAUCAUUAUGCCAUGCGGAGUAUCUUAAAAGAUUUAUUUGUUUUGGUAUGAUGAGGUUAAACACUUGCUUUCCAGUCCAAAGUGGCCUUGGUUUAAGAAUCACUGGAGCGGGUACUUUCCCAUCAAAAUCCUCCCACCACAUUAAGAUGUUCAUAAAGACAUCCUGCAAGCCAAAAAAUAAGCAUUCUUUACUAGAUCAUGCAAAAUCAUGAAAUAUUUGAUAAAGAAUUAUGAAAUGGCACAUGCAGAUUCACCUUUCUAUAAAGGUAUCUCUUUAGUAACUUUGCGGCAACCUAAAAGGGUAUCCUGGACGAUACCCAUUACAGGCCUAUUUGCCUGGGGUGAAACAAUACACUUAGGGACCAUCAUAAGCUCCAGAACCUCUGCUCUGGUUUCAAACGACUGUGGAACAUGCAUGUUCAUUUCGUCACCAUCAAAUCAGCAUUGUAAAGGAAAGUGACAGAUAAAUUCAAGCGGAAAGUUGAGUAUGGCAUGAUCUUAAUCCUAUGUCCCAUAAUAGACAUUUUAUGUAGACUGGGUUGCCGAUUGAAGAGAACAAAAUCUCCAUCAUUUAAGUGCCUCUCAACCUGCAUAGGCAGCAUUGGCUGUUACGGAGCUACCACAGACAUCAAAAGCCCCUCAAUUACUUGGAACUGAAAGAAACAAACCUUAUAUCCUAGUUCAAGGUGUUGAUCGCUGCUCUUCUUCAAGUAUCGAAGAUCAAGCCUUUGGCCGUCGUCCCUAAUUAUAUACUUGGCCCCGGUUUUACCAGGAGGUGGAUGAGGUCCAUAUUCAACAAGUUCCUUUAACCUGUGUGAAAACCCCAGCUUCAAUCAGCACAAACAUAUACAGUUCAAUUUUCCUUCUUGUUUCAAAUGAUUUGAUAAGUGUGGGGUUUCAUUUUUACAACAACAAAAAAACACCUUUCAAUGUUAUAUGGUGUCACUGUUUCUGGAUAAGUGAGAUUCAGAGCAAUACUCCAUGGGACUCCCAAUUGAUCAAUGUUAAUAGUUGGAUCGGGGGUAAUCACAGUCCGAGCAGAAAAGUCUACUCUUUUACCCAUCAGAUUGCCUCUGAUCCGACCUUCCUUUGAUUUUAAAUCUACUACAUAUUGAUUUAAUAGGUCUACCUGAUCUUUGUGUAGCCUGCAAAUUAGAAUAAGUAAAAGCCAGUAAUUAGAACUAAUUGAAGUUUCAAAGGAUCCAACAGUUAAAGAAAAGGAUGUUCAAGAGAUAAUCAGCAUACUCUUGGCUGUCCAGGCAGAUCAUUAUCAAAAUAUGUAGCUAUAUGAAAUUGCAAUAACUGUGCAAAUUCCGAAAUAAUGUGCGCCGGUGCCCCAUUCCUUUCCUGCCUCUUCAAAUUCUCGUUGUGACGAAUAAUCAUGGCCAGUUGGUGUGUUAAAUCAUCCUACAUGAAAUUUUAACAGAAGAAGGUAAUCCAACUGGCACAAUUUUCUAGAAAUGAAGAACAGAAGAAAGCAGAGAGAAAGCAAAAGUUUUAAGCAACAGUUCACUAAGCUCUAGAGCCUCAACAGGAAAAUGAAUACCUCACUCCUUGAUGAAGUGUCCAUCAUCACAGAAGGCCGAACAGGUGGUGGUGGUAUGGGAAGUGCUUGAAGAAUCAUCCAAUCUGGGCGAGCAAACUCUGGAUUUAGGCCAAGCAAGAGGCAGUCUUCGUCACUUACCCGCUUCAGAAUGCUCAACACCUACAAUAUGAGGUAAUGAUUAUACACACAAUGAGAUGUCGUCCAAGCAAAUAAGAACACCUGAGGUAAACAGGCACAUACCCUUUCAGCAGAGAGUUGUUGCUUCCUUUCAACUGGUUCUGGCAUCUGCUCCGGAUCAUCACUUUUUUUCUUUUGCAUCUUAUAUUCAGCAACCAUCUUCAUACCAUCUAUUGAAAUUUUUGGCUGCUGUGCACCACAGCCACCUCUACUCUUCUUGACAGGUUCUUCAGUAUCUUGGCCUUGUACAUCAAUUUCAUCCCCUCCUUCACAUUUUGUUUUGUUCUUGCAAGCAUCCAACAUCUUUCUAAGCCUGUUUUUAGGAUUCCUGAUUCUCAUGGCUUGUUUGAACUUAGGAUCGUCCUGCACAAAAUCGGAAGACCCACAGAUUCAAUUAUCCAACCCAAAGCUGCAUUGAGUAUCAGAAAUAAUGCAUAGAGACACGACCACUUCCUUCCUUAUGAGACGUCAAGAUUAGACCAAGUUUUUUCCUCUUCAUUCUUCAGUGAAAGCGCAAGGAAAUGUAGCAAGACCAUUAAGUGCUGUCUAGUUUUAGAAUCACCUCUAUACAUGAAUUAUAAUCCAAUUUUCACCGUUCAAUAAACAAUCAAAUGGAGUGAGUUUGACUACUCUUUAUUUUAAUCAAGUCUAGUGAAUAGAUAUUAGACUCGGGAGCUUCAGAACAUUUAUCUUCUAAUCCUGAGCUUUUCACUUACCUUACUCCUUUACCCAAUCCUAUCUAUGUCAAUUUUCCUGAUUCUUCUAAGGUAAAAGCUACUCAUAUAGGAAGUGUUGCCACUCUUUUCCCUGAUUUGAUCAUUCAUAGAGUUCUUUAUGUUCCUUCUUUUAAAUGAAUCUUCUAUCUAUUCACAUUGGUAUGCAAUUAGAGUGUUUUAUCAUUUCUCCCUUCUAACAGGAGGAAAAAUGAAAAGGCAUGACGAAAUUUGCAACCUUCCAAAAAAUACAAUUCACUGAACUACCAAAUCCUGAUUAACUAGUAAGUAAAUAGAAGCUAUCUCCUAAAAAGGGUCAUGUUGAUGUAAUAGAAAAAUACUGCUCUAUCAAACUUGUUCAGCCUGUACUUGUUCAAAACCUGUUUCUAGACCUCCACUGGCAAACCUGAAACCUCCAAUGUUAAUGGUUUACCCACUUAUAAUUUAAUUGACAUCAUGAACAUCACACCAGGUAGUGAAAAAUAUAUGAUCAGUAAUUCAAUCCUUCUUAAACCAAGAAAAAAGGACAAAGAAGACAUUUCACUGUACACAAACUUUUAACCUAACAAUUCAAGUCAAUCAAAGUACCUCAUCCGCCAGAAUUUUGGAGCAAUUGAAGCAGACACACCGAAGGAUACUAAGAACAGGUUUCAUAAACCCUAUAUGAAACAUAGGUUUCGCAAGCUCAAGGUGACCAAAAUGCCCCGGACAUUCAGCCAUGUUCGCCAUACACGUCUCACACUUCAUCUUCCGAUCAAUCGUCCCAAGCCGAGGAUCGCUCAACCCUCCAGGCUUUGGUUUCCCUCUCUCCGUAGUCUCACCAUGCUCAAUGUGCACCACAGACAUUUGUCUCUGCAAUUACGUCAAAAAACCAAGUUACAAAAACCAAAUCAAUUUAAACCCUAGAGAAUUCGAGAAAAUGAAUCAAGAUUAGUGAAAAUUACAAUUUCGUCGGGGCUGACAAUGCCGAACUGGACCGUCCGGACCUUGGCAACCUCCGCCGGCGAGAAGGGGAAGCGCAAAUCCAUGGUGGCGCAACCUAGGUUACACCUCUACAGAAGAAAUUUAUACAGUAGAAUAAUUAUUUUGUUUUUUUUUUCGAACAAGAUAGAUAACAGAGGGUUUUGAUUAAUCUAUAUGUAAGUUUCUAUUUUAAGACUCCAUUCUUCAGUCAAUUUCACUUGUUCAGUACAGAUCUGGUUUUCGCUUCUUUCGUCCCUCAGUUUCAGAAAGGAGGCUUUAAGAACAAAACCACUCUUAGGACAAUACACCGCUAUUUAUAGAAGGAUAGACACCGCCCUAUUCUCAUCAGGUCGCUAACUUACGCUAUCUGGGUUUUUAUGCUAAACUGCGCUUCUAUGCGCGUCAGGCACUUCCUCUUCUGAAUAAAAAUCCUUUCUUUCGGGUAAAAAAUCCUAACCGUCUUACCGAUCAUUCGAAUUCUUUAUUUUUUUCAUUUUAUAACUGUCAAUAUAGAUUCGAUCUAUUUUAAUUAUAUAACUUUAUAGUAAUAAUUUUAAAACGCGUGUAUAGAAUAAGUGAAAAACAAUAUUGAAAAAAUCAUUUGUGCAUAUAAAAUUUCCUAACCGUCUUACCGAUAAUUCAAAUUAUUCAUAUUAUUUAUAACGGUAAGAUUUGGAUUAUAGCUUUUUAAUAAUAAUUUUAAAACGAGUAUGUAACAAGUGGAAAACAUAACGAUUGAUCCUGAAAAUCUUUCUUUCGUAUAAAAAAUCCUAACCGUCUUGCCGGUCAUUCAGAAUCUUCAUAUUCUUUUUCUAAGUGUUAGGAUAGAUUAGGUUGGCUAGAUGAUAUGAUUUAAUAUAUUUUAAUUAUAGCUUUGUAGUGAUAAUUUUCAAAUGACUGUGUAGAAUAAAUGGAAACAUAACGAUCAAUUCUAAAAAUCUUACUUUCGUGUAUAAAAUCUUAACCGUUUUACCGGUUAUUCAGAUUCUUCAUAUUCAGUUUUAUAACUGUUAAUAGAGACUACGUCGACUAGACAGUAAGAUUUGAUAUAUUUAAAUUAUAGAUUCGUAAUGAUAAAUUUAAAAUGCAUGUGAUAAAUAAUUGAAAAACACAACGACCAAUCCUAAAAAUCAUUCUUUCAUAUAAAAAUUCCUAAACGUCUUAUUGGUCAUUCAGAUUUUUUAUAGCCUUUUUUCUAAGUGUUGACAUAGUUUAUGUUGGCUAGACAGUAAGAUUUGGUAUAUUUUAAUUAUAGAUUUGUAGUGAUAAAUUUAAAACGGAUCUGUAGAAUAAGUGGGAAACAUAACAGUCAAUCCUGAAAAAUUAUUCUUUCGUAUAAAAAAUCCUAACCAUCUUACCGGUCAUUUGGAUUCUUUAUAUUCGUUUUAUAACCAUCAAUAGAUUCAGCUAGAUGGUAAGAUUGGGUAUAUCUUAAUUAUAUCUUUGUAGGAUUUAUCUUAAAUGCGUAUGUAGAUUAGUGGAUAACAUAAUAAUCAAUUCUAAAAAAUGUGUAAAAAUUUCUAACCGUCUUAACGGUCGUCCAAAUUCUUCGUGUUUUUUUAUAAGUGUAGAUAGAGAUUAUGUCGACUAGACGGUAGGAUUAGGUAUAUUUAAUUAUAGCUUCUUAGUGAUAAUUCAAAACAUUUGUGUAAUAACUGAAAAGCAUAACGAUUGAUCCUGAAAAAUUCUUCUUUCGUGUAAAAAAUUCUAACCGUCUUACCGGCCAUUCGAAAUCUUCAUAUUAUUUUUCUAAGUGUUGAUAUAGAAUAUGUUGGCAAGGUUGUAAGAUUCGGUAUAUUUUCAUUAUAGCUUUAGAUUAAUAAAUUUAAAAAAAGUAUGUAGAAUAAGUUGAAAACACUCCAAUAAAUUUUGAAAAACUAUUCUUCCGUGUAAAAUUUCGAAUCGUCUUACCGGUUAUUCAGUUUUUCAUAUCCUUUUUUAUAAGCGUCAUUGGAGAUUAUGUCGGCUAGAUGGUAAGAUACAAUAUAUUUUAAUUAUAGCUUCGUAGGAACUAUUUUAAAUGCGUGUAAAAUAAGUGGAUAACAUAACAACUAAUUAUGAAACUCAAUUUUUCGUGUUAAAAAUUCUAACCGUCUUAUCGAUCAUUCGAAUUUGUUGGAUUUUUUUAUAAGUGUCAGUAGAGAUUAUGUCGGCUAGACGGUAAGAUUGAGUAUAUUUUAAUUAUAAUUGUUUAGUGAUAAUCUUAAAAUGAGUGUGUAAUAACUGGAAAACAUAACGAUCAAUUCCGAAAUUUCUUCUUUCGAGUAAAAAUUCUUAUCGUCUUACUGGUCAUUUGGAAUUUUCAUUUUUUUAAAGUGUCAGUAUAGAUUAUGUUGGUUAGACGGUAAGACGGUAAGAUUUGAUAUAUUUUAAUCAUAGCUUUAUAGUGAUAAUUUUAAAACAAACAUGUAGAAUAAGUGGGAAACAAAACUAACAAUUCUUAAAAACUAUUCUUUUAUGUAAAGAUUCCUAACCAUUUUAUCGAUCAUUCAGAUUCUUCAGAUUUUAUUUUUUUAUAGAUUGUCGGUUAGACUAUAAAAUUCAAUAUAUUUUAAUCAUAGCUUUGUUUGGAUAAUUUUAAAUAUAUGUGUAAAAUAGGUGCAUAACAUAACAAUCAAUUCUGAAAAAUUAUUUUUUAUAUAAAAAAUAUUUGAUCGAUUAUUACAAAUUUUCAUUUCCUUUUAUUAAACUUUUACUAAUUAAUAUUUUCUUAAGUUUUUAUACAUUAAUUUAUGAUGUUGCACAUUGUUCUUUUCAAUCAACUAUUUAAAUAAAAUUAUUACUAGUCCAUUGAAUGAUUUAAAUUACCACUUGAAUUAAUUAAGUGAUUAGUUAUUGACUGUCACCUUUUCAAUUAGUUGUUUUUAUAUUAAUCUUUACUUUAUUGAUUAACAUAUUAGCUGUAUUUACUGAAAAAUAUUUGUUCAAUAACUUUUUAAUUCUAAUCAUUUAUGUUUGUGCUAGAUUUACUUUAUUUACCAUUCGUUAAUACUCGGCCUGUUAUUUAUAUUAUAAAUAAAAUUAAGUUAGAUUUAUUUUUAUUAUAAUUACCUUUCUACAAGGAAAAUGUUUUAGUUUAUUAGUGGCUAUGCUAAAUAUCAACAUGUGAACAUAGUAUUUUUCUCAAUUACCAUUUCCCAACUUUCUAAAUCACUCCCCAAUGAUAUAAUUUAUUAGUAUUGAUUUUAUUCUCUAAAAAUAUAUACCAUUUGAAGACAACAAUUACUUAUUUCCCGCAACAAUCGUAAAAGGAACAUUAAUUAUAUGUAUUGUAAAAAUUCAUUUAUGAAUUAUAGUCAUUGUUUUUUAGUAUCAAAUAUUUUUUAUUAAAAAUAUUCAAUGUAUGAUGAUAAGAAAAUAAAUUAUAUAAGCAAUACAUAAUUAUUUUUUUUGAAAUCAUAUCCAAAAAUAUUUAUAUGAUGGUCAGAGAAUAAAGUGUAUAAACAAUAUAGGAAAUUUCUUGAAAUCAUAUUCAGAAAUAGUUUUUAUGAUGAUUAGAGAAUAAAUUAUAGAAGAAACAUAAAAAAAAUUUGAGACCAUAUCGAAAAAUAGUUUGUACGAUGGUAAGAGUCUAAGAGAAUAAAUUUUAUAUACAAUAUAGGAAAUUUCUUGAAAUUAUAUUAAAAAUAAUUUGUAUAAUGGUUAUAGAAUAAAUUAUAUAAGCAAUAUAGGAAAUUCCUUGAAAUUGUAUUAAAAAGUGACUUGUGUGAUGGUCAGAGAAUAAAUUAUAUAAGCAAUGUAGGAAAUUUCUUGAAACCAUAUCAAAAAAUAAUUUGUAUAAUGGUCAGAGAAUAAAUUAUAUUAAGCAAUAUAUGAAAUUUCUUGAAACCAUAUCAAAAAACAAUUUGUGUUGUGAUCAGAGAAUAAAUUAUAUAAGCAGUGUAGGAAAUUUUUUGAAAUCAUAUUAAAAAAUAAUUUACAUAAUGGUUGGAGGAUAAAUUAUAUAAGCAAUAUAGGAGAUUUCUUGAAACUAUAUUAAAAAUAAUUUGUAUCCAAAAAUGUUUUUUUAUCAUAUAGCUGGAGCAUAAUUUAUAUCAAUAAUAUAGUAAAUUUCUUGAAAUCAUGUCCAAAUGGAUUGUAUGAUGGUCAUAGAAUAAAUUAUAUAAGCAACUCUUUUAAAAAAUCAUAUCUAAAAAAAAAUUGUAUGAUGGUCAUAAAAUAAAUUAUAUAAGCAACAUAAAAAAUUUCUUUUAAAACUGUAUCCAAAAGUGAAAUUUCAUUAAAAGGUAUUACAAAAUUAAUAAUGACAUAUCAAAUAAGUAAAUAUUAUGUGAGUACAAAAGAAAUCAUUCCACAUAAACUAAAAAAGAUUUGCAGUAACGAAAAUAAGAAAAGUUGAAAAAUGAGCUUCAACUAGAUUUAAGUUUUUACAAAAAAUAAAAUAAAAUAAUAAAAUCAUAUUUUUUACUAAAUUGUGUUAUGUAAUACAUUGAGAAACAUUCAAAAAUAUUUCUCAACUUUCAUUAGUUAGUUGACUUUACUCUUACUUUAAAAUGAAGUUAUUUUUAUCUUUGAUGUCUCUACACUUAUCAUUCGUUUUCCUAUGUGGACGAAAAUCUUCAAAUCAAUCAAAAUUAACUCAAUUUCAAUUCAAAUUAUUCAAUUAUCUAUUUUAACUCACAAAAUUCAACCCACUAUAUUAAACAACAAAUAAUAAUAGACCAUUUUCUACUCUUUCUCUCUCAUCAACUUAUGCAUGUAUCCCCGAAAAGCUUAGAGCGAUAACAAUAGCUUCUUCUUGCUCCAUGAAAAAAAAUUUACUCGAUAAUCAAAAUUGCGCCUCAAACAAGUCAUCAAGCGAUGGAACGAUAACUCCCUUCGUCCUUACCUCGUUCUUUCUUACUUUUUCUUUUAUUUCGAUGUAUCAACAUAAAUCAAUUUAAAUUUUUAUUGUAAUUAUCUUCGUACGAAAUUAUAAUUAAUUUUACUUCUCUAAAAAUUAAAUAGUAUUGAGCUAUAUUACUAUAAAGGACAAUCAUUUCUUCUUUAAAAGAUUAGUGGACAUAAAUCUAAAGUCUUUUUGUGCUUUGUCUUCAAUCUCACCUGACCAAAAUUUCUUGUUUUUCUUCACGUUUAAAAAUGGAAACCCAAAGCCCUAUUUCCUCCCCUUUUUGUUCCGACAUGAUUUUCAACUUUCAAGUCUCAAAAAUCUCUUCGAUUUCUUUUUGAACCCUAGUUGAUUAUAUUUGAUCAUAGCAUUAUCUUGUACGAUUAGUUAAAUCUAUUUUUCAUUUAAAUAAAAUUAGAGAAAUAUUUUUUAUCUUUUCCCUAUUUUAUAUAUUUCUAAAAUAUUAGUAUUAUUAAUUUUUAUGUUAUCUUAUAUGAAAUGAAAUGAAUUUUUCAUUGCCCUAGGUAUGACCGAAAAUCUUGUUCUUGCCGCCUAACGUCUAGAUUAUCAGACUUUUCAACGCCUUCCCAAAUUCACGGAGAACGCGGUUUUGAACCCGAUUCAUCUUCCCCAAAUUUUUCUCUUCAUAAAAACCCCUUACCACAAUCGAACCCCUUCACCGUCAAAGAUGGCAUCAAUCUACAGUUGUAAAGAGUGCAAUACAAACUUCAAUCUCCAUACCAACUAUCUUUUCCCACCGGAUUUUUACUUCGAAGCCGGCAAUAAAGGUACUCUAUCUUUCUCCGCUGUUGAUUCAUCCAAAUUCAAGUUCGAGAAAGAAGAUAAAAUUAAACCCUUUUUCGAAACCCUUGAUUAUUGGGGAAUUCAGAGGAAAAGGACUAAGAUGAUGUGUAUGAAUUGUGGGAAGGUUGUGGGCUAUGUGUAUGAUGACGGGCCACCCAUGACUGAGAGUCCGGGUCAGUUUCAUUUUGGUCCUAGUCAGGUUAUUCCUAGAGCUGCAAGGUAUAGGAUAAAAAAUAAAGCUUUGAAGAUUACUUCUGAGACUUGACAUGUGAUUUGAUUUUUGAUGUUCUUUUUUUUUAGAUGUUGAGGUUUGUAUAUGGAUUUAAGAGAUGUUUGAUGUUUGUGUAUAUGAGAUUUUGAUUUUUACAUUUUGUUGGUUUUGUGAGCUGUUUCAUAUUUUGUGUAAAUAUUUAUACUGGAUCAAUAAAGACUCACCUUUUAUGACUUUUCUUUACAGAAGUUUUUAAUUUAUAUUGAGAAGAAGGAUGGAAUCUAAGAUCAGUUUUUGUUUUAUAUGCUGUAAGUAUAAUGUUAAAUGAUUGCUGAUUCAUGAUUUGGAUAAUUAGAUGUUCAGAGACUCCUACCUACAGAUAAACCUUAGGCUUUGUACUGAAAAAGCUAAUGAAUUAUUUUGCCAACUAAAUUUGAGGCUUUCUUAGUAUAUUUGGCAUCUCUGAUUAUUGCAACAACCUGUGUUGUCCAUAGCCAUGCAUAUGUGUUUGCUUUGUAGCUUUUCAUUUUUCCUUGUCCUUCAAUGAUAUGUCCCUUGUCCAUUCUCAUCAGCAGUAUCUUUCCUGCAAGAACCUCUGGUACUGGUAAGUUGAUUUUACUUCCAUUAAAUUAAUCCUUAUUGUUCUUGUUGGCAUUCUGGGACUUUAUGACAUGAAAGAUGUUUCCCAUGAUAUCUUUAUUGAGGUCACGCAUAUGAAUGUACAUAUAUAUGCUUACUUGGCUAUAUUAUUUUAUGCUCUUAUAUUCUAGAUUUUCUGCUUGUGGUUCUUCUUAUUUGGAACUUUGCCCCUAUUUAGCUUAUAUAUAGGGUAUUUGAUGAUCCAUUUUCUGAUUGUCCAUUUCAAUCAUUACCAAUAGAAAUUUGUUUUGAACUUCUCUUGUUAUGUUGCAAUUUAAGGUACAUUAUUAUAGUAGUGUAGUAGGAAUAAAAGAAGGGUGGUCUGGUUUAUUAGUUAUUGUUUAUUUUGACAGAACAAGGCUGCUUUUGUAAAUAUGGUUUUCCAGUACUACCUAAGUACUAUGUGAAAUACAAUGUUACAGUUUUUUUUUUUAAAAAAACAAGACUGCAGCAACCUUUUGGUGUAGUAUAGUUUUAUGAGCAUUUUCUAGUAUAUGUCCACCGGAGAAGGAGAAAUAAAUUAUUUUGCCAGAAGAUUUCUGUGCUAUUAGAAAAUAUAGAGCACUUUUAGUGAUAGAGAGCCUAAAUUAUUAAAUUUGAUUGAGAUGGAUCUAAUGGAACAAUACACAUUGUGAUGUUUCAUAUGCUGGCCCCACUAUAUUGUAUUGAGGUGUAUUUCUUGUCAUUAUUUUGACUGUUGGCCUUGCAAAAAAUUUUUUUGACGACAAGGGAAACCCGCAGCCGCUACCCUUUUGGGUGCGCACAGGGUAAAACCCCGCUCCUAUGCAAUAGCUCGCAAACCACAUAGGAGAGGUAACCUGCACAAGGUAAGCUUGGUGCGACGAGCUCGACCCAGAAGGCAAACCCCUUGCUUUCGCUGGCAAGGGGUUUCGAAUUUGAGACCUCCAACAUGGAAGUCCCAAGCUCAAACCACUGGGCCACCCUGAAGGGUAACUGUUGGCCUUGCAAAAUUAUUAGUCAUCUUAUCUGCAAUUCAGAUUUAAUUAUAAGCCAACUGAUGGAGGUCAAAGAUCCGUAAUGUUUUUGCUUACCAUAAAUCUGUAAAUUAAGUUUUGCCUCGUAGUCUGCAGUUUCAUAAGUUGUUGAGGAGCUGGUUCUCCCUUUCACAAUGGGGAAAUCUUUUAUAUAUUUGUCUUAAUUAUAAACAUCAAGCUCAAACAUGUGUCAUUUGGUAUGUUUGAUCUGAGAAAAGAAACAUUUCAUCAGCCAAUUCCCAGUACAAUAAUGGAUCUUCUCCGAGAUAGAAUAGUGGGGAGUUGGGCAGGAAGUAAGAUAAAAAUUCUAGCAAGGUUGAUCUUAGUAGUUGUAACUUAAUGAUCCUGGUGCAGACAUGUGCUGAGAUAAUCAGUUAUCAUGAUCAUGGCUGGACAAGAUUCAUCUUGAAGUUCUGUUUCCUUUUAAUUUAUGUAUAUCUUUCUCUUUGAGAAGCAGGCUUUACUUAGGUUUCUUGAUCAAAGGGAUUGUGCAUAAUGUCCAUUGGCCACUGCUACAUUCAUAAAUUUCUGACAUCAGUAUCAUUCCUACCAUUCUAACCCCACUGAUAAUGAGUUCGUCUUCAGUGUUGCUUAGCAAAGGGAACAUGUAGCAAAAUGCAAUAAAGAAACAACAUAAUGGUGGUUAUAUUGUCUAGUUAAUCGGUGACAUAACUGCUGAACUAAGGAUGAUGAUGUUUGUUCUGUAGUAAAUUAAGCUAGUGGUUUAGAAGUCUGGAUGGAAUAGCAUACUCUUCUGACAUUUACUCUAGGAUGUCUGAAAGUUUGCCAGGAUUUCAAAGGGCUUUACUCAAUUAUAGUUUUCUAAAUCCAACAAGAAUCCUAUUGAAAAAAUAGUUGCUUGGGACUCUGAAAAUGAAGCAGAACAAAGUUGAUUGUGUUGCUGAUGGAAAAAAGUUUAAGAGGAUCGCUGCACUGCUUCACUGCCACCACCACCACCACCACCACCACCACCACCACCAAGCAGGCUUUCUUCUAGCAGGACAUUGUCUGUUGAGCAGAUGGCUGCGGUAAGUCUUACCAACAAGGAGAUUGCAAAUAUUGGAAGCAAUCUCUAGGUGAGGUUUAAUAUCUUUUUCACUAAAGACAGCAUCAGUACUUACAGAUUAGUAAAUUUUGAUAGAUGAAUCAUUUUAUAUAACUAUAACAAAAAACAAUCUGAUUCUUUUUUCAGGUGGUUGAUUAAUUUAGGCUCUUGUCCUGUUUUAUCAUUUGUUAAACACUUAUCAGCUCCUUGGAAUUGCUUCCCCUCUAUCAAGGACUCAUCCUGAUUCUUGUCCUGAUUGAUAUAAUUGUUUUGGAUGUUCUUUCUCAUUUUUAAAGUUUAGGCCAUCAAAAGUAUGUUCAGUCAAAUCAUACAAUUUAUAACUUACUACUGUACAACUUCUCCAUCUCAGAAUAGAAAUAGAAAGUAUUGAGUGCUAAACUUUCUGUGUAUCCUCCUAAUAAGAUUCCUUAGAAAGUCAAAUUGUUCCAGUGGGUCAAUUAUUGUUGUUUGAAGAACGAUCUAGUACCACUACUAAUACAACAACAUACUUAGAGGUCGUUUGGUAGAGUAUAUAAGUAUAAUGCUAAAUAGAGUGUAUAGUAAUGCAUGUAUUAGUUAUGUUUGCAUUAAUUAUACAUAAAUUAUUUUAAUGCAUUAUUUGGUUUGAUGCAUUUAAAAUAGUAUGUAUUGCAUUAAAAAAUUAUUUACAAAUAUACCCUUCUCUUUUAUUGUGGAAAUUGGUAAACAUGUUUAAAAAAAAUGUUUUGAGGGACAAUUGAGUCUUUUAUCAUUUUAAUGCAUGUAUUAAAAUCAUUGCAUGGUUAAUACCUAAAUAUUCAUGGUAUUAAUAAUGCACACCUUAAUACACAAUCAUUAGUUAUACAUAAGUUGAAAAAGUGUAUCGAACAAGGUACUAAUAAUAAAUAAUGAAUAAUAGUAAUACAUGCAUUAUUUUUCUUAAUACAUUCUACCAAACGAUUCCUUACUGUAAUUCCACAAGUGAGAACAUAUAAUUGUUUCUGAUAGACUAUUAGUUCAAUAUUGAUUAGUAUUCUAUAUCUGCUCACAUAAGCAAAAGCGAUCCACGUUGCAUUAUUUUAUUUUUAAGUGUGCUCUCUUAUUGGCUGAUGGGCCACAAUAAAGUGAAUGAUAAUUUAUGUGGGUGGGACUAUACCGUGUUAUAUUCUCUCUCUUGAAUAUUUUAUGAAGCUUGAAGAAGAGAUGCUUACGCUACUCUGCGUUAAAAUCAACCAUGAGUGCGAUCUUUAUUGUUUUUAAUCUCCCUUUCUUCCUCAUCGACCCAAUCUAUGCACCAGUGUAAUCUGAACCGUCAUGAUGAAUAUAGAAAUUGUACCAGAUAGGAGUUUUGACCGUAAAAAUUGAGAAUGUAGUUAUCAAGAAUCAGCCAUUCCAAUAUUACUAGUUGAAUUGUGGGAUUAUUUCAAUCUAACACCGCGUAAGUAAGAAUGUUUGGUGUUCAUUUCUAUGAUUUCAUUUCAGUGACUGCUCAAGGUUGGUUUUUGUAAUUCUGGCAAGAUGUGCUGACAACUUACUGUGUGAGAGGAUGAGGAUAAGAUAAGAUCUCGACAAUUGAAUAGAAGAAAAUAAUCUUUUCAGGUGUGUAGUAAAAUUUUGAAGUAACACAUAUUGUCCACUAUAGCCGUCAAAAGUAUCCAUCCAAUAUCAUUUUUAGCAAUGCACUUGCGAUGGAAACUAUGUUGCUUUUUGGGAAAGAAACUUUUAUCACGACACACAAAAAAACAGAGACAAGGGUGGUGGUUAACUGAUGAUGCCCCACCAAAUUGCUGACAUAAGGAUAAAUUAUAAUGACAGGCCGUUUUCUAAUUUCUUAGUUAAUUAUGCAAGUGGCUUAAAGGUCUUCCAUCAUGGUCAUAUUCUAUUGUCAUUUAUCGUAAAUAUAUAUCCGCAAGUUUGCCAUAAUCAAGCAUAAAGACUCCUUCACAGUUUUCAAAGGCAUCUGUCUAGAUCAAGUAUCAGCAAUUUCUGCAGCAUAGUUUUCUGUUAUUUGCUGACUCUAUUGUACACAUCAAACCUGUAAGUCCUCCAACAUCUAGUCCCAAAAUUGUGAUUCUAUCUUGAUUUUUGUUUGUUGGUAUGGUGCACUGUUCUGACUCUGACCAACUAGUCUAAAAUCCGUCCCUACUGAGAGGUCUCAACUUGCAGUCCUGUUGUUGCAACUGUAGUACAUAAAUAUAUUCUUCAUCAUCUCAUAAUCUUGAUAUCCAGCAAGAAUCUGUUGAAAUCAUGAAGCAAAGGGAAGGCAAAAGUGUAGCUGAUGGAAAAAAGUCAAAGAAGAUCGCUCCAGCACCUCCACCACCACCACCAACGUCGAGGUUUCUUCUUAGCAGAAAAGUGACAACACCAAGCCAUACCAAACAGGAGAUUGCUAAGUAUUGGAAGCAAAAGCGCAAGACUGAAGAAGACCACUUCCUUGAUGCCAUCAAGGCUGCAGCCAGAAUCAGGGCGCGCAAUCUCUCGGUGAAGUUUUCAAAUCAAUUUAUCACAGUUCUUUUUUAUAUAUAGAUGAAUCAUGUCAUGUAUAUACACUUUGUGAAUAAUUAUUGGAAAAUAGUGCAUAUUAAAUUGCAUCUUUCCUUAUCCUGAUCCAUGUCCUGUUUGCCAUAAAUCUUUUGAUAAAGCAUAGUAAGUGGGAGAUCUGUCAAAAUCACACAAUAUGACUCUGCAACUUUUCCAUACUUUGAAUAGAUAAUACUUGAGUGUUCCACUUUCUUUGCGUGUUGUCCAUCUAAAAGGAUUCCUUAAAAGUCAUAUAUUCAGCUGAAAGGGCCAAUAAUAAUAGUUAAUUGAUGGACAACUACCAUACUUCUAUGCCCAUAAGCAAAAGCUUAUUAUUAUAUAUACAUGGUCCCUAUAGGCUACUAUACAAAGAUGAUUAAAAAAAUGUUUUGGAUGAAGAUCCAUUGUUAUUUUCUGUCUCAUUAUGAAUAUAAUAUAAGUUAAAAGAGAUUCAUAAGUUGCACUUGGUGAUAAAUAUAACAAAUGACAGUGACCUAGCUUUUCCUUAUCUCACUGCUAAUUUGUAGAAACUGUGAAGAUUAAUCUGGAACUUGUACUAUUAAAGAUUGAUAGCAGGUCAAUUGACAACUCUGUAUUUUGCUCUGUGAUCUACUACAGGGAACUGAUGUACAAAUAGCAUCCCAUCUCCUGAUCGAUAGGGGGAAAUACUUAUUUUUCUCGAGGAUACCUUGUGAAGUGUGAUGUUUGAUUGUGAGAAAGCAUAGAAAAAAAUGAUGAUUCCAUUAUUAUAGUAGUUGAUUUGGAUUCCAUUAUUUCGAAUUAACUUGCUUACAUAUUGUUGGUUUUGUUAAGGCGGAGGAAUACAAAUACUUUGUGUAUUCCUUGAAGGUGGAUGAUGAUGACAUGGAGAACGAAAUGGUACCUAAGAACAUCUCCGAAAUCAAUGAGAACAUGAAGGAGAAGAGAGUUGGUAUAAAGGACUGGUAAGUGAGACGUAACUAUGUACUUAUGAUAAAAAUCUGAUUCAGUAAUUGAUGCUUAUCAGCAACUUUGUCCGCUCGCACAUUUGAGAGUUGCAGGUGGACAAAGAGCAAAUAUGCAUAUCUAAACCAGCCUGCACUGAAGUCCAUGGAACGCCACGGUUCCACUUAUAUUCCGCAACUAUAUUGCUACAAGGCUCCACCUCCACCAGUCACAAGCACCUUUGGGAUCUUCUAGCCAAUUCAUGAUGCCGUUCACGCACACAAGUCAUGUUUCAUGUAUGUUUGUAUAUUGUGCUUGUAUAUAUAUCAUUGUUUGCUCAAGUGUGUGAUACUCAAAGGAAGUAUCAUAUUUAUGAUCAUUGAAGUUAUUGUAUUGGGGUUGUGAACUACUCUGCUGCACCUGUGGUAGAAAUUACUGUUAAUAAAUAAUGGUUCUAUUAUUGUAGAUACUCCAUCUAUUUCAGCUUUCAAUUCAUCAAGUUUUGGCAGAACAAGUCAUAUAUUAUCAUUUUGCUCCAAUAACAACGUAAGCUCUUGGCUAAGUAAUAAUUUGUUUGAGUUUUAUUACUCUCUUUAGCGAGGAUUGAAUUUCUCUGAAUUAAUUUUUUUUUUAAAAAGAAAUUUUAAUCAUUAAGAAUUUAUAAACUCUAAAUUCUAGAUUCGUCUAUGAUAUGACCUCUUACCCACUUCGAAGUAGGUAUCUAUAUGCUUUUGAUACGAAAUAUAUACAUGUAUAAUGUAUCUAUCUAAGUUGAAUUACAGUGAUAAAAUAUAUAUAAAAAAAUUGUUUCCAUUGAUAUAUAGUUGUUUAUUUUCGUCUGUUAGUCAAUUAUAUAUAUCCAGGUUGGGGACCUAUAUAUCGAUGAGGAGUCAAAAAUUUGUGAAUCAAUACUUUUUCAAAUUAGUUAGGCUGAUGAUGGUAGUUGACUGAGAAAUUUUGCAAAAAUAAUUUCUGCAAGGAUAAAUAUAAUUUUUUCAAACACAUAAAAUAAAAAAAUAAAUUAAAGCACGAUUUUUCCAUUAUGUUCGGCCAAGACUUCCCUUGACAACUGUAAAUUCCAUCUGAUUUCCUUAAUGCAACUUACUGAUUUAGAGAUUGAAAUCUCCUACUGAAAAAUUUGCUCCAAACUUAUACUCUCUUUGUCCUAAUUUAUGUUUCGCUUUUAACUCUUUUCACGUAUUAAUUAAAAAAAUAAUAAAUAUUAAAUAUAGUAUAAAAAAAUAAUGAAUACAAGAUAUAGUUUAAAAUUGAACAAAGGUGGGAGGAAAUACAGAGUAGGGAUAAGACAAGUUGAAUUGAAAUUAUUAAUAGUGUUUUCCGAGAAUCUUUGAAAUUAAUCAAAAUAGUGGAGAUGCAUGUACAACGAUAAUCACAAAUAAAUAAUGUAAAAGAGUAAUAAAUAUCUGCAUAACUUAAUUUCUCUGAGCCCAUUCAAACUUUAAUUAUAUUUGAAUUGUAUACUGCAUGAUUUAUUCUAACAUAAUUUUUUUCACGCUAAAAUUUUAAACUCAAAAUUUAUAAAUAAGGGUGAAGUAAUUCUACCACAUUAACAGAAUCACGUCUAAAAUAUUCAAAUAUUAUACCUCAGAAACGAGGGUAAGAAAAUAUGGAAUGUUUGUUUCCCCACUAAGCAUGGUUAAGGAAAAAAGUUUUAUGCCAAUUAGUUAUUAACCAUCUAAUUGAGUUUCAUGAACUAAAUAGUUUUGAAAGAAGAAAAUAUGGUGCAACUAAAUACUAUCAUAGGUAGGAUGUAGCAAAUGUAGUGGUCUACCAUCUAAAGAAAUUUUUUUGGAAGAGUUAUGAUAAAUAUGACUUAUUUUUAUUUGAUAUUACAUCAAAUAAUUAAAAUUAUAAUUAAAUGCUUUCAACGGUGAAAAUCGUGUCUUACAAGAAUAUAGGAUAAGAUUUUAUACAAUAAAUUAUUAUAAUUCAAUUCUUUUUCAAAUACCAUAAAUAUAUCAAAAACUUAGUGCAUUAAACUACUUUUUUAAAUUAAAACAUUCCAUUUAUUUUCAUAUACUUGCUCUAUUAUAAUUUAAUACAAGAUUUAAAUAAAUAAAAAGACACAGCAUUUAAGAAAGUAAAUUUUUAUAAAAUCUCCGGAUUUUAAACGUGUUUCUGAAAUGAACAAAUAUUGAAAAUGAAUAAAUAAGUUUUUUAUUUUUUGGGUGAAGUAUAAAGGUCAACACAAAAAAUGUAAAGAUUAAAUUAGGCAUAGUAAGUAAUGCAUCCAUCUGUCAUACAGAUUACAACAGAAAGUCUGCAAGGAUAAAUACAUUGUUUUACCGAAAAUAAAUAAAUAAACAAAAUCUGUGUUUGAUUAGUCAAAAUUUUAAAACCCACUGUUUCCAUUUCUUUGCCGAGUUGCAUUAGCUGAUCAAAGUUGUAGAUUAGAUCUUCAAAUAUUCAAAGAUUUUGCAGAUUUCAUCGUGGAGUUUGAGUAGCAAUGGCAGUGAAAGGAAGGCAUUCUCGAUUGGGGCCUCGAAAAUCGUCGAAUUCUACACUAAUCUUUGGUGGGAUUAUUGUGUUGUCAUUUUUCGCUCUCAUUCUUCUUGCUUUCCGAAUUAUCUCCUUUCACAGGGGCUCUCAGAAAGCACACGAUCUCACCUCUAUAGCCCACAAUACAGUUCAAAGGUACCCAUUUCAUUUGUGAUUGUCUUUGUUCUUUUUUCUUUAUUUUAGGGAUCUGAUUAACUUUGAUGGGGAUUCUUGUUUUUGGUCGCAGACAAGAUGAUGACGACGAUGGAAAAACUGAUCAGUGGGUUGAAGUGAUUUCUUCGGAACCAAGAGCCUACGUGUACCAUAACUUCUUGGUAUCUCUCUUAAAGAUUUCAUCUCUUACGAAUAGUGUUACAUUGUGUUUAUGUCUGCUACUAGUUAUCUUACACCUAUAUUUCUUUCUCAAUUUUAUGCUUACAGCUAUGCCUCAGUUUGUAGAAAAUUAGAAAUUUCUUGUUUUACCAACAAUUAGUUUGUGAUUUGUGAAAUUUUUUAUCGGGAUUCUGUUGCUGCUUAGCGUAUGGCAAAAAAAAGAAAAGAAAAGAAUGUCAAAGAAAUAUGUAGGAGAAUUGAUUUGAUUUGAUUUUCUUUCAAUAAAAAUCAUGCUCAAAUGGAAGUUUUCAAUGCCAAAGUUUCUUUUUCCAACUAUGAAAAUGAUACUGGUGUUGAUCUAUUGAUUGAUACAUUUACUGCUAUCAAUCAGAUUUAUUGCCCUAAUUUUAUUGUUCUCUCUUUGGCAGUCCAAGGAGGAAUGUGAGUAUCUGAUUAGUCUUGCCAAGCCUCACAUGCAAAAGUCAAGUGUCGUAGAUAGUUCUACUGGCAAGAGUAUGGACAGCAGGUAAGCAUAUUAUUUGCAUACCCGGGGAUUGUCGAGCUAGGUUGUACUGCUGAGGAUUAUGGAUAUUUAAUUCUAGUACCAUCAUUUAUUCUCUAAUUCUUUUCUCCUGUUAUUCCCUCCCCGCCAGAGUCCGAACCAGUUCCGGAACAUUUCUUGCAAGAGGGCGUGAUAAGGUGAUCAGGGAUAUUGAGAAAAGGAUUGCAGAUUUCACCUUCAUACCAGUAGGUAUGCAAUUCCUUUUUUUAAAAAAGAAGGAUGUAACUCGAUGAAUAUGCAUCUUAUUACUGAAGGAUCAUUUCGCCUCUAGAUGUUAUGGAAAGAAUAGUCAUUUAAUAAAGCUUGAGGUGUCUGAAAAUGGUUUUUCCUAGUUCACUAAUUAGUUCUUCCUUUUUUGAUGAACUCUAUUUAAUGGUGUUAUCUAAUGUACUCUCUCUGUCACUAUUUCUUUGGUACUGUUUUGUUUGCCGUCCUUUACCGUCCCAGCACCUUUAUAUUUAGAAACUGAAUAUUUUUACAUUCCCAUUUUCUAUUGACUUGACUGUUGUGCUCCAUUUUUUUGGUCUAACGUUAGUUUGAUAUUUUGUUCAUAUUUAGAAUGUCUGUCAAGGUCUUUUUUGUUUUCCUUUUUUAAACCAUGUCUGUCAAAUUAUUCCAAAACAGAUUGGCCCUUGAGGGAGUAAUACUAUUUGUCCAUAAUUUAAGGAAAUUGGACAGCUUUCUCUGGCAUCACCAGUAAUAGAAAUAUACUGUAUACAUUUGUUAGGAAUUUCAUUAUGCUAAAUAUGGAUGUACACCAAGGGGAAUGAUCUUUUAGAGAUCCAACAGAAAGAGCCUUAUAUUUCCAACCAAUUAAUGUAAUUUCGUCGUAUUAAUGAUUUCUGGAGUUGUAUGCAUUGUCCAAUAUAUAAUUGGAUGCGUUAUUUUUGGUCUGUUGUUCGAUGCUGAUUUAAUAUGCAUUGAAUUGAGGAUGGUGGCUGGGGAUGAGUAUGAAUGUAGUAUAAUGUCCAAAGUCUAGUAGUAAGUGGCCUAUCUUGCUAGUGUAAGUCUUCUAAUUAGUUAGUGACUAUUCCAGGCAUUAUUAGUGUCAACCACUAGAUUCAUUUCUGCUCCUUACACAUUCAGAGAUAUAACUUAUUCUAUGAACCUAAGUGUUCAUUAACUUUUUUUGAGAAGAACCUUAAACUAGGUGCAUCAUCUUGAUGCUUAACCAGUGAUUCGUUUGAACGGCACUACUAGACGUGCUCAAAUUGCCUCUUUCAGUAGUGAUCUAUGUGACUCUGUCAUCAUGUAAUGCCUUAAACUACAUGUGAAUUGAUGUAUCUGCUUCUGUCUACAGAGCAUGGUGAAGGUCUUCAAAUUCUCCACUACGAAGUGGGGCAAAAGUAUGAGCCCCACUACGAUUACUUUCUUGAUGAGUUUAACACUAAAAAUGGGGGUCAACGCAUUGCGACGGUUUUAAUGUACUUGUAAGUGACGUUUUCCCGGCAAGGUUUAUUCUUAAUGUAUUCUCGUAGAGUCCCUUAGACAAUUCUCUUGGCGUGCUGCAGGUCAGAUGUUGAUGAAGGGGGCGAAACAGUAUUCCCAGCUGCAAAGGGAAAUUAUAGUGCAGUCCCUUGGUGGAAUGAACUAUCUGUAUGUGGAAAAGGUGGACUCUCUGUAAAACCAAAGAUGGGUGACGCAUUGCUUUUCUGGAGCAUGAAGCCUGAUGCAGUUCUAGAUCCAUCAAGUUUGCAUGGUGAGUAAUCUGCAUACAAGCAGAUACGGAUAAUGGGUGCUGAACAUUGAGAACUUGAUUAUUGAUUACUGACAUCCAUCUUCUAGCUCACAAAGUUUUAAUUGCUAUAUUGUAUUCUGGAGUAAUGAGCAAUGUUUAUUUGAUUGGCAACUAAGUAGUAUUACGUAUGUCUUGUUUUAGGUGGGUGCCCUGUAAUUAAAGGUAACAAAUGGUCAUCUACAAAAUGGAUGCGCGUCCAUGAAUACAAGGCUUAACCUACUGCUAGAGGUAAACAUUUUCGCCUGAGUGGUAUUUAAUACACAAAAAAUAUGUGCACCCUCUGCAGUUUUCUUAUAUGUACACAACUUGUUUUAUUUGCUAGUACUUUGCAUUUAUGUUGAUAAAUCUUGCUGUAGCUUCUCGGCGGUCUCUUUUUUUUAACUCUUCCCACAUUUUUCCAUUUGGUUUGGUGUUUUAGUAUUGAUCCUUGAGACCCAUAAGCUUAGUACUAAGUCCUUGAAAUAAACAAUUAGUGUAUUUUUUUCUGUGUACCAUCCUAGAAGUUUGCAGCCAUGCAUGAGAAAAUGUUUAUUUGUGGGAAGGGGUGUCUAUACCUUGUGUACCUUUGAGUGCCGAUGAAGCCUAUGUUGAGAUUGCAGCAUGGUGUAACAGAAAUAUCUGUAGUGUCCUUGUGAAACAGAAAGGAAAUAAGGACUUCUACAACCUUUAAAUUUAGUGCUACUUCUCAAAUAUUUGCUUGUAUAUGUGAUUUAUUAAUUUGUACAAAUUGAUAUGCCACUUAAUAGAUAUGGUUGUGCAGGUCAGUUUUGAGUUUGGAUGCAGUCACUGUUGUGCCAUUUGUAUCAAAAGGGGGAUAGUCUUGAAUAGAGCCACCACACAUGAAGCUUCAAUUUUACUUUGAUAGUACUCAUUCUCAACAUUCUUGUUCCUUUCUUUUCUGUAAAAUUGUGUUUUCAUCUGUGGGUUUAAUUGGAGCAAUAAAGAUGUGAGAAGCUUCAUUCGAUUUCUGAGCAAGUUAUAAGUAAAAGUAGCAAAAUUGGUAAAUUCACAAACAUGGCAACGAUACGUAUUGUUAUUCGGAUGGUAAACACCUUUCGCCUCAAACUCUAAAAACAGAGGAAGGCUACACAACAAUUGACUAAUCAAAUGAAAUAUGUGAGUUCCACUGAUCAUUAUCAACAUCAUGCCAAGAAGGAACCUUUUUGAGAUAUUAACUUUUUGGUAGUACAUUUUACUAGUUGGGAAGAAUAUUUCUAACUUACCUAAAAAUCGUACGACAAGAUUUAAAUUUUAAAUACGGGUUUUAAAUUUCUUGACCCUAGUGCUUGCCUUUGGUGGUGUUUUACUUCUUAAACUAGCAGAAUCGUGGGAUAUUAAAAAUGAUAAGUUGAUUGUUGGUUUUUAUUCCUUACUCUCGUUCUAUUCUUAGGAAAAAAUCCAUUGAAAAGACCGGAGUAAUUUUUCAUUAAUCUAAAGAAAUUAGUCUCCAGAGAACAAACAAAAAAAGGGUUACUAAACAUAGAUGAAUGUGGCCCACAUGGCUAAAGCUCCGCCUGUAGCAGAUAUACAUUUGCAAUCCCAACAGUCCAUAAAUACACAGUACACACUUGACACUGCCACUUUUUUUUAACCCUCUCCUCGACCUCCCAUCUUUGUGCGCGGAUCUUUUGAUAACUUGAAUUUGCAACCUUAGAAUAGAAAAUGAUUGAUAUUUAUCAUUCGAGUAACUUCUUCUUGUCGUCAAUAUAGUACCAACACAUUUUUUGAGCCCACUUGUAAAUAUUUUCUCAUAUGUACAGUAAUAUUUGAGCAUCCACCACUCAAUCGUCAUGUGCCCUAUCACAGUUUUUACAAAAUAAUUUGUUCAAAAACAUUCGGUGUAUUGGUCUGACUAGUUUUCAAUUUCAAAACUUGAACGAAUAUCACUUGUAAUAGAAAAUGAUAGAUGCAGUCAUCAUAUAUGACCUCAUAAGUUAGAUGCGGAGAGGGUAAAAUGUAUGUAAAAUUGUUCCUAUCGCGUAAAGUGAAGAGACCACGCUUUUAAUGUCAGUUACAAGUUAUUAUAUAAAAGAAGAUGACAUUACAAAAACUAGAUCUCUGGUAUUUCAUUUAUCAGUUCAUACAACAUUUUAGAUUUGUGUAGGCUUUGGCUCUCUAGGUCAAUUCGAUCUGCAAGUUGCGCAGCAACAACUUGAAAAUGGCAAGACAAUCCUAUAAUGAAUCAUUAGCAAUAAUAAGUUAACUGAAUAUAUAAAUAAAGAAAAGAGAAGAGACUGGAAAACAAAUCUAUCGAAAGAUAUCGCUGAUAAAUAAUUCAACUACUCCUUUGAAAAAAAUAGAGCUACACAAUUCUUUUACAUUUCAUUUUGAAAUUGAACCCCACAAUAUAAUGUCCUUUUCAUUUUCCAAUAUGUACACAUUUUUCUCUUAUAUCAAAUUGGACGUGCAUGAUGUAAAAUAAUUAAUAUCCGUAUACAUACAAUAUAAUUCUCGCCGAAGAAUAUUAAUUAUACUGACCACUUAGCUCCGCCACUGCUGUUAAAAGUUAGAGUUGCAUUAUCAUUAUAAACAACUAGCUAGGUGUAAGUUUUGAAAUUCCCCAUACUCUUAAUUUCACCUUAUAUAUACACCAUACGAAAAAAAAGAAAAGAACACUAACAAUGCAUGGUGAAAUUUAAUGAUCAUACUAUCUCAUUAAACGACCAAAAAAAUCACUUCAAUACUAGUACAAAUUAGUUUACUUCUCAUAAUGCAUCAAUAAUAAUAAUAAUUCCAAGUUAAUAUAUGUAUAUAGCUCACAAUUACAUAUGGACAGGACCAUACAUAUAUGCAGAUUUAAUAAAUAUUGAAGCUGGAAAUAACUAUUGGAAAGACUUUAAGAAAAUUAAGGAAAUUCAAAUUUAAGUCGCACAAUAUUCUAUUUCUAGAAUUAGGCCUAUACUUGCUGGUUUCUCAUUGUCCCUUAAUUCCCCCCUAUUUAAUAAAAGAUUCUAUAAAUUAAAAAUCUACUCCAUCAAUAAUAUACCAGUAAAAUUUCACUAAAUUAAUAUAGAUGAGAGUAUAAAUAUUAUUAUAUCAUACAUAUAUUAUUUAAUUAAUAUUUAUUAAUUUAAAAGGUGUUUCGAUACCGCAAAAUUUGUUUGGAGAUGAAUUAUGUGAAAAUUUAAAUGGAUUUACUCGUAAAAAUGUCAUUUAUGAACUUAAAAUUGUGAUUAAUGAUCUCUAUUACUGCAAUAAAAUUGAUGUUAAUUACUUAUUGGAUGGAUGAAAAUGUACAUAUUCAUAGGUCCAGAAGCUUAGAAGAAAUUGUUGAUACCAUUGGAAAAAAUAACGUUGAUGAUAAAGUAAAAUAUGAUACAAUACCUUUAGAACAAGUUAGAGUCAGAAAACACUUAUUAUAUUUAGAAACUCUUCACAAUUUUAUGGUGUCAUUCAAAAGACAAUAUCAAAACUUUUGAAUGCAAUAAGAAAAGUUAAAAUUGAGUUCCAACAGGAGUUGAAUUUUAACAAAAAGAAUAUAACACAAUAGAAUUAUGUUUUGCUAAAUUGUGUUAGAUAUAUUUGUACUUUUAAUUAGUUAUUAAUUUAUAAUAUCAAUGGAACUAUAUAUUUAUAUAUGAGUCUUCAGAAAAUAUAUUAUCUUUUUAUCUUAUUGAAGUGAUUGAUUUUUUCGAUAUAUAUAGAGAGAAAAUCUAGAGCAUACCUACAGUGAUACUGUAUUAUAUUUAUUGAGGCUAAAAGUUAUUUUUUUCAUAAUGGGUUAGUUGCCCCUUGGGUUCAAGUAUUUUACUACUACUACAAUAUUAUAAUUACGUCAAGAAAAAGGGCAAAAUUGGGUUCAAGUAUUUUACUAUAAUAUUAUAAUUACGUCAAGAAAAGGGUAAAAGGAGUUUUUGCAAUUUUUCGUCAUCAAUAAUCAUAGAGGAAAAAAAUAUAUUUUUUUGUUUGGUUUAUAGUUGAAAUGUACUUCAAUUGGGCGUAUUAAUUUAUACAACAUUACAUUUUAAGCUCAAGAAACUAAUAAAUAAAAAAGAAUAAGAAAAAACAGAUAUUUUGGUGUGUUUUAUGCUUAUUAUAUUAUGUGACAUUAUUAUAUAAUAUUAUUGUUAUCACCACCCAUUUUAUGCCUAUGAUGGCAUUCAAAAGGAUGACAUUGAAUGCAAUAAUAAAAUAAAUAAAUAUAAUAUUUUUUUAAAAAAAAAAAUAGUUAAAGGAAUUAAAAGAUUGAGGGGACAAGGAUCAUGUCCCUCAUCCCCCAAAAUAAAUCUAUAAUUUUCAGAUCAGUUUCUGCGCAUGCAGUUAUUGUUUCUAUAUGAUUUAUUUAUUUCUAGAUUUGUAUAUGAUUCUUCAAAUUAAAUCAUGGUCACUUCACAAUUAAUUUAAUAUGACAAUAUUAGAAGAACGUACUAUUAUUAGGGUUGCUUUUUAAUUAAUACUAUGAUUCUUUGGUCUAGCACUUAGCAGCCAGUAAUAAUUAUUUCAAGUUGAGUAAUAUUAAUGACAUUUUACGUGAAAAGUCUAGAAAAAGUAAGAAAAUGAAUUUGUUGUUUAUUGGCUUGCUAAGUUGAGCUUUCCUUCAAAUUACAUCACAUAAUCUUUAGUGAAGUUGAAUUAUUUGUCAUAAUAGAUUCUCCCUACAAUAUACGUAAUUAGGGUUGCCCAACCAAAUCUAUCAUUGGUGGUUUCGAUAGUCGUUUCUAAUUGUAAAUUCAUUUAAAAGUAAAGUCAAAAUAUUUAAUUUAUAAAUUUGAAAAAGCAUAAUUUUUCUUACUUACUAUGAAUUUUUAAUAAAAAAAAAUAAUUUAAAUCAAAAUUACAGAAUUCUCUAACGAAAACUUCACCCGUAAACUAAACCACCUGGAUCUAGAAAAUAUUGAUUCUCUUGUUAAUUAUAGGAAUCACUCAUACAACAAGAAAAGAAAUGAGGAUCAAAAGAAAAAGAAAAGGUAAGUUUUUCUUUUUUUAAUCUCGAAAAACAUGAAAUGGCAUAAUUAGGAAAAUACACGAGUACGUACUUUAUUAGAUUGAUUGACUAUCUGAACUUUUAUAAUUAGUGAAGACUCAGUUCACCAUCUUAUAAUUCAAUUCUCUCCUUUCAAGUAAUAAAAACAUUUUUUUAAAAAGAAAAAAAAUUGGUGUAAUUAAUGUGGCUUUAUCUUAGUGAUAUGAUAAAUAUUAUCAAGUUGCAUUCAAGAGAUUAGAAUUGAAUGCGUGAAGAAAUAUAAUAAAAGUAGCUAUCUAUGAUUCUAUGCAAUUGUUGCUUGGUUUUGUGAUAAAACCACAAGAAAAAAAAAAUGUUUCACGUCAAUUCUAUUAAGGUAAUCUUUUUUUUAAUACAUUAUAAUAUGACUUGUAAUAAAUAAUCUUUUAUCUUAUAAAAAUUAAACUUUUGAAAUUGGAUAAAACGUCUUCAUUUCCUAACAUACCAUAUAAUUAUUUUGCCUUCAAAACAUCAUCAUUUAAGGCCUUUGGGUGCACCAUGAUUUGUGGGGAUUUAUUCAUUUCAUGUUAAUAUGCAUAUUUUUUUUAAUAAAAAAUUAACAGAAAGUUAUUUCGAUGGUGAUCAUAUAUUAUUUUUAAUUUUAAAAUUAUGAGUUCAAAUUAUUAAAAGAGUGAACAGAGAGAAAAACUUUCAUAUAUUUUUUAAAAAUUAAACACACACAUACUCUAUAUAUAAAUAUACAUCAAUAUAUGUUUAAAUACUAAAAUUUUAAUCAUAAAGAGUUAAUAAUUUUUAUUUUCAUAUUUACCAAAAUUCUUGGAUGAAUAUCAUUGUGAAAUUAGGUCUUAGACCUAAUUCACACCCCAAAAGCGAUGGAGGAUUGCCCAAGCCUUAUAAAGAGUCACCCAUCUCAUUAAUCACCGAUGUGGGACUUUUGUCAUUCUUUAAUAAAAAUUAGGUCUUAGGCCUAACUCACACCCCAAAAGCUAGCUCAAAAGGAGGAGGAUUGUCCAAGCCUUAUAAAGAGUCCACCCAUCUCAUUAAUCACCGAUGUAGGACUUUUGUCAUUCUUUAAUAAUCAUCUUGAAUUUUAAUAGUUAAUUUGGCCAAAUUUUUGAAAUUUGCUUAUUUUAAAAUAUUUCACCAAAAGUAUUUAUCAAGAAAAAGUAAAUAUGGAAAAUAAUACGUAGUUUAUUUUGGCCAUUGUUUAGUAUCUUUACUUUAUAGGAAAAAAUACUUUUAGCUUUAUAUAGCACUAUUCGAACAAAAAAAAAUACUUCUGAUUUUUCGAUCGAUAGAACUUUACUAUAAAUCUUAAAUAUAUCUAUUCAAACAUAUGUUAAGUGAUUGUAAAAUAAAUACAUUCAUUUUUCAUAAUUGAUGUAUGGGCUAUUAAAAUUCAUGCAUUCAUGAUUAAAUGAAGCAUAAAUAACUUUCAUGAUCUGCCUAAUGUUGUUUAAAAGAAUACUUACACGUUAAGCACUCUAACUAUUAUGAGGAAUUUAAACCAAAUCACCAUUUGCUUUCAAUUACUUGUAACUUUUCUGUUACAACUCCAUUUUUUCAAUAUAAUUAAUGUCUUUGAUCGCACACCCCAAGUGGCCCCUUAAAUUUAAACAAAGUGAACGUAUUAUGCAUGUAUGGCUUCAAUAACGAUUUAAUAGUCUUUUAUUUUCUUCCUAUUAGAUACGAUGCUUGUUGAACGCGAUCAAUAAAAUUGUGAUAAAAGUAUGAUUUUCUUAUUCUUAAUUUGAGAUUUCAAAUUUAAAUUUUAAAUAUGAAUAACGUUUAAUAAGAAAAUAAUUGCUACUUAAAUAAGUUUUACGAAAAAUAAAUUCAGAUUUAAUUGAAAUCUCGAUUUGAAUAUCAAAAGAUCAAAAAGUUACUAAACCAGAUUGCACUGUUUUAAGUUGAAUGCUUCUUCUUUUGCAGUCUGAUUUUACUGUUUUCCAUCAAAACAUGAAUUAUUCAAUACUGUUUUUUAAUAUUUUUUACAAACAUUAUUCUAGUAAUUUCUAUAAAUUUGUUUGUUCUUUUUUAUUUGCUAUGAAUUUUAAAAAGUAGAUUUUUUUUUUGGAUCUUAUCAUCUUAUAUUAAAAAUUAUAUUAAAUAUAUAUAAAAGAAAGAUAUUCUUUUCAAACGAAUAAAAAAGAAAAAUAGAACAUAUACUAUAGUUAGCAGGUAAGACUUUUGUGCAAACUUACGUCAAAAUGUAUAUAUUUUUAGUACUUUAAUUUUUUCUACAGUAUAAUUUGAUCUAAUUGAAAAACAAAUUAAAAGGCAGCCCAACAUAACAAUGCAUAUAUUUUAUUGAUAAGUCCAAUGUGUUUAAAAAUUAAAAAAAAAUUAAGAAUGCUAAUGUUCUACCCCAUAAGGCAUAUUUUUAAUUUUUAAACAACUCUUCCAUAAGCCAACAUGUAAUUAAAUAUACAAAAAUACUUAGUUGCCUUAUACGCAUUUGCGUCACGCCAAAAUCUAGUUUAGUGCACAUUAAUAUUUUUUGUUUUUAUCUCAUAAAUAUAUUUGCCUCUUAUUUCUACCUUAGAUUACUAACUAAUCAAAGAUUUCUCAUUCAAUUUUUAAAAAUGAAAAAGAUCUGAUUAAAAAGAACAUUUGAAAAAGUAAAUUUGAUCUAAAAUUAGGGGAAAAAAUAAUCUGACUAUAUAUAUUACAUGCAUUUUAUUGAUUUAUGAUAUAAAUAGGUCUAUUUUUGUGCUCUGACAUGCACAUUCCUUGUCCUUCCCCCAAAAUAUCUCUGCCUAAAUCUUUAAUAAAAUAUAGUGUGAUCUAUCCACCCUUCACCAAACCACCAAUUCCUUUAAUACUCUGAAGUCUGAUCUGAAAAAAGAAGUGAAAUUCAAAAAGAAAAUGAGAAGGGGAUACAAUUGAAGAAAAAAAAAAUGAAUUUUGAACUUUGAUUCAAAUUUUAAAAAUUUGUUUAUGAAAUGGAAAUUGUUUAAAAUAAUAUAAGAAAAUUACUUAUUCCUUUUCAUACAAUGUGGGAGUACGUACUCUUUAACAUUUGCCUCGAUUAAGAGUAAAUAUUUGGUAUAUGAAUCAUUUAAGUUAGAGUCCACGGAUCAUCAUCAGUAUAAUUAAAAUUAAUAAUGUUUUGACAGUGGCAACUUUAUAUUUUGAAAGAAAAAAAAUCGCCUUAGGCCUCAAAAUUUGAGGGGGCUUAUCUUCUCAAAAAAUAAUAGGCUAUACAAUUUUUUUUAAAAAUAUGGAGUAUUAUUUGUAGAAAAUAUAAACUUUUCAUGAAAAAGCAAAGAAGUAAUAAAAGUUUGAUAAAUUAUGAGUAUUAUGUCUAAAAAAAAAAUUAAACAAUUAGUUAUAAUAAACUUAAUAAUAAAAAUAUAUUCAAAUUUAAGAUCUCUAUUUGAAUUUGAUUUUAGGCCACCAAUUUUUUAGAGCUGUUCCUUUGCUUUGAUGUGAUGUAAAAGAAAUAAAUUUUAAAUCUAAUCCAAACUCAAAAUUAAUUCAGGGAAGGAUAAUUAUGCAAAUUUAUAUAAGAAAAUCACUUACUCUUUUCAUAGAAUUCGAAUCUCUUUUGACACUUUUUAUUUCAAAUUCUAUUUAUAGUAGAGAUAAGCUAUCUACUAAAUAAAUUCUUAAAUGUAUGCAUAAAAACAUUUUAUUACGUAUUUUUACAAAAUCCUUUAUUAUGAUUAAUUUUCCAUAAAUUUAAUAGCUUCAUCCAUUAGCGAAAAUAAAGAGCUUGAAAUAUCUCACAUAAAAAACUCACGCUAGCUAAAGACCAAAAAAAAAACUUCACUUUCUUUGAAUUUUCGCAAAAAAAGCCAAAUUUUAAUACAAUCUCGAUCAUACCAUAUAAUUUUUUCUUUACCUUUAUUUUUAUGCUUUCGUUUUCACUCUCAUCUUGAUCGAAAAAGUAAGCAAAGUCAUAAAUGCGAGCUGGUUCUUGUAGGGUAAAUUGUCAACUUGUCUUAGCAACGAAGAUUACUCCUUUUGCUGUAUACACCUUCUUCUCUUUGCCUACUCUUAUAUAUACAUCGCUACUUUCAAAAAAAACACAUAUAUAUUUGCUGCUUUCUUGGAGCCCCAGAAUCUUUAUACUAAUAAGGACAAACCCCAAGAUUUUUCUCGAAUCCAUCAUCGACCUACAAAAAAAGAAUGGACUUUUAUGCAUACCCAUCUCGUGCUUUGCCUUCAUCAUCCUCUGUUUCUAAUUUUUCAAUCGGAGAUUUCGUUGAAAGGGUUAAAUAUUGUUUUAGCUUUGCCGUAUCUACGAUCGUCGGCAAUGUAUUCUCUGCAAUCUUCACCUUUUUCUUUGCACUAGGUGGGUAUUAUUUUGUUUUUUCUUAUGAUUUUUGCCCCAAAUUGUGCGAUUCCAUUUGAUGGCGUACAGUUUUGUAACGUGGGGUUCUGGGGAAUUUUGUUCAACAAUCGGUUAUUUGGUUGAAUUUGUGAUUUGGGUUGAUUUUAGGGAAAAGAAUCUGAGAAGGGACAAUUUUUGAAUUUUUAAGUUUAUAUCUUGUAUUUUUGUGGGUGAUUAUGUUCUAAAUGUUUAGGAUGGAAUUACUUACUUUAAUUUAUAAAAAAAGCUGUUUCCUUUUUCGCUUUUUGGUGAUGCUAAUCUAGUGGUAAGGUUUGCGAAUAUUUUAUUAGCUUUGUGGGAAGCUAACGUAGAAUGAAUUUGGUUGUUGUAGUGGGCACCUUAUUAGGAGCAAUGACUGGAGCUUUGAUAGGGCAGGAGACAGAAAGUGGAUUUGUUAGAGGUGCUGCAGUUGGUGCCAUAUCUGGUGCUGUUUUCUCUCUUGAAGUCUUUGAAUCAUCUCUAUUACUAUGGCAGUCUGAUGAAUCUGGUAUUGGUUGUCUUCUUUACUUGGUAAGAAUCGUUGCUUCUUCUGAUUGAGCUGACUAAUUUCUGUAUAACUUGUAUAAAAGGGACAACUUUAUGUGAAAAAUGUGAGUUCUAUUUCAUGAUCCAUUGACAUUUGAUUAAUAGAUACAACUCUUGAAUUGUACAGAUUGAUGUAAUCGCGAGCCUAUUAAGUGGUAGACUAGUUCGUGAGCGGAUUGGUCCUGCAAUGCUAAGUGCAGUACAGAGUCAGGUAUGUUGUAGCCUAGUUGGUUGAUAUUAUGGGAUUCUGCUUGAAACUUCAUUUGUAACACUCUCUUAUUGUUGGACAGAUGGGAGCCAUUGAAUCUGCGUAUGACGAGUUCCCUAACAUUUUCGAUGUAGGUGGGGCAAAGGGUUUACCUGGAGAUUCUGUUGAAAAGAUACCUAAGAUUGUAAUUACUAAUGAUAAUGAUGUGGAUGAUUCGGGAGAGAGAGUCUCCUGUUCAGUCUGCCUACAGGUAAGACACAUUUAUACAUUUUCUUUUGUUAUUCUAUUGUCUGUUUUUGAAUUACUUAAUUGGUUCUGAACGCUGUUCUCGGUUUCUAUCUUUCUAGGACUUCCAACGGGGAGAGACUGCUAGAUGUUUACCACAAUGUCAUCACAUGUUUCACCUUCCUUGCAUCGAUACAUGGCUGUUGAGGCAUGGAUCUUGUCCACUGUGCAGAAGGGAUCUGUAGGUGAUUAUACUCUGUAAAUUAUAAUGUGGUUAUUUUAUUUCCUCAUACUUGGCUGUAGGAUUUCUCUAUUUCUUGUCCUCGCUUGUACCAAUUUUCCUGAAAAUAUAAUGUAAUUUAGAGUUGCGCUCCUUUGAGCUUUGAUCGUUGUAGUUGUUUACCACUAUGUAUAGAAUUUUGAGCAAUUUUAGUGUAUUCUACUUCCUCAGAAUAGCACUUUGUAUUACUGUGCCUUUUGCUUUGCAUUCGCCUUGUGCAAGAUAACGUCUACCUUGAUCUUGAUUGACUUAACAAGACAUCUGCAAUUCUCCUCUUAGACAAGGUCCUUUGAUUCUUUGAACCGAGUUGUCUAUUGGAAACAACCUCUUUACGUAGGGGAUAAGGUCCUACAUCCUAUCCUACUUCUGAGAUUGCACUUGGGUAUGUUGUUAUUGUUGUAGAUAAGGUGCUUUGGCAUAUGCCUAUUGUAAAAUUACUUGAGGUGCUCUGUAUAACCAACACAAUUUUUAAGUAAUGUAAUGAAACGAAUAUGCUUGAAGAAUUAGUUUACUGAGUAUUAUUUUGAUGUUCAUGCACCAACCAUUAUGCUGCUGAUGUUUCAACUCACACCUCUUGCAUAAAGUCUAUACUGAAAUUUGGUACUUGCUGUAAAAUAAUACUAUUAUUUUUAUCUAUGCUUAUACUAGCUGGGCAGGCCUGUAAACCAGUAGAUGAUGAGAUAUUUUUUUCGCCUGCCGGUGCCAAAUGCUUGAAUUUCAUCAACAAUUGUUUGUUAUACACUUUUCUUGACUUCUGCAACAUUAUAAAAAUUAGUUGUAACUUGACUUUUGGUUUUUAGGUAGGAUGCUUGACUUAAAUAGGUUGCCCCAUACUAUUUGCUUAUAAUCCCACCCAUACUGCGACACUUGACAUCUUGCUCUCACUUGUUAUUAUGCCAAUUAGUCAUUAUUACGUUAGAUAUGAGAGACCAGGGAAUGUAUGUAUAGGAGAUUCUUGCGUACGGGUAAGUUGAAAGGUAGAAAAUUUUAUGAAAUGAAAAGCGUUUUUACACUUGAAAAAAUGGAGCUGAAUCUUCCAAACCUAAUGAGUUUGUCCAUAAAUGCUUUAUUUCUGUAGUGCAACCACACAUAUUCAUUAUUGUUCGUGGGACACCAUUUUGGACAUGGUACAGAUUAAAACAUCAAGUUCAAUUAUAUGGAUUUGAGCAGGUCAAAGAAUGCUUGUUCAAAGACACUUGCCACAAAUAAAACGAACAAAUGCCAAUAUAUAUCUACAUCAAACACGCUUCAUUCAAUUUUCAAAUAGACCUUCAUAUAUACAAAAUAUGAAGUUGAAUUUGUGCAUAUUGAAAAUAUCAACCUUGACCCCUCACUGGCCCCCCUCCCCAAAAAAGAAAUAAAAAAAUUCCUUCCCAAAAGUGUGUAUUUAAUAAAACACGUUGAAAGAAAACCUUUUCAAUUUUGCUACUAAUUUGAUGGAAAAACAGGUUUCAACCAAAAAAAAACACUGAAACACAGUGCAAAUUAAAGGAAAUGUAAAAGUUGUUUUUCUCACUUUCAAGAAAUCAUUUUCAUUUUUCAUAAUAUUUUACCAAUCAAAGUAUCAAAGCACAAAUAAAAAAUAAUUGACUUAUAGAAAAUAUCUAAUAUGUAACAGUAAGGGCCGUUUAAUGUGAUUGAUAAAAAUAUAUAGUAAUGGAAAAAGAAAAUAAUGAAAUAAAAAAUUUGUAUCUUAUUUAAUUGUUAUGUUUUGAGAUAAGUUACUCGAUCAUUUAUAUUACAGUGAUGAAAUAAUUCAGAUAAAUAAUUUCAUAUAUAUGAUAAAAUAAAUAACUAAUCUUGAGAUGACUUAUUCCUAAUCAAACAACCAUUAAAAUUUAAGUACACAGUACAUGAUAGUGUUUCAUUUUUUACAAUUGCGAUUAAAUAUGCUAGAUCAUUGUUCUCUUGUCUUGGGUCACCAAAUAUAGAUUAAAUAAAAAAUGUAGAAAUAAGGAACUGGAUAACUUAUGUACGCCUUCCACCACAGAAUUCGGCCCCACCAAAUGGAUAGCAUGUAACUAACGAAAUCCACAUUAGAUACUUGUCCUUCCCGUUUCCGUUCAUUCUAAAUGCCGCCGUGUCUCUGCCUUCCCGCCACUCUCCCUCACCCUUCCUCAACUCUUUUCUCCACGCGCCGCCGCUUCCCACUACUAAAACCGCCGUAUGCUUCCUCAAAUAUACCCGUUGGCUCAACUUCUCAGCCUAAUACCACCGGAGUCAUUGUCAUCGGCGGCGGUUUAGCUGGCCUAGCAGCUGCCAUUCGGCUUCAAGCUGACAACAUCCCCUUUCUCCUUCUCGAAGCUUCUGAUGCCGUUGGUGGUCGCGUUCGGUCCGAUGUAGUUGACGGAUAUACCCUUGAUCGUGGUUUCCAGAUUUUCAUUACUGGUUAUCCUGAAGCCCGAAAAGUCCUUGAUUAUGACUCUUUAGACCUCAGAAAAUUCUAUUCGGGGGCUCAGGUUUACUAUGGUGGUCGUUUCCACACCGUUGCUGAUCCUCUCCGGCAUUUCGCAGAUGCACUGCAAUCUUUAACUAACCCAAUUGGUUCAGUUGUGGAUAAAUUACUUAUAGGAUUGACUAGAUUGAAAGUUUUGACGCAAGGUGAUGAUGAAAUAUUGAGUGCUGAUGAAGAACCUACGAUGAAUUUAUUAAAGAAGAUCGGUUUUUCUGAUGCAAUAUUGGAAAGGUUCUUUCGACCGUUUUUUGGUGGAAUUUUCUUCGAUAGAGAGCUUGAAACAACGUCGCGGCUGUUCAAUUUCAUCUUCAAAUGCCUAGCUCUUGGUGACAACACACUUCCGGCGAAGGGCAUUGCGGCCAUUCCGGAACAGUUGGCGGCAAAACUGCCGUCGAAUUCAAUAUUGUUCAAUACACGUGUUGUUUCCGUUGAUUCAGGAUCGGAUUCCAGCACAAAAAUAAGAGUGACACUACAAAAUGGGGAAAUGUUGGAAAGUGAAUUUGGGGUAAUAUUGGCAGUUGAAGAGCCUGAAGCUGUCAAGUUGUUGGCGGGAGAAAAAACCGGUGAGGUUCGGCAACCGGUUCGGAGCACAGUAUGUUUGUAUUUUUCAGCUGACCAAGGCAAAGUUCCGGUGCAGGAUCCGGUUCUUCUUCUUAACGGAUCGGGUAAAGGUAUCGUUAAUAACAUGUUCUUCGCGACCAAUGUGGCUCCCUCUUAUGCUCCGGCAGGGAAGGCACUGGUUUCUGUCACGCUUGUGGGGCUUUAUGGUGAUGUGGCAGAUGAGGAUUUGGUGGAUCGGGUCGUGAAGGAGCUAUCGGGUUGGUUUGGGGAGUCGGUAGUUGGGUCAUGGGGUUACUUGAGGAUGUACAGGAUCGGGUUUGCCCAACCGAACCAAUGCCCACCCACUAACUUGAAGAAGAACCCGAAAGUGAAACCGGGCUUGUACAUUUGUGGAGAUUAUGUGACUAGCGCUACUUUUGAUGGAGCUUUAGUUUCUGGGAAAAAAGCAGCAGAAACUUUGUUACAAGAUAAAGCUCUGGUUAUUGUAUAGCUUAAUUUUGGUUUGAGUUUUUUUUCCACUUGUGUAAAAGUAGAAGUUUUGAAUGUUGUUGAUUUAUUUGUAUAUGGAAUCAUAAACGUUUCGAGAUCAUUUACAUGCAAUAAUUGUGUAUUAAACUGUACUAUCCAGAAAGAAGACGAUAUGGUAUGACUUGUUCUGUUGUUCCUAUAACAUAGCAGUGGUAUGAACUUACAACUGAGAAGAACAUGGUUGUUAUACUUAUGCAAUUGAACGUAGCAAGGUAGGACAAGAGGAUAAUGAUCCUGAUUCUUGAAUUCUUAAUGUUCGCGACUUAAUUGUACAGCUCUGCAAUGAAUUUUAUUGUAGUAUACCGAAGAGACAUUGUUUGUCUUGAUGCAAAUAUACUAAUGGGCAUCUUUAAUGCUUCGAAUAAGAUAAAGCAGACAGUGAUGUCUUUCCUAAAUACAGUGUCUGAUGCUGCCAACAACUAUAUAAUAUCAUGGAAUACAUAACCAUCUCUUAAUAUAAUAUGAAGAUCAUUCUCUGGCUUUUACUGUUAAGUCGUUUUCAUAUGAAUAUUUCUGCAUACCUACAUGCAUAUAUAUAUAUAUAUAUGUUUUCAUGUCCUCUUUGGCUAUAUGUGCCGCUUGGACAGAAGGAUAACUGACCUAGUCUGGGAAAGACAACAAAUGAAUAGCUAGCCGGCAGAGAUAUACUAAAUCCUUUUGAAUAAGUAUUUCAGACCUACUAUUCUUGCUUUCGGCCACUUAGUGAAGUAGUUAAAUGCAAAGAAAAAAUUAAGGCAUGAAAGGCGUAGUAGAAUAGAUGUAGGAUAAACUAGAAGAAAAAUGAGUAGAGGUUUCUUUCAAAGUCAGCAACACAUAUGGGGAGGAGUAUCAGCAGGAAUUUUGAUAAUAUUGUUUGGUUCAAUUUUUUUCUGCUUCAAGAGAAAGCUUUUUGCAUGCUUUAGGUUACCGAAGAACCAAAAAGGUUAGUGAAUCUUCAAUCGAUACUAUUUCUUUGUCAUGGAGCAUUGAAAAACUAUUUCUUGUCCUGAAUUUUUUGCUUUACUGACAUUUUCUGGGUAAUUAGGAACACUAAAAGCUGAACAGCUGAUGUUGAAGCUGUUCCAGUUGGAACAAUUACAGAAGGCAACUAAUAAUUUCAGUCAAGAGUGUCUGGUUGGUUCUGGUGCGUUUGGGAAUGUCUAUCGAGGAACAUUUGAUGGGGAGGGAACACUAGCUAUAAAGAAGGCACAUACUGAGUUAUACACAACUACUGAAGAGUUUGAAAAUGGUAAACAAGCAUACCUCUUUUUUUUGUUUAGACGCCUGAGAUUUUGCAGUAAUUGAUACAACUGUUAUCUGCAUACAGAGAUCAGGUUGGUCUCGAAAGUGAAGCACAAAAAUCUCGUUAGCUUGGUGGGAUUCUGCCAAGGAGCUGGUAAAUUCAUCAUCCUUCAUUAAUAUUACAGUCAAAGAUUAUAAGGUUCAUCAUGUUGUUGUAUGCAUCGACAGGACCAAAGGGAGCAAAAAUUCUGGUGUAUGAGUAUGUUCCAAACGGCUCUCUGUUAGACUACAUCAUGGGUAAAGUUCCAACUUCAGAGUCAUGAUUAUUUGCUUAGUCCUGAAGUUUAAUGUUUUGUGGAAAUGCUUGUUGUAGGGAGGGGCGGAAGGAGCUUAACAUGGAGGCAGAGAGUGAGGAUAGCUAUUGGAGCUGCUAAAGGUAAUUUUUCAGUGUGUUAUGUGGUUGAUCAGUAGAAGAUGAGAGGACAGAGUUUUGAUACACGUUAAUACUUGCUAUUUCAGGGAUAGCUCAUCUGCAUGAAGGAAUCAGACCAAGUAUAAUUCAUCGGGACAUAAAACCGAGCAAUAUCUUAGUAGGAGAAAAUUUUGAAGUCAAGGUCUCAGAUUUUGGGCUAGUGAAAUCAGGUCCUGUUGGGGAUCAAUCACAUGUUAGCAGUCAGAUAAAGGGCACACCAGGGUACCUUGACCCUGCCUACUGUACGUCUCUCCAGUUGACUCCGUUUACUGAUGUCUACAGCUAUGGUGUUAUACUACUGCAACUUGUUGCAGCUAGACCUGUAGUCGAGAAAACUAGAGGCCAUCCUAAUUAUCACAUUAUAGAUUGGGUAAUAGUUGCAAUGUACAAAACAUUCUAAGUUAUCUGCCUCACACAAUUUCAUUUUCUCAACUAAUUUCCUGCAUUGUUUGUUAUGCAGGCAAGACCUAGCUUAGAACGAGGAAGCAUCGAUGAAAUAAUAGAUGCUAAUCUCUUAAUGGAGGAAUGCAACAUGGAGAUGAUGUUGAAAAUGGGACAACUUGGUCUGAAAUGUGUGGUGAAAGUUCCCAAACAAAGGCCUACCAUGACUCAAGUAUUGCAAGAACUGGAGUCUGCCUUCUUUUCUGCAGAAAAUAUCAUGCAUAAACAACCGUCAAUUGGCUCCUUUAAAUUAGCUAGCUUGUCAAGCCAAUCACUCGUAAGGGGAAGCCAUAGAAUGAAACAACUUGAUUAUUCUCAAAGCUCAGUUAGCAUGGACGGCAUUAGAUUGCAGAAAUUUUACAUGGACAUAGAUGGCCUAUCCUUUGGGAGUCCAAAGUUGAGAUGCUUAGAUACCUAUAGUAUAGGCUUUGAAGAUGACUCAUUUGAGCUGACAGGAACUUCCCAGGAAACAAGCACAAGUGGAAACGAAGAGCUUAGGCUUAACAUAUAAUAUUAGUUAAAAUUUGAUUAAUGUAAGUCCGCAAAGAACAUAUUUUAGGUUCUCUCAAUAGGGAGUUUCUCCAUUUUCAAGCCUCAAACCCGACACCUUUGGUUAAAAAGGUUUCUAAAAAUGUACCUUCUUUGUAUUGGCAGAAUAGUAGAAAAGGAAGGGAUCAUACUUUGAUAUUUGAGUUUCAUUUUCAUAUAAAUUAUAUUUAUUCCAUCCCAUCUCACUUGAAUUUAGUCAUUAUACUGCAAUCAGUUACUGUAAGAUGUGUGCCUCACUCACAUUGUUGGUCUCAAGUUCAGAUAUAGGAGAAGGGUAGCAGUGAGUUGAUAGUUAGCAUAAAACUAGUUAUCAAAACAUAUUCCAGAUAGCAAUAAUUAGGAAACGGCAUCUUAAAUCAUGAAAUAUCAAAAUCAACAAGCGUAUCAAAUAGACAAAAAUGGAUAAUUUGAUGACCUGUGAAUUCAGAGAAGGUUCAAACGUACAGAGAAAUGGUCAAUUUUCAGCUGUCCCCCACAUAAUACUGUUGGUCAGUCAAACUAAUAAUGUCAAUAACAACGUACAUGGUCCAUUAUUCAGUGCUGUUUCUGGAAGAUGCUAGUAAGCACACUGGAGUUAUUGGUGUACUGUCAAAUAAAAACUUACCAGCGGAUUCCUAUUAGGUGCCAAGAAUUCGAUAAUAGACAGAUAAAAUCCUCACAAAAUCAACGAUUGCCAAUGGUAACCGAACUAGAAAACAGUGUGCAAGAAUCCAUUUCCAGGAAAAACUGUCGUUAUGGGUUCAAAAUGAGAGGCAUUCAUUUACAUUUACCACAGAAAAGUGAGCAAGUAAAAUUGAUAGAAUAUAAGCAGAGAAGUUUCAUCCUCAAGAAAGAAAAUUUGAUCUUCUUGCCUACUUAUAAAGUUAAUAAAGACGUCUGUUCCAAGUUAAACGUUACAUUGAACAUCAAAAACAUCACAUUGCACAACAAAAGAAUAAAUUAGUGCCGCACUUUCUGUUAUUUCUCUUUAAUCUACUAAAGGAUCUUGUCAUAACAAGUUUCAGAAAGGAUACAGCAAAGUAUACAACACUGUGGAAAGGUCAAGCAGUACCAAGUUAUGCGGGAGUGGGAGCCAGACUUUUUGCUGGGAAGUUCAUACCACCUCCUUUCAGAGAUACAGAGGGCCCUCUAAGUGAGCUGGCUCUACUCACAAGAUUUGAAUCAAGAAACACGACUAUGACUGAGAUAUCAUCAUGAAAAUGUCUCCUCACACCACGAUCAAUCUUCUUUAAAUCAGAAUAUCUCAUCUCCCUUUUCUUUGCCGCUUCUUGCAGUGCAGCUUUUACAAGCCGCCGAGCACUUCCCUGAAGAAUGAAUAUAGAAAAUGUAGUUACUUUCCUAAUAAGCUCAACAUUGAAAUCCAUCAACAUUCAGAUGAACCUCAACCCUUAUUCAUGAUGGCAACACACGGAACAACAUACACGAAAGGGAAUUUGACAGGGAAGUAUAAGCCCUGUGUACUUCCAUUCAAGCAUCCGAAGAAUGAACUUUGAAGUUUCUUAUUUCCAUUUUUCAUACUUCACAAAGUAAUUGUCGUUCGCUAAUCUGAUAGCUUUUGUUAAGUAAACUAAUGUUUUCGUCAAAUGGGUGUGCUCGUGGUACACAUAAUUUUGCCUUUUAUUGACUAUAGAUGAGUAUCUAAGAAUAGGAGUUCAAUUUGUUUCUGGUAUGUCAAAGACAUGGAACAUUUCUACCGCAUUGUGCUUUUUACGAGCAAUAUAAUUAGUGACUACAAGAUGUAAUUACCGAAAUAAUCUGCUCUCUAAAUCUGCACAUGAUGUUAAAUGAUGUAAUUUUUUUAAGAUGCAAUGUAACUGUGUAUAACCAAAAGGGGGGAGUAAAUUAUAAUUAAAGCUUUCAGUGCAAUAAUGCGGUGAUUAGCAAAGAAAAGAACUACCAGGCUACGUGAGUUUGUAAUGUGCUUAAAAUAUAAACAGGACUGCCUAAGGAAAAUCAGACCAACUUUCAAUCCAUGACAUUAAAUAAAUAAUUUUGAGAAAUAAAAGAAUAAGAAAUUUUAUGCUUUCAAGUGAAGGAUCAUACUUUGUGAGAGCUAUUUUGGACAAUAUCAACUGCCUCUUGAUUGCUAAGAUGUUCCCAAAGACCGUCGGAAGCAAGGAUGAGAAAUUGAUCAUGUGGCUGGAGUUCAUGCACUGAAAUCGCUGGAUCCGCACUCAAUAUGGGCCUCGUAAAAGGUUCUCGCAAACGAAAUUUUGCAUACAAUGGCUCUUUAUUGUACUCAGCAUUUUUGAGAUAUAAAUCGCCAAUAGAUCUCGAAAUCUGACAGAUUAAUAUAUGAAAUAUUAAAAACAUUCUCAAAACAGCAAAUACAUGUUCAGCGAGGUAAAGAUACAAAUUAAUUAGAAAAACAGGAAUCCAGCACAUAAUGCAGGAUAAAAACCUAGCCAUGCGGUUAGAUAAUACAAUUGGAAGUUUAAUACUCCAUCCAUUCCUCGUUAAGCAAACCAGAACAGAAGGAUAAUGUAUUUGGGGUAUCAAAAAGACAGACACAACUGGGGAAACAAUUUACAGGCUUAUAAUUCACUUCAGCUUCAGGGAGUGUAAAGUACUAAGACAAAAGUCAGUAUACACUUGGCAACCUGCAAAUGAAUGAGAAUAGAACACGAGUGCAAUAAUGAUUUUUGCAUUUAACUAAGAGGCAAGAUGAGACUAUACACUAGCAAACUAGAGUCUAGAGCACGCCUUGUUACCAUUGUCAAAAACAUACCUGUAUCAGACCCUUUACACGCCAUACAUUAUGCUUCAGAACGACUAUCUGUGGGUCAUCCGGAUGCAUAGAAUGCAAUUCCUGUCUGACAGACUCAAUACUUGCAUUAUGCUCAGCUGAAAGCUGAAGGGCUAGAACCUCUCCUGUAGCCCUGACAAGUCUCCCCAAAACAGCCCGGGAAUCACCAAGGUUGGCAACAUAAAGGGUCCCAUCACAGAUCACCCCAACCAGACAGCAUGCUCCAACAGAAGCCAUCUGAGGUUUCGUUAGCCACUGCUGAGCAACUAGAGAAAUGAAUCCCUCCUCUGUUGCUUGAAACGCUUUUCGUAUUACAUCAACAGACAUGGAAUUUUGUUCAGCUGCAGACCCUGCAAUAUUUAAGUUGCAGUGUAAUCAAGAUCAAGCUAUCAAACUACUAAUUCAACAAACACUAUCCGGCAUGCUUCCCUGUACUACCAAUCAACUUAUGCAACUUAAUACUUGGCAGUUGGCAGAUUAGCAGUUUAGUUUUAUAAAAUAAAAUAUUCAAUAUGCUUACUCUUGAGAUUCUGAAAGAGGUGAUCAUUGAUAUACCGUGAUGUUUCAGGCCCACCAUGACCAUCAUAUACCCCAACAAACGUUCCAUAUGGGCCAGAAUCAAGCAAGCUCAAAGAACCUGACUCAAUCUGGCUCUGAUCCUCCAGCAAAUUGUUGGCCUGAACAACUGCCAUAGAGAACUCACCAAGUAAGUGUUGUCCACUGUCCUUAUACCAAAAAAGUCCAUCUUGCCGUCCAGCUGAAUCUGUAGCACUAUGUACAUAACGAUCCGCCGAUGACCGGCAACAUGCCUUCAAGAAAUUUAUCAACCUUGAUAACAUCCCUCAUUUCACCUUUGCUUACCGCCAAUUCCUCAACAUCCAAAUGGAUGCAACUGCUCUCCAAAACUAAAAACUUCCACCACUACUCCCUUUGUUCUGCAAAUUGGAAACAACCAUAUAACAAGAGAUUCAACUAGACAAUAACUUCACCAAGAUCAUAACUUUAUCAACAAACCCCAAGAUUUAAACAAGACAGUAUGCUUAAACAAAGCCCAUAAUUCUAAUUUCAACAGCAAGAACAAAACUCCCAAGAUUUGAAAACAACUUAGGGCAAAAAGCAGAGUCAAACUAACCCAUUACCGUCCAAAACAAAAAGGGGUCAAUUUCAAGAUUGUAAAAACCAAAACCCAGUGAAACCAUAAGUGCAAAAUGAACAAAAGAACAGUUAAAACUCAAAGAGAACAUAAAAACCAUACCAACUUCACAUCUUUAACAAUUUCUCUCCUAAAUAAAGAUGAAAAAAAAAAGAAGACUCACAGUUGUGAUUAGGCCUUAUAUGGUAUAAUAUUACUGAAUCACACAGUGUGAAAAUACAAUUAAACGUAGCCAAUAAACGUUAGAUCUACAGAUCCAUUAAAGAUCAACCAGAGUUUAUGAGAAUAUACGGUUAAAGAAUAUGAAAUACAGAGAAAAGAUUAAGUCUUUUUCCUGUUUUGUUGGUUUCUUUUUCAGUUUUUUGUUUUCCUUUUUCUCUCUAUAUAUCUGUUUUUCAGUUGAAUGUGGGAGAUGAGAAUGGAAAGGAAGAUGAAGAAGAAGAUAAAAGAAGAAAAAAAGGCAGCUUUUUUAAUUUUUUUUUUCCUCUUUUUUCUGAAUUCAGUGUGAUUGAACCACUGAAGAGAAAGUCCCUUUUUUUUUUAUAAACAAUUUCGUAGUAUUUUGAGUUUUUUUUUUUUAAAAAAAAUAUAUAUUGUCUUAGCAGAUAUAAAAAAUAAAAAAGAACCAUCAAAAUCGAUGGCUGAAAACCAGCAAUGCAAAUUGGGUCCACCUUAUAAGCUAUUAGAAAAAAAAUUGUAUAUAUAUUUUUUCGAAAUGCCAAUUAAAUUUACAUAAUUUAUAAAGCUUCAAAUAUAAAACAAGUCGACUAUUUUUAAUAUGCGUCUUCUUUAUAUAUAUAUAUUUAUCUUUUAUUUUAUAAAGAAACUUUUCCUUAUAAGAGUUUGAUAUUAUUUGACUAAUGAUACUUUCUAACCAAGUUUUAGUCGGCCAACAUACAUGUUUAACUUAAUGAAUUUAAUUUGUUAUCUUUUUGGUUAAGCACGUGCCCCUCAUGUAGUAACUAGUUAGAAUGAAACGUGUUAACUAUAAUGGGGAUAAAAUUUUGUUAUUUAAUUAAAAAAAAUUAAAUAUAAGGUGUUUCAAAAUCGAGUUAUAAUGUAAAAUUAUUUUAUUGAUUUAUUAGUAUUAGGUUAUCUAAUAAAUGAUUGGGAACGAAUUAGAAAUUUAAAAUUAACAGUUUAUUGGUAUAGAGAGCAUUAUUGAAUGUUCUUAUCGAAUAAACUUUUAACUCAUCAAAAGUUAAAAUAUUGUUACAUCAACUCUGAGAUAUAUCACCCUCAUUUAAUAUUUUAUAUACCAUAAUCUAUAAAAUAAUUAUAAUUUUUCCUUUCUCAACACUCAGUACUACUAUUUUUCCUCCCAGACGCGGGGGAACUUAUAAUUAUGUAAUACUUUGAAAUACAUGAUUAGUAUUUUUCAUUUUUUAUGACCAUUAACAAAAUAAAAGUAAAGAAGUAUUAUUCUCUAAAUAUUCGAACAUGAUGAGUAGCUAGCUAUCAUGUAUGUGUAUGUUAUGUGUGUAAAUACUGGUGUUACACACUCUUAUUUGAUUAUAAUUCAGAAUUAAAUAUAAAUAUAUUUAAUGAUCGUUUAUCUCAAUUCUUCUCAUAAAAAUUUUAAUAUCAAAAUUUAUUUUUAAAAUAAAUUGUUGAAUUUGCCAUCACGAGAGCUAUUUUGUUGACUAUAUAAACGUCAAUUUCAAAAUUAUCUAUAUAAUUAUAUUCUCCAUCAUUUUUAUCAUUCAUGUUCAAUUUGAUAUAAUCCUACAUAAACAAUAAAUAUAUUUAUACUUUUAUAUAAAAAAGAAUAAAGGAAAGGGGUAAAGGUUUGUAGAUAAUUGCAUUAGAAUUUCCUUUGUUAUAGUUAAAUCACAAAAUUUUAACUAAUAUUUUACGAUAUGUUUUUUCAAUAUUUUAAUAUGUAAAAAAUUGUAAUAUAUAAUAUUUUUUUUGUAUAAUUAUUGAAUAUCUAAUUUUGUUUAAGAUAUCAAAUUUAAUUUUAAAAUAGUCAAAUUAAUAUUUAAAACAUACAAUGUAACAAAUAAAAGUGGAUAGAAAGAGUACUAAAAUAUAUUCUCGAUUUCCUUGUAGAAAAAAUUAUGAGAACUUCUAUAACUGUUGUUCUAAACUUCUAAUACAUCCAAAUUUCUCAAAUCUGAGUGCUAAAAUAUUUUCUCGAUUUUCUUCAGGAAAGAAAAUUGAUGAUUUUUCUUUUUACAAUUUUUGUGUAAAAAGAUUUGUAAUUAUAAAAAAUACAGAUACCCAGUAAAUCAUGCAAAUUUUAUAAAAUAAAAGUUAUUAUAAUUAUAAAAAAUGCUUGAAUUAAUUAUAAAAUGCAUACAUUUCCAUCAUAACUACAAAAUAAUGAAAGUGCGUAUUCAAACAAUGCAUAAACUUGAGUAUAAGAACUUGAUGAUAUAUCAAUUUCGAAACAUCCUAAAAAACAUAUGUUGACCUCUUCCUUAACUUUCCAAAUUAAAUAUGACACAUCUAAAAACUAAAAUAAUAUGAAAGCAAAAACAUAUCAAUUUAGAAAUGAGAAGAAAAUGAAUAUUUAGAAUAAUAUCAUACUAUGAUUACAAAAUAUGUUUAAAGUUCUAACAUUUAAAGGAAUCAAAAAAUAAUUGCUAACAAAAACAUCCAAAGAAUAUUAUUUAGGGUCCGUUUGGAUGGGAUUAAUAAAAGCAACUUUAAAAAAAUACUUCUGAAAGUGCUGAAACUUAUUUUUAAAAUAAGUAGUUAUGUGUUUGGAUAAAAGUGUUGAAGUUAAAAAAAAAUUGUUGAUGUGUUUGACAAAUAAGUGCUGAUAAACAGUCUUUUAAAUUAAAAUGUCUGAAAUACCCUUAAAAGCUGUUAACAUAAUAAAAGUUAAUUAAUUUAUAUUUUACAGUCAUAAAUAAUUAUAUUUUGAUAUCAUUCACAUAUUUCUUUCUCAUCACAAAUUAUUUAUGAGAGGAAUAUAAACUUAUUAUAGAUUUUAAAGAUAUAUAAUUUGAAUAGAUUAAAGAACGAUUUAAGAUUUUAUUUUAGUUUCAUCCAUAGGUAAUAAUAAUUGUCUAUCAUUGACAUAUUUCUUUAUUAUCACAAAUUAUUUACAAGAGGAAUAUAAAUUUUUAUUUAAGUUAUAUGUGCAACUUAUUUUACAUUUUAAUAAUAUAUAAUUUGAAUAGAUCACUUAAAUAAUUUAAGAUUUAUUUUAUUUUCAUUCAUUAGUAAUAGUAAUUGUCUAUCAUCCACACGUGGAAAAGGAAAAAUAGAAGAAAGAGAUAUUAGGGUUAUGUGGGUAAUUUGGAGAUUGUAUAAAAAUAUUAAGGGCAAAAAGGAAAAAAUGUGGUCAACUUAAAACAGCUUAUAAGCUGGAAAAAAAAACAUCCCUAUCUCAUCUUUUAACUUUUGCCUUAAAAUAAGUUAUUUUGAGUAUUGCCAAAUAGCUAAAUAAGUCAAAAAUCAGUUUUUAAAUCAGUUUGAUCAGCUUUUAAGCUGAGCCAAAACGGCUCUUAGAUAAACAUGAACAAAUAAAUGAAAAGAAUAAUGAAAAUAAUAGAGAUUGUCAAGCACUCAAGAAAAAAGACAUUGGGAAAAAUAUUUUUGUUAAAAAAUAAAGAGGGUAAAGCGAUUGUGUUAUAGGAUUAUGAACAUGACGUGGAAGAGACUAAAUUAUUAUAAUAUUAUUAUAAUUUAGCGAUAAUCUAACUUUAUACUUUAAAGCUUUGUAUUUUUAAUAAUGCUAAUCUUUGAGACCAUGCAUUAUAUGUUUAUUUGAGACAAUAAUGUAUUUUUUUCCAUCUUUUAUAUAAUCAAAUAUAUAUCCACGUUUAAGUAGAUAUCUUGACUAUCCAUUGAGAUGUUGAUCUCUAUAUAUUAUAAAUAAAGAAAUCUACAAAUAAAGUGAAAGAAAAAUUAUUUCUAUACUAUAUAUAUUUGUACAUUUUAAUUUAAUAAUCUGUUUACAGAAUAGAAAUUGAUCAAUAAUAAAAUAAUUACAAACUAUUGUAAUUGAUCAAGAAAAAUACAUAGAAAAUUUUUACGUAUAUAAAAAAUAUUUGGCAAAAUGAAACAUCAAUUAUCUGGGUUUUUUUCUUCAAGGAAAAUAACAAACCUUUCUUUUAAAAUGGGAGAUGAUGUUCUUUUUUCUCGUUAUUGAGUUUUAAAUAGAAGAAAAAUAAUUAAUUAAUUUGGAGAAUUGCAACUAAAACUUUAUGCAAGAAUUUAAAGGAAUUAAAUAAGAGAAAACGAAUGAGGGAAAUAGAAGUCUAAAACAUACUCCUUAAUAUGACACAGGCAUGUGAAUGUGGUCAAUAUAUUAAAUAACUUUUCAAAUUCUUCGAAUUUUUAUUUUUAAAUAAUUUUAUUCUUUUUGUAGCGAUAAUUAGGAUAAAUCAUAAAAUUGUUCAAUCACAUGAAUAAUAUGGGGAAAGAAUUCAAAUAGUAACAUUUUUAAUAAAAAUAAAAUCAAGAUAAUUUAAUAUGUUUUUUAAUAUUAUCAACAUAUUUAAAUACUUUCUUCUCAUUUCAAAUUUUUUUCUCAUCUCAAAUCAUACGUAUGAAACUCCUCUUACUUUUUAUGCACGUAUAAUAAGUAGGUCCUUUUGCCAAAAUAAUUAAUCAGAAUUAAUGAGCGUUGACUUUUCUUAAGUUUAUCACUUUUUGAAAAGAAAAACAUAGGAAAGUUGGUACUCAUAAUAUUAAUUGACUACUUCCUAAUAUUACAUCUCAAAUCUCAAAGUAUUCACAUGUUCGAAGAAAAAAAAUCCAAGAUAUUAUCACCCGUUUGGUCUUAUCGACGUUAUUAAAAAUAAUUAUUUUAAAUUAUUAAUUAAUUUAUAAAUUCAAUAUCAAAGUAAUUAUAUUUUAUUCUUAUAAUUAUUAACCGACUGAAAUAUUAAUAAAAAAUCAUGUAUCAGAGCCGAUUAAGCUACCCUUGUUUAUUUGAUUUCAUUGAACAGGCUAAGUCAACAAAUUAAGCUUUUAAUCUUCCUUAUUUAAACAUUAAUAAAUUCCAAUUUUCUUUAUCUUUUUUAAAAACUCGUUACCUAAUUAAUUAUUUCUCUACGGACCAAAUCAAGCUGCAUAUAUAUUAUAUGUUUUUUUUUUUCACAAGAAUAGUCUGUUCUUUUUUAUUGAAUUAAUCUAAUCUGCAUGUGGUCAUUAUAAUAGUGUCUGCUUUAUCCUUUUAACCAAAAUUUGCAGGUUGUAAUUAAUGUCAACCCAUGUGAUUAUGCACUAAUCAUCUUUUAUUUAAAGGGGGUCAAGGUCAGGUGCACAUUUCCUUUUUGAUCCCUUCAUUAAUGUGUAGUUUGGUUUUUUCUUCUUUCUUUUCUUAGAUAUUUUAAUCAAAAAUUAUUAAAUUGUCAGAAAAUUUGGCCAUUUAAAGUUAAAUGAUUUUUAAAAAUUAAUUUUUUAAUCAAAAUAUAUUAAAAUUAAAAGGAUAAAAAUAUUUUAAAAGGUAAAAUAAAAAAAUCAUUUUAGCCAAAUUUCUUGUCCAAAAAAGAUUUUUUUUUUUUUAAUUCCAGUUUGCAUGGUUCUUACAACAUUAGAUUUGUUACCAAAGUGAUUUAACUUUGUAUUUUUUUAUUAUAAUAAUAAAUCAUGAAUGAAAAAGUGAAGAGUUUUUUUUUAGAGUUCUCGUAUCCGUAUUAGAGUCCGAUUUAAUUGGUCUUACAUACUGCAAGACCAUUUCAAGAGAUAAUACUUCCAUAAAAAUUUUUUCGUACCUAAAAUUCGAAUACUGUUGCACUACAAGUCAUGUUAUAUUAUUAGUACGUGUAUAUAUAUAUAUAUAUACAUAAUGAGACUUUUCUAGAUACUUUUAGUUUUUCUUUUUUCAAUAUAUAUUUUUAAAACAAUAGAGGGCGAGGAACAUAUGGAGUGUAGAAAAGUAUAUGAUGGAUUAUGGAGUCCAUAAGAAACGCCUAAUUAUGAAAGGUUUGAGGCACAGCACUCAAACUGAAUCUCAACAUUUGAACCCAACAAUUAAUAUAUAUUAUCAGCCAUUCAUGGCCUAAACUAAAUUUUUUCUUUAGGUCCAAUCUCUCCAAGUUGGCGAUAGAGUCCUAAACCCUAAACCCUAUAAUUAAAUCUCUAAUAUAUGCAAUUUUUUAAAAAUUUAAUAUAAUAUUUUUAAAAAUAUUUUAUUUUAUAUUUACUAUUUUCAUCUCGAAUUAAUAAUAUUUUUUUUAAAAUUUUGGUCACUUUGUGAUACAAUUUGGUGUUAUAUUAAUUUUCAUGAUGAAGAAUGCACAAAAUUUAAAUGCAAGAUAAAAAAUUUAAUUAAAAAGUAUAAUACAUAACAUAGUAGUUUAUAUACAAGAUAACAACAGAUACAAUGCACACACUAAUAAUUUGAAAAAUGGAUAAUUGUAUAUAAUAGCAAACUAAUAACCUAAAAUAAAUGGAGUAGCUACUGUUUGAUUUAAUUGUGCCCCAUAACAAACGUUUGCCAAAGUUUGUCAGUCGCCUCUCUCCCAAAACUCUCGCUAGCCACUCUCCCUCUGCUCGCCUCUCUCGCUUUAUACAACAGAAGUGUAUAAAAUGUGUUUUUGUUUUGUAUAAAGCGAGAGAAAAUUAUAUAUACACAUGGAAAAACAUAUAUCUUUGUGCUAUACAUUUAAUUAUACAAUUUACAAACAUUUUGCUUCGAUACAAUUGUAUACAGAUGCAAAUUUUAUACAAAUAUUGCAACGAAAAAAGUUAGCGAAUUAUACAAUUGCAGUGAAAUACAAUUUUCUCUCACUUUAUACAACAAAAGUAUAUAAAUUGUUUUUCUAAUUUUUGUAUAAAGCGAGAGAAAAACAUAUAUCUUCUUCCAAUACAUUUAUAAUUAUACAUUGUACAAACAUUUUACUUCAAUUCAAUUGUAUGCAAAACAAAUUUUAUACACAUAUUGCAGCGAAUAGGCAAGGAAUUAUACAAUUGCAUUGAAAUAGGCUAGUGAAUUAUACAAUUGCAGCGAAAUAGGCCAGCAAAUCAUACAAUUGUAUAUGUAUAACGAGACCAGCGAAUUAUACAUUUUAGGUCAGCGAAUUAUAUAGUUUUAUAUGUAUAACGAAUUAUACAGUUAUAUGUUUGCUAUGGAGCGCAAUUAUGCAAAUUUUGCUAUAGCAUACAAAUAUGAAUUUUUUGUUUGCUAUAUGUGAAAGUUGCCCUUUUAAAAAUCACAACAAUAAUUUAGUAAUCCAGUAAGUCUUUUAUGGAUUUAACGAUAUUCGAAAAAGGAAUUAGUGUAUGAUUAAAGAAGUUGUGAUUGUGAUUGCGAUUGUGCUUGUUGAUUUCUUUUUUCAAUCAUUCGUAGUUGUUCAUUAGAAAUUUAGAAUAAUAUUUAAUUUAAUAUUAAAUAAAAGUUUCAAAGAAUUAAAUUUUAUAUUACAUGAAAUUAUAAUUUAUAUAAGAUGAUUAUUCAUAAAAAAAAAGAAAGACAAGAUUUGUAUUAUGAAAUAAGAAAACAAUAAAGAAAUAAUAAUAUAAUAUUGAGGAGAGAGAAAAAAAAUCUUUUUUAGAGAGUAAAAUAGAAACUGGGUUGGAGUUGAUUGUCUGAAAAAAUAGAGAACUCUAUAUUUUGAAAGUAAAAUAGAGUUUAGGGUUGGAGAUACCCUAAGUUUACGUUGGGCUGAAUGACUUGGCCUCGAAUGAGAUAACAACUGGGUUGGUCAAGUCCCGCCAAUUCGUCUCGUUUAAUGUCACUAAAAUUUUAACAUAUUACUUUUUCAUUUUUAUAAUCACAAUUUGAAUUUCGAUUGAAGAUUUUUUUUUAAAAAAGAUUACAAAAAGAUAAAUAAAUCUUAAAAGAUACAAAAUGUAUAUCAAUUCAUACAUUUAAUAUGGAAAUAUACAUUACAUUUAAUAUAAAUAAAAAACCUUAAAACGAAUUAAAAUUGAAGAUUCAAUUAGAAUUCUCCUAACGUGAUUUGCUCAAAGAUGUGUGUGAUGGAUGUACCAUUGUUGUAGUAACACAAUCUAUGGGCCUCAGAACGAUUAGGCCCAUUAGAAAGAAGUCGGGUCAUAUCUAUUGGGCCUAGCAAUUCCGGUUGUGUGUGUGUGCACUCCUUCCCACAUGUCGGUUUAAGGUAAACCAAUUAAAAAUUACUAAUUGUAUCAUUAUCAUAGGCUUUAAUUAUUGAAAGGGGUUUAACAACCUGAAAUUGGAUCUUAACACUAAAGGAAUUACCUUUCGUUAUUCUCAUUUCUCAUCACCUUCUCGGGUCAAUCGGUUCGACCCGCCGAAACCCUAAACAUUAGAUGAAUCUCAAUUUCAAUUCAAUAUGAUCCAAUCCAGCUUCUCUGCAGACUCACCUUCCAUGGCAGCCAAUUCCACUUUCUCUCCUCCGCCGGCCGCCGGUGACGGAGACUUCAAUUACGACGUCGCUUGGUAUGGUAACAUCCAGUACCUCCUCAAUAUCUCCGCCAUUGGAGCUUUGACUUGCCUUCUUAUUUUCAUCUUCGGGAAGCUUCGAAGCGACCACCGUCGCAUGCCCGGUCCCACUGCCAUUGUCUCCAAGCUCUUAGCUGCCUGGCACGCCACUGGUGUUGAAAUCGCCCGCCACUGCGGGGCUGACGCUGCUCAAUAUCUCCUUAUUGAGGGCGGCAGCUCUGCCCUGCUAUUAUUCCUCGCCCUUCUUUCUCUUGCUGUAAUGCUGCCGUUGAAUAUAUAUGCUGGUAAGGCUCCUAUGGCUGAUCAGUUUUCAAAGACUACAAUAAACCAUAUAGAAAAAGGUUCUCCAUUACUCUGGAUUCACUUUAUAUUUGUUGUUAUUGUUGUUGUUUUGGUACAUUAUGGUAUAAGUGAAAUACAAGAAAGGUUGAAAAUUACUAGACUUAGAGACGGCUAUGGAAAUCCGAGUAAUUCUGGUACAAAUGUCAGUGCAAUUUUUUCCAUUAUGGUGCAGGGUGUACCUAAGACCUUAGGUUUUGAUAAGACACCUUUAGUGGAGUAUUUUCAGCAUAAAUAUCCGGGGAAGGUGUAUAGAGUAGUUGUCCCUAUGGAUUUGUGUGCUCUGGAUGAUUUAGCUACAGAGUUGGUGAAGGUUCGGGAAGAUAUCUCUAAACUAGUCUCAAGAAUUGAGUUACGGGGUUAUUUGAAUGAGGGUGAGGAAGACGAGUAUAAUAAUGAUAGUGUGAACGGGCGGGGCUUGUUAGAACGACUGUGCUUUUUGUGGAGAAAGGCUAAGGAUACAUGGUAUCAUGUUGUGGAUCAAUUAGGUUUCUCAGAUGAAGAGAGAUUAAGAAAAUUGCAAGAGUUGAGAGCUGAUUUGGAGAUGGAAAUGGCAUCUUAUAAAGAAGGGAGGGCAAGAGGUGCUGGUGUAGCUUUUGUGGUAUUUAAGGACGUAUUCACAGCUAAUAAGGCUGUCCAGGACCUCCGGAAUGAGAAGAGGAGGCGAUAUGGUCGAUUCUUCUCAGUCAUUGAGUUGCAACUACAGAGGAACCAGUGGAAAGUGGAGAGAGCUCCUUUAGCUACUGACAUAUACUGGAACCACCUGGGAUCAACAAAGUUCUCCUUAAAGCUGCGCAGAGUGUUGGUGAACACAUGCCUAUUGUUGAUGUUGCUAUUCUGCAGUUCUCCACUAGCUGUGAUUAGUGCUAUUCAAAGUGCAGGGAGAAUAAUCAAUGCUGAAGCUAUGGAUCAUGCUCAGAUGUGGCUGAACUGGGUGCAGGGCUCGAGCUGGCUAGCAACAAUAAUAUUUCAAUUUUUGCCCAAUGUUCUGAUUUUUGUGAGCAUGUACAUUGUUGUCCCUUCAGUUCUUUCUUAUCUUUCUAAAUUUGAACAACAUCUUACUGUAUCUGGUGAGCAAAGGGCUGAGCUACUGAAAAUGGUUUGCUUCUUUCUGGUAAAUCUCAUUCUGCUUAGGGCUCUGGUCGAAUCUACUCUUGAGGGUGCUCUCUUAAGUAUGGGUCGGUGUUAUUUGGAUGGAGAAGAUUGCAAAAAGAUCGAGCAGUACAUGACUGCUUCCUUUUUGACAAGGACAUGCCUCUCGUCUCUUGCAUUUUUAAUUACAAGCAGUUUUUUGGGUAUAUCUUUUGAUUUAUUAGCUCCAAUUCCUUGGAUUAAGAAGAAGCUUCAAAAGUUCCGUAAAAAUGACAUGCUUCAGUUGGUACCAGAACGGAGUGAGGAGUACCCAUUGGAAAAUCAAGACAUUGAUAGUUUGGAGAGGCCUCUGAUUCAUGAAAGGAGUUCAACUGUGAUUGCUGACAACAAUGGAUUUUUACACGAUGCCUCUCCAAAUGAAAUUGAUUUCCCUGGACAAGAUUUGUCUGAAUACCCUCCAGUCAGCCGAACCUCACCAGUUCCAAAGCCGAAGUUUGAUUUUGCACAGUAUUAUGCUUUCAAUCUGACAAUAUUUGCCCUAACCCUGAUCUAUUGUUCGUUUGCUCCUCUGGUGGUUCCUGUUGGUGCAGUUUACUUUGGGUACCGGUAUUUAGUUGACAAGUACAACUUCCUGUUUGUAUACAGAGUGCGAGGUUUCCCUGCUGGUAAUGAUGGGAGGUUGAUGGAUACUGUAUUAUCUAUCAUGAGGUUUUGUGUUGACUUGUUCCUCCUUUCAAUGCUACUUUUCUUUUCUGUACGAGGAGACUCAACUAAGCUUCAAGCCAUAUUCACACUUGGAUUGUUAGUGGUGUAUAAACUCUUGCCCUCUGAUAAGGAUUCUUUUCAGCCAGCGUUAUUACAAGGCAUACAGACUAUUGACAACAUUGUCGAAGGGCCAACUGAUUAUGAGGUUUUCUCACAACCUACAUUUGAUUGGGAUACGUAUAAUUCAUGACUUGUGAAUAAAACCAAAGAUUUGUGUUGACAUUUUGUAUAUAUUCUUAUUUUGUUACGGAAGUGUUCCUGCAUCUAUCAGAUCUCUCUCCUCUUUUCUUGGUUCAUCCUUUUGGUGGUUGGAAACAGAUAUUUGGCUUAGGACCACAAGAGCACAUGUUAUAAUGUCUAACGGGUUCCACUGUAGUAGCACAGUCUGUAUUUCUACGAUCAGGUCUUGACCAAUCUACAGAGUGAAUAGAUGUUGUUUGUUUACCUCAACAUCUGCUCAAGUGCCUUUCUCGAAGGAGUAGAGUUUUCAUUGAUGUUUGCCUUUUCGUUUGUCGUCGCUUUUCAGCAUUACAGGAUAGUCCAUUUCCCAGUAGUCGUAACAGCUGGAGUGCAUCUUUUUUUAGUUAAAAAUAUUGCUUUACAACCAGGAAGAUAAAUCUGAAUAACAAGGUUCUUGGGGAAAUGUUUAUUUUGUUUGCUGUUUCCUCGUGCCUUCACGUUAUAGCAUAUGAGUAGGUCAACCCUAUGCCAAAAUAUUUAGUUCUCUAUUGGCAUUUUACGUGACACACAUUUCUUUUUAGUCCGUUUCAAAAAGAAUAUAGAAACGAUUUCAUUUAAAUAUAUGUUCUUUCAAUGAAACUUUAAUGCUCUUUUCUAGGGGGCAUGAUUGUUUUUUCUUCUUCUUUUGUUCUUACCAGAAAGUGAGCAAUCAGUUUAAAUAUACAAUGAUUAAGAAUUAAUGAUAUUCAUGCUAUAUUCACAUGUAAGGAAAGAAGAUAAGUAAGUAAAAUGUAUAUUUGCGUGUUUGUUACAAGAUAAAAUUGUACAUUAGGGUAUAAAAUGGAAGAUAAAGUCAAAAUUGAGGCUUAAUUAUUUCAAUUGUCCGACUCGUGAUAUAUCGCUUAUCUAAAUUUAGACAAUUUUAUUUGUAUGAUUAAAGAGGUUCAACUUCAGUAAAUGUAUGUAUAAUCAGACAGUAAUAAUUAAUUUAAUUUUUGAAAUUUAGUAUUGGGAAACCUAUAUACUUGAACAAAAUGAAUUAUAGGCAAGAUGAGAAACUUAAGGAGAUAUAUGAAAAACAAAGUCUAGUCAAAGUCCUUACCCUACGUAAAAUCUUGGCCAAGCAAUUAAUUGUGUAAUUCAACCUUUAGCUAUAACCAACUGUGUACAAAGCCAGUACACUUAACAAACUAAUUACUAUUUUAUCUCUCAUUUUCCUCUUCUUUGAGACAAAACAUGUGGUACAUGUUAACUUAUGGUAAAAAAACAUUUUCCAAGAAAAGGUAUAAAUAAACAAGACCAGUUAUAGAAAGUGUCACAAGUUAUGGUACUUGUGACAUUUAAUUAGUAGAAUUAAUGCAAUUUUCUUCUUUAUAUGUUAAUUUUGAUUAGAGAAACAAAUUAAGGGAGACAGAGAUGUAUCAUUCUUCAGUGAAGAGCAUUUUUGUUGAGGAGCAAAAUGAUGUUCCACCUAUUUGCCCUAAACCUAGAAAACUUGGAUCCACUACUACUCUUCCUGAAUUUCUCAAAUCCCUAAAUUGUAACGAUAACAGGUAUUUCUUUCGUCUCAAUUUAUAUGAUUUAUUUAUCUGUUUAUAACAUUUCUUGAGAAACAUAUAACAUUUUGAAAAUUCACAUGAUCGAUCAGCCAGAAGAAUUUUGAUGGAAGAAGUGGGAUUCUCAACAUUGUUGCUGAAAAGGUUUGUUAUCUAACGACUUUAAAUCUUGAUACAUCUUUUGAUUUCUCGUGGUAAUUCUUUUGUAAUUUUGCAACUCUUACUAUACCUCUUAUUUUUUGAAGACAAUAGUUGCUUUUCUUAGACAUGUGUGUGACUAUAUUUUUUUCCAAAUAAUUUUUCACUUUUCACGAAAGUUGGUGUCUAGCUAGCAUGAAAAUUUCAAAUCCAAACUGAAGUUGUAUUGCAAAUUUGAAAAAUAUUUUUUAUAACCUAUUUUCACGUUUCACUUUUGAAGUUAUAUUUAAGUAUAUCCAAACAUGAUCAUUAUCUCAAAUAUUCUUAGCAAAAAGUAUAAUCAGAGAACUCAAUUUUUAAUUACAACUCCACAAUAGAGUGAGAAAAUUUAAAAUCUACUAUCAAACGCAAACUUAAUGAACUUUUUUUUUCUUUGCAAAUGCAGACAAGAGAUGGAAGAAAUUCACCAUCAUGUUACUCAGGGUCUCCUCCAGGGAGAACAAGUAAUCCUUUGGUACAAGAUGUACAAUUUAUUCAGCAAAUGGAACAUUUUUCACCUUUAACAAGAACUAAUUUGUCUGAUAAAUUUGGUUUUACCUCUGUCUCUCCAGCUUGACAAAAUACACAAACAUCACAAUUUUUUUUAUUUUUGUUUACUUAAUUAACAGAUGUAAGUCAAGAUCCCUUUAUAACGGGAGUUACUUUUUUUUUUUUUUUUUUUGUGCCUAGUGCAAGAGUGUUUUGUUAGAUUAUCGUAAAUAUCAGUAUGAAGAUUUUUUUAGUUAGUAGUCAGUAGUACGUGUUAACUUUGAAAGUGACUUGUACUUAAAAUAAUAUUGUUAAUUUAAUGUUGAGUUCUUUUGAGUAAAAAGCUUAUGUGUUUGAGCAAUAUAUUAAUGCAUCAACUUCUUUUUUCUUUUUUGUUUAAAAUGGAGAAUUAAACAAAUUUUUAUAUAUAUAUAUAUGGAGAAUUUUGAGAUUUUAAAAAUUUAAAUGAACAUGUCAGUUCAAAGAGAUAACAACACAUAUAUAUUAGUAAUACAAAUUAAAGUUUAUGAAGUUGAAGAAUAUUUGAUAUUUUUAUGCUCUGCGUGGAAAGAAAGAAACAAACAAAAAAGGAGUUUGUCUUGUCCGUUGUCAUGCACAUACAAUAGUAUUAUUUCAUUAUUAAAACACUUUAAAGUACGAUCUCACAUCUUAUUAUAAAAUUUACAAACAUUAAUUAACGCACAAACAAAGAGCUAAUAGCGGAUUAAUUUAUUUUAAGUGCUUAUGAGUUAAAAUAGUUUUUAAGUAAUUUCAAAAUAUUUAAGUAAAGUUAAAUAUAUUUAUAAAUACUUAUUUAAAGUUAAAAUAACAAAAAUAAAUAAAAAAUUAUAAAUUAAAAUUUUAACUUAUAAAUCAUAAAUUAAAAAUCAAUUACACUCGAUUUGUAGGAAAUUAGAGUAAAGUUUUCAAGAUUUCAACUAUACUAAUCAUUUUUGCCAAAUACAUUUGCACAAUAUAACAUCCGAGAACUGGACUCUAACUUAUCCAUUGAUAUAUGUUCAUGUAAUAAAAUUUAUAGGUUAAGUAUUUUUAUUUACAUAACUUGUGCUAUUCUAUGAAAUUAAAAAAAUAUAUUAUGAUAUAAAAAUAUAAAGGGCGGCGAACGAAAAUUAUUCACCAGUACAAAAUAAGUGAAACAAUGGAAUUGACCCGCUAAAUUAUCAUAUGAUGUCGUGAAUUGAUAUAAAAGGCCAAAUGCAUUUUAAAAAAUGAAUUUAAGGGAAAUUGGAACAAUUACUACUUGUGGAAAGAAGAGUCAGUGAAGCUAUAAUGGAGUAGGGCGAUUUUCUUCAACUGUCAAAAUUUACUCUUUUUCUCUCUCUUUUUUCCUUUUCUUGAUUCUCCCUCUGUAAACCUAACCCAAUAAUUUCAGUGGCCAUUACAGUUCAAGAUCUGAGUUUUUCUUAGAAACGAAAAAAUGUCUUCUUUUGUGAUGUUCUUGCUAACAAUAACAUUGCUCUCAAUUUUCCCAUUUCGACAAUGUCAUGGCCGUCUUUUCACUUUUGAAAUGCACCACCGUUUCUCUGAAACUGUCAAGAAGUGGUCACUGCAGAAACUUGCUGCUCCACUUCAAAAUUGGCCGGUAAAGGGAAGUCUUCAGUAUUAUACUCAGCUGGCCAACCACGACAGGUUGCUACAUGGCAGGAGGCUUUUUAAAUUCGAUGGACCACUUACUUUCUCUGAUGGCAAUUCCACUUUCCGGAUCAGCUCUCUUGGAUUGUAAGACCAAACCAAACCCAUCUUUUAAAUUCCACUUAUUGGGAGUAUUUUUGUGUUUAAUCUUGAAGUUCUUGGUGUUGUCCCUUGGAUUCUUGACAUUAUAGUUUGAAUUUGUUUUGGGGGAUGAAUUUUGCAGCUUGCAUUACACCACGGUGACUUUGGGGACACCUGGGUUGAAGUUUCUUGUGGCUCUUGAUACUGGGAGUGACUUAUUUUGGGUGCCUUGUGAAUGCGGCAGAUGUGCUUCUACUGAUGAUCCUACACUUUACAGCUCUGUAUGUUUUACUCACUUUCCCCCCUUUUUAGGGUUAUCUUAUAUCUUUAUGAAAUGAUAUAUUGAGCGAAACGUUGUGGUGUAUAACUUAAAGGGUUGAUGAAAAGUGCCUUUGACAGCUACAACAUUUUGUUGCAUCCAUAUAUUCUAUGCUAUUUUGCACAAGAUGUAUAUGAUGGAAAUAUGAGGAGCUUAUUCGAGAGCUUCCCUCUGACGUAGUAAAUGAUGACUUUUUUCGUGUGAGAAGUGAAAACAACUGUCAUUCAUUGCAAGCCUGCAAUAGUAUCCACAAACAUCUUUGCCUUUAGGAAUGUGGUAUACCAUGACUCUCAUGAGUGGAAUUAGAUGCUCUGAUAAGACAUUGGUACAGUAAACUAGACAAUGAUCACUUGCCAAAGAGAUAAUAUUUACGGGUCCUACUCUUUUGGAUGCCAUUAUUUUGUGAAGCGGUCAAGGAGAAUUUUAUAACCAAACUUUCACGAGAGUAUGCACGAUCGUAGAAUUCUGUAUCUAAUUCACUUGUACAUUGUUGUCAACUGUGAACAGACAACUAAGUAGUUCUACCCAAUGGAACUUUAUGGGAACUGAUGAACAAUUGAUUUGUGAAGUGACAGACUUUUAUUGCCUAGUUUUCCAGUUCGGAUUACCAUUUUACUAUUAAUUGUUCGAUUCCAUCACAUCCUUACUCCAAACUUUGUACAUUCAUUUUGUCAUUUCCUUCUCUAAGCCAUGGUUUGAUAGAAUUAUCUUCCUCAAAUUUUAAGAUGGCAAGGUUAAAUAUACUGUUAACUUUGAUUUGCAAGAUAAUUUAUAAGGUGGUUAGACGGACUGUUGUAGAAAUGAGAUGCACUUUAUUUUGUGGUUCUCUUAUAUUUUUUCCUUUUCACUCCGGCUGAAGUGGAUAAUGUCUUUUGCUUCAGGAUAUUGAGCUUAGCAUAUACAGCCUGAAUGGAUCGUCAACUAGCAAGAAGGUCACCUGCAGUGAUAGCUUGUGUACAGACCGCAAUAAUUGUCUCAGUUCAAAUAACCACUGCCCUUAUUCAGUAUCCUAUGUCUCCUCGGAAACUUCAACUUCAGGAAUUUUGGUGGAUGAUAUUUUGCACUUGAGAACAGAUGAUAGUGAGGAAAAAAAUUUUGUCCAGGCGCGUGUGAUCUUUGGGUAAGUAUCCUGAACUUCUUUUUCCUAAUUGAAUCAAGUUUGGACGUUCGUUGAUCUCAGGCAGUGUAUUUUUAACUGCUAGAUGUGUUAUAUGGAAAGUAAAUUUGGUUAACUGAGGAGUUCUUGUGCUUCUGUCCAAGUUCUCAAAUUCAUCUCUGAUACAUGCCAAUUUCAAGUGUGCAGUUGUGGACAGGAGCAGACUGGUUCUUUUCUAGAUGUUGCAGCCCCAAAUGGUUUAUUUGGGCUUGGUCUCGAGAAGGUAUCAGUCCCUAGUAUUCUGUCUCAGGAAGGUUUUAUGGCAGAUUCUUUCUCUAUGUGCUUUGGUAGUGAUGGGGCAGGUCGGAUUAGUUUUGGCGACAAGGGUAGCUUUGACCAGGAAGAGACCCCUUUUAAUAUAAACCCAUUACAGUAAGUGGCAAUCAUGUCAAUUAAAUUUUUUGUGUCCACUCUUUCCGACUCUUUUAGAUCCACUUAGUCACGCUCUCGUGGAAAACUUUUUGCAGUCCAACAUACAACAUUUCUGUAGAUCAAAUACGUGUUGGAACAACUCUCGUUGAUUCAGGUUUUACAGCACUUUUUGAUACUGGAACCUCCUUUACCUAUCUUGCGGACCUAUCCUAUACAAAGCUUUCAGAAAGUGUAUGAAUCCUUUUCAAAUGGUGUACUUAUUUGUAUACAUUGUUAGAUCAUGUUUAAGAUUCAAAUGUUUUCUUCCCAAAUAGUUCCAUUCUCAAGUACGAGACAAGCGGCGUCCACCUGAUCCGAGGAUCCCCUUUGAAUAUUGUUAUGAUAUGAGGUAAUAUCUGCUAAUACACAACCACACAUAUUAUUUAUUUAUUUAUUUACUUAUUUUUCCCUUUUAUCAUUUUAUGAUUCAUAUCGGACAGUCCUGAUGAAAAUACUAGCUUGAUUCCUAGUUUAAGCCUAACUAUGAGUGGGGGAGGCCAACUUGCUGUCAAUGAUCCAAUUAUUGUCAUAUCCACACAGGUACAAUCGUUCAACUAUCUUGCACAAUAUUUUCUUCUUAAUUUCAGUUUAUCGCCUUUCCUGUAUAUGUACUAAAUACUGUUUCCUAUGCAGAAUCAACUAAUGUAUUGCCUGGCCAUUGUGAAGAGUGAUGCUCUAAAUAUAAUUGGACGUAAGGCUUUCUAAGUGCAACAGUGUUUUUGUAUUUUCUAUUUUUCAUUGAAUUGAACUGAAUUUUCAAGCACAUGGUAAGGAAGUUUGUUUCUACUGCAACAUGAAACAAACAGAGAAGUGCAUUAUAAACACUGAGGGAACAACAUACUUGCAUGGAAAAGUUGCACCUUUUGCAUUAAAGAAUUAGUUUUAGUGGUUUCAUAAAAUGACUUGAAGGAAUUUGACUUGGGCAAUUUUGCCAAAAUAUUGGAGAUCGUGAUUGAGGACAUGGCUUACAAUCAUCGUCUUUGAUCAUACCAUUAGGCAUUUGAUUAAAGCUAAGACCUUAGUUCUAAUUUAACUCCAAAAGUUAGCAGGAGGUGAGGAUUGCCAAGACCAUAUAAGGAGACAACAAGACCAUAUAAGGAGACAACAAGACCAUAUAAGGAGACAACAUAUACUCUCAACAAAUUUGGGAAUCUCACAUACACACUCUACUUCCACCCUCCCAGUCAAGUACUGAACGUUGGAGCGUGAACAAUAUACAUAGUGGCGUAAUAUUGGACAAACCAAAAAUAUAGAUUGACCUGGCUUUGUACCAUGUUAAAAAUGGUCAUUAGGUUCAAGUGAACUUGAAAAGAUAACUUGUGAGGUUAGGAAUGCUUAAGACCCCAUAUAAGGAGACAGGAACCAUAUCCGCAACCAAUGGGACACUAAUAUUAUAAUUUGUUAUAUAGUUCAUUCAGCAAUUUUGGUAGCUUUUGUUCAACUGGAAGGAGUUUCCAUGAUUUGAUUUUUCAGGACACUUCACUUCAGAAAGAUAACCAGCAAAAUAUAGUUUUAUUAGAGACAACAACAAUUUUGGCUUUAAUUACCUUAAAAUAAGUGGUUUUCCCUUUAUGUUAGUCAAAAUAGAAUAGAAUGAUCACCUUUUCGUAGCAUAAGCAGUCCCACACCUUGUAUAAUUGAUGCUUCAGGUUCCUGGCAAUGUAAUAAACUCUCUAGCUAUGAAACUGCCAGAGCUAAUCUCAGCUCUCUAAAAGUUUUGGUUGUAUAUCACCUUACUUUUAGCUGGCAGCUAAAAAAUUGUACUAGUCAUUUCCAAAUUGUGAUAUCUGACUGUUGUUGCUCUUACUGAUCUUUUUCCAGAGAACUUCAUGACUGGAUACCGCUUUGUGUUUGAUCGAGAAAAAAUCAUCCUCGGUUGGAAGAAAUUUGAUUGUGAGUAUUGUUUUUGGUGUUCUUUCUUCCAAUAACUUAGAUAUUACAAGAAGAUUAUUCUUUUCAUACUUUUGGUCUUGUGGCCUUCAUGCAGGUUAUGAUAUUGAGAAAAUAGACCAUUUCCCAUCACAACCUGUUAAUACCACCCAUGUUCCACCUGCCUUUGCUGUUGUGCCUGGAAAUGAUAAUGCAGAGAAAUCACAUGAAAGGACGACAACUACUCGUCAAAGUUCUUUUGCAUCAUCUGUUUAUCAAACAUGUUAUUUGAACCUCAUAAACUGCUUCCUAGCAUCUGUGAUAUUGCUACUUUUAUAAUUGCUACCAUAAGCUCAUUCUCACACUGAGGAUUCAGGUAUGCUUCUUAGGACUUUUUAACACAUAUAUAGUGCAGAUAAUCAUACUUGCAGAGCUCCAAUAUGGACAGAAAUUUUUGGUUUGCCUGCUCAUAUCUGAUUUUGAGGCUAACCAUAUAAUGUAUAGAAAUGUUAAUACAUUACACUAUGAUAGUUUAUGUACCUUAUGAUUGCAAUAGAACAGUGAGAUUGUACAGUGCCACCUCGUUCCACAGCCACAGCUAAAACAUAUCUACUACCUUAGGCUUGAAUCAAUAACUGCAUUUACGUCUCUACUAACUUCAAAUCUCGAAUCAACCUUAGCUUUGGCGAUGAUUAACAUUAUGGACUCUCUUUUAUUUUAUUUUUAUAUAUAAUAUAGUAGUGGAUUUUUGGAAGUGUGAUGAAUUUGGGGGAAGUGAUAAAUAAAGUAGGCAAAGAUUGCGUUUUAAAAUUAAGAAAGGAAAAAAAAAGGUACCAAAGAAUGAAAUCAGAAUCGAUACGACUCUCCACCCGAUUUUUUUGUACUUGCAACCCCUUUUUUUUUUCUUUUUUGGUUGUUGUCGUUUUUCAUGCUGCCAGCAAGGUUCUUUUUUCACAUUUGGUCAAUUAUUUGGAAUAUUUUGUGGUUAGGUUGUCUACUUUAAAAUAGAUUUCGAUCUCAUGUAAUUGUACAAGUAGGGUCUUGAAAAAGUCUAAAUGUAUCUAAUUUCUGUAGGUUGUUUUUGAUGGACCCUCCAAACAAAAUCACUAUUUUGUGACGUAGCAUAACAUUUGAGAAUAAUAGGAUGUUGCAUUUUCUGUUAAUACUACCUCCGUUUCGUUUUAAUUGUCAUUAUUUUUUCUAGAGUCAAGUGAUAUUAAUUUCGAUUAACAUUCUAAGAUGUAGUUUUCAUUAUAUUGAUAUGGAAAAAAAUGUAAGUUGUAGUAUUUUUCAUAUAGUUUUUUAAUAUGUAUUAUUAAAUUAAUAAAAAACUAGUAACUUUAUACUCUAUAAAUUCAAAUCCUUAUGUAAUGUGUUUGAAUUCAUUCAUUUAAACCAAAAAGCCAUGUCUGUUACGUGCCAUUCUGGAAGUAGGAAAAUAUUGAUAGAAUAAUAAUAAUAUUAUUGUUGUUGUUGUUGUUUACUUUCUCUACUCUAUUGGUAUAUUGUUGCUUUCUAAAGCUACUUUAUUCAAUGUACCAUGAUUGGCGGCUUUACCAAAAAAAAAUAAAAAUUACUCUCUCUUUUUGUUUAUUUUUAUUUAUUAUUUGGAUUUAUAUGCUCAAUUAAAAGAUAAUAGUAAUACUUAAUUGAUAUAAGCAUUGUAUUACAUUAUUUUUAUUAAUUAAUAUUUGAUAUUAGAUUUUUGUAAAAUGAUUAUAAAUAACUAAUCCUAAGAAUAAUGCAUGAGAAAAAAAAUUUAUUAUAUGUUAGAAUUAAUAAAUAAAAUUAAAAAAAAAUUAUUUUUAAAAUAACAAAUAAAUAAAACUGAACGAGUAAAGGGCUACACCUAUGACCAAUUCAUUCGUGAGAAAAAUGAAUGGCACAGUACUAAUUAAAAAACACGUCUUCUUGUGACCAUUGACUUUGAAUAUUUUACACAGAGAAUAUAUUUCAAUUUCAUUAAAAAUGUUAAAAUUUCAGACUUUAUACUUUUAAAAAUAUCUUUACAUAUCAUUUUUCUUGGGCAGUUUUUAGUAAAUGGAUGUAACUUGAAAGUCCAUUAAUCAAAGUCUAGUCAAAGCAUUAAAAAUAGUUGGAAACAAUUUCAGCCAUACAAUAAUAUCGGAAACUUCCAUUUUUUUUUAUUUUCUGUUCGAUGUUUAGAAUUUAUAUAAGAGUCUGAUUAUAUUUGAAUCUCAUACCGUCAAAUUUAUACAAAAAUAGUAUUUUUAAUAAAAAAAUUUUUCUUUUAUAUUUCGUAUUUAAAACCUUUAAUUAAGAAUGAAUUGGUCUUACCGAUUGACCAUUACUUAUGUUGGUGGAAGCUUCCUAUUUAUUCCAAUGUAUUAGGCUUCCUCUAGACCCAUCGCUAUUUUUGUAUAACUACCCUAUAAAAUUAAUGUGCCGGUCUAAUGAGAAAAGAAACAUAGCUUUAAAAAAUACUUUUUUGGUUAGCUAAAAAUAAAGUAUACGAUCUAUUUUAUAUUUAUUUAUUUUUAGUAUCAAGUAUAUUAUUAUUAUUUUUAAUAUUUAAAUGAUUUAUAAUAAUUAAAGGUAAUUAAUACAAUAAAAUUAUUGUUUUGUUUUUUCCCCUUUUUUAUAAGGGGCAUGUGAAGAAUUAUGAACAAAUAAAUGUGAAGAAAGUGCGUAGGAGUAUUUGAAUUUUCGAGUCUAACUUUAAUAUAAUAUAUUUUUCUAUGAAUCAAUUUUACGAAAUAGGUUCUUUAAGAAAGUAUUUUUGUCACAACUCUUAAAUUUUGGUUAAAAAAAGAAACAAAAAUCAAGCAGGUGUGAUGCAUGCAUUAAAAUUUUAAAAUAGGUCUGAAGCAUCAGUAAUUAAAACCAACAAAAAACUUGAGGAAAAGAAGAUUAUUAUUAUUAUUAUUUUGUAAAAAAGACUUUCCGAAAGAAGUUUAAUUAUUAAAAUAUUAUCGUAAAAGGAAAUUUGUAUUCUUUUAAUUAAAAUAAUUUAAAAACAAUAAAAAACUUUGCUGGAAAAAAAAGGGAGUUGUAAGAAACUUAAAUAAACACCAACUUGAAAUAUUUAUUAAACGAAGUCUUGAAAAGACUAAAAUAAAUAAAUAAUGGACAAUCUCAGGAGAAAGAUUUGAGGGCAUAUUUAUUUUCCCCUUUUGAUUAUUGAGACUUAAGAAUAUGAUAUGGACCAAUGUAAACGGUUUGUACCAAACAAACGCACCUCAUAUUUAACAACUCGUAGUUUAAAAAUAAAUAGAUCGUCUCAGAAUACUUAUCAUAUUUAUAUUUUUUAUAAGAUAAUAUUAUAUUUAAUUAUUUAUUUUUAUUUAUAAUAUCUGUUCACUUUUAAUUGUAGUAAUUUUUUUAUUUAGGGUCAAAAUAUAAUAAUUUUUAUUAGCAUUUUAUGAUAUAUAUUCUCAUCAUAUAAAGUUAAAAUAAAGUUACAUAUUUUAGGAUGAUAAAUAGUUCGAGAUUAAUUAGUACUUAAAUAUAUUUAGAUAAACUACGUUUUGUUAUAGAAAUUAUUAAGAUAUAAUAGUAGGAUAACUCAUUUUAUCUUCCCCAAAACCACUUUCUAGAUUUAUUAAUCAAUUCACAAUAGCUUUGCCCUUGAAUUUUCGCCACGUCUACAACUACAUUAUUGCUGUUUUUAUUACGGAUAAAGGUACUUGCAUAUAAAUAAUUGGUUUGGGAUUUGUGUGUCUGAAUUGUCUAAAAUCAUAGUAAUUGAAAUAUAACUCGGAAUUUUAUAAAAAUUUUAAUGUCUAAUUUAAUGUUUUAUUUUUAAAUUUUUGCUCAGCUAAAAUAUCUUUUAAUGAAAAAAACUUAUUUAUUAUAUCAAGUUAAUAUAAUUUAUAUUAUGAAUAUAUUGAUUUGAUGUAAAUAGCAAUACAAUUUUAUCUUUUUUAAAUCCAUCCCACUUCUCUUUGCGUCCUUCAUUUUUAAUUUGUUUUUUUUUUAAUUAAAAAAAGGGGCCUUCAAUAAUUUUCUUUUGCUGUGAAAAACAACAUCAUGAGAAAUUACUUUGGAAAAGUCAAUUGCAGUUUCCCAAAAGGGAAUGUAGAGUGCGAAAAACAUUAUUACAAAAGAACCCUAUGCAAUUUCUUAUGUGUUUCAAAAGAUGAAAUUCUCUGCACUUGCCAGUUACCAGCAACAAAUAACUGCAGUAAAAAGAUUACGAACCAACUAUAAACAGAGUACUAAAUAAUUUCUUAUUUUCAAUCAGAAAUUUCGAAUUUUAAUCUUUCAUUGCCUUAGCUUUGUUAUUAUUUUCAAAUUUAACUAAAUUUUAAUAUAGAUAAUAUAUAAAAAAAUUAUUUUUAAAUUUAAUUAAACUUUAAUAUAAAUAUAUAUAUAAAAAAAAAAGGCCGCGGUAAAAAGAGCAUGGAGCCCUCAAGCCCAGUAUAAAACAGAAAAAGUGGAGCCCAUAACCCGCCAGCCAAACAAGUCAUAGGUGACCAAACUCCGAUGCUUUCGUCUUUCACACAGUAGUCGACGACUUUCUUCCACCAUUUUACCCUCUUCUAAAAAACUACAAAUGGAAGCAAUGCUUAGCUUCUUCAGCUUCAGACUUGUCAACCCAUUUUUUUUUCCUUUCUCAAAAUCCCCUUUUAUCUCCUCACCUUUUCUCUUUCUUUCUCCCUGUAUAUCUAUAUAUCAACAUACAAAGAAUCAGUCUUUUUUGUUUUUCCUUAUACAAACAUGCCUAAUUCUGGUAAAAUUCGUAAUUUUUUCCUUGCCCCAAUUAUUUUCUUGGCGAUUCUUGGAUACCAGUUGAAGACAACUGAUGGGUUUGGGACAUUCGGGUUUGAUAUCCAUCACCGGUAUUCGGAUCCGGUAAAGGGUAUUUUGGACCUUCAUGGGUUGCCUGAGAAGGGGACUGUUGAAUAUUAUUCAGCUUGGACUCAACGUGAUCGGUUUGUUAAGGGCCGUCGCCUUGCUGAUACAACUAAUCCCACAGUGCCCCUUGCUUUUUCUGGAGGAAAUGAAACUUUGCGGCUCAGUUCUUUGGGAUUGUAAGCUCCCUCUGUUUGUUAUUGUGUUUACUGUCUUUUGCUUUUAUCUGCUACGCUGGAUGUCACAGGUUGACUCUGGUUUUAUUUGUUUUUGUCUGUGUUCCUAUAUCAGGAAAAAUAGGUUACCUAGACAAAAAAAGUUUCUAUGUCUGUGUUGAUAGGAGGCAACAUGAAUCAUUGAAUUAGUAGGGGGGAAGGUCCAUGCCUCUUUUAUAGUUUGAAGAAGAAAGAUUUAGACCUUUUUGGUGUGAUUGUCGAACCAAAUAGGACAUAUAACUCUAUUUUGUCAAUUUUUAACUGUAUAAGAACACUGACUCUAAAUGUUGAAUUUACUUUGAUUCUGGUUCCUGUCUAAAGCUCUGAAUUCUGUUCUUAUUUGGAUUUUCCUCUCCUCUGCUGUCUUUUAGUUCUCUCAAGACAAGGGGUUGUUGUGAUGUUUUUGGCAGUAGCAUGUCUGUAAUUAAUAUGUGUUUUAACUGUAGAGUUGUGAAGUCUGUAAUAUAGAUAUAUAGUUGUGAUGUAACUAGUUUUUGCUUUGGCAAUUUACAGCUUGCAUUAUGCAAAUGUCACUGUGGGCAGUCCUGGGCUAUCAUUUCUAGUGGCACUUGACACUGGCAGUGACUUAUUUUGGCUACCAUGUGAUUGCAGCAACUGUGUGCGUGCCCUUCAGACACGCAGUGGAGGAGUAUGUUAAUUCAUCCUAGUACUUUUUCUUUUUCAACUUUCAAAUGUUUAAAGUGUUUUUCUUUUUAUUGAUCAUCUCUUCUGUAUAUUUUCUUCUGCAAUGAAGAAUAUUGAUAAUCACAAGGAGUAGUUGUGCAAACUUUUCUUCCUUUUGUAAUUAAGAAACCUGCUGAUAACUCAAUGGCAGCACACAGUAGAUUUCUCUUAGUCUGCCUUAAACAGUCAUUAUGAUAGUAACAAAUUAUCUUCUAAGUUAGCAAGAUAUGUGGUGGCCGUAGAAGUUGAGGAAGUAUUUUUCUGUCAAGGAAGAUUCAUAACUAACACAAAAUGGAUGAUUUUCAACAAAAUCAAUAUUUGCAAAGUGAGUUUGAUGCAUGUAAUAUACUGAAAUAGAAACGGAAUUUAUGAUCCAUAUCGUUCGUAGCUUGUUAGUCAUUGAAGAAUUUUAUGAUUCUAAAUAGCCUAAGUACUUCACUCCCGACUCCACCAGAGUUUGCCUUCAGUAACAAAAUUUUAUUCCUCUUUUGCCUUUCCCUUUUUAGGUUUCUGUAUGCGUUAUUUCUUGGUUGACUCUAAUAAUCAUCCAUUUUCCUUUGUUUGCUUUUGAAACAGCGAAUAAAUCUUAAUAUCUACAGCCCUAAUACGUCUUCAACGAGUGAGAUUGUUCCGUGCAAUGGCACUUUGUGUGGACAAAAUAGACGAUGCUUAGCUUCGCAGAAUGCAUGUGCUUAUGGAGUUGCAUAUCUCUCCAAUAACACCUCAUCAUCAGGGGUACUGGUGGAAGACAUCUUGCACUUAGAAACAAAUAAUGCUCAACAAAAAAGCAUUGAAGCUCCAAUUGCUCUGGGGUGGGUAUAGUUACUUUUACUUUAUAAUUGGAAGAGAUUAAGGUGACUAGUACAUGCCUUGUUUGAGAUAUGCAAUCACAUUCUAGUUAGACCAGACUUGGAAUUUUUAACUACUCAAAUGAUAGUGUUUAUAACUGGUUCCAUAUACCAAAAUUGGUAAAGCAGUGUAAUUUGGAUCUUCUGAUGCUUUUUUCAUCCACCAUAAAUUUUACUCUAUUUCUUUCAUUCCAGUUGUGGGAUAAGACAAACAGGUGCAUUUUUAACUGGUGCAGCUCCUAAUGGUCUAUUUGGACUUGGUAUUGAAAAUAUAUCUGUCCCAAGCAUGUUAGCAAGCAAAGGUCUUGCUGCAAAUUCUUUCUCUAUGUGCUUUGGACCUGAUGGUAUUGGAAGAAUAGUUUUUGGAGAUAAAGGAAGUCCAGGCCAAGGAGAAACACCACUCAAUCUUGAUCAACCACAGUAAGCUGUCACUUCGAUUUUCUGGUUUUAAACAUUAAGGGAAGUGAGAAUUCAACUGAAUAUGUAUUUACUCGUUCUCUCUCUCUGCAUGCAGCCCAACUUAUAACAUCAGCCUGACAGGAAUAACAGUAGGAAGCAAGAUCACUGAUCUUGAUUUCACAGCCAUUUUCGACUCUGGCACUUCAUUCACAUACUUGAACGACCCAGUUUACAAAGUCAUUACAGAAAACGUGAGUGAGAAACUAACUGUAUGAGUUAUCUGUGGACUGUGUUCGUUGUAUUUUAAAACUGAAUAAUUUGCUUCUUUUGCAGUUCGAUUCUGAAGCAAAACAGCCACGUAUUCAACCUGAUGGCACAAUUCCUUUUGAGUACUGCUAUGGGAUAAGGUGAGCCAGCUUUUGAUUUAACUUUUUACUUUCUUGAUGUCCUUUGAACUUUCAGGACUAACCUGCUCCAUUUAAGCAGUGCAAAUCAAACUACAUUUGAAGUUCCAGACGUAAAUUUGACAAUGAAAGGUGGCAACCAAUUUUAUCUUUUCGAUCCGAUAAUAAUGCUCUCACUCCCGGUAAGAUGGUUUCUGUUCCUUUUAUGUUAGAGCAUUCUCUUUUAAAAUAUUCUAAUAUUCAGUUGUUAUCCUCAGGACGGUUCAGGCGCAUACUGUUUAGCUGUUGUGAAAAGUGGGGAUGUCAACAUCAUUGGACGUAAGUAUCUGUCAUCUAUCGUUGCUCCUGAUGUUUUAUUCCUUUCCAUUGAAAUCUGUAAUGUAAUUUACACUCCUACCAACUUAUGAUCUCACAGUUACCAAGUUUUAGAAGUCUCAGUUCCUAUCGUCUAUCAAUCUCGACUCUUCACAUUAUCUUAAAUUAUAAAUUUUGGAAACCUACUUGUAAAACUUGUUACAUUCUCAAAAACCUGAGCUAUUUGUCAAUUUAAUUGUGAUCCUCUUUCUGUAUUAGGAAUAUAUGACAGAGCAACUAAUACAUAGAUCUUUCUGCAGAAAAUUUCAUGACUGGCUAUCACGUAAUAUUUGAUCGGGAGAAGAUGGUUUUGGGUUGGAAAGCCUCUGAUUGUGAGUUGGCAAUCCUGAAUAUGACAAUUUUAGUGUGCACACCUUUUCAUGUUUUAACUAGAAACCUUUCUUGGCAGGUUAUGAUUCUGGAGAAUCAAACGAUAGAUCAACAACUCUGCCCGUGAACAAGCGCAAUUCUACCGAAGCGCCUUCGCCUGCCAGUGUGGUGCCCGAGGCCACCAAGGGAAAUGCAAGUGCAAAUGAACCCGCUACAUCGUUCCCAUCUGUUCCAUCAUCUAGACCUGCAGGAAACCAUGCACCACAUUUGAAUUCCUUCUAUUACCAACUUAUGAUGGCUAUAUUUUCCUUUUUCAACUAUUAUUUGAUUAUUAUUUCUUCUUGAGGCUUUUAUUUGUCCUCUGUAUAAUAUUGAGUUCUGUUACAGCAUAGAAUUGAAGUGUCCCACAGCAUUUUUGAUAUUGCAGUUUAUACCUGAUAUAUGUAUUGUAAAUAUAACUCUGAUUUCUUUCUGUCCUUUUUCCGUUCAAGAUUCAAUAUAAUACAUUUCGUUCAUUAAAAAUAGCUUGUAAAGGGUAUUUUCUUGUUUUGGUUCUGUAUGAUCCUUAAAACUAAAUUAGCAAGUGUAUGACCUAAUAGUCAAUGAAACAAUUAACAGCCACGGGAAAUCGUUUAGACACCACCAAAGACGACUGCAAAGCUGACUUAUACCCAGCUGAGUUGACAAGCCAGCGUAUGUGCAAACUGACAUCACCAUUGCUGUAUCAAGGGGAAAAUAAUGCAUGAAAUUGUACCUCUGUGGUAUUUCUUUCCAAACAAACUUCAGCUCAAUAAUCAGAACAGAAGUCGCUGUAUUGUGAAUCUCAAGACGAGUAUAGAGGAAUUACAUUAAGUUUACAGUCGACUACUGUAAAAAAAAAAAAAUUGAACAUGGUACAACGUACAUCUCUGCAAGUUAAGACAGCAAAACAAUGAUGCAACCAUAAAUAUAGGCCAUACAGUAAAAAAUAAAGUAAAAACAAUUAAAGUUGCUACGUAUUGAGAUUCACUAAGGCCACUAUUCACCCAUACUGAACCAUGAUCCAUUUUCAGGAACCUCGUCUGUCUAAUCCCAUGAGUAGUCUUUGAUCAAAAUUUAUAUAACCUUACUUUUCACUCUCUUAUUUUACUCGCUUUUCAUCUUUCUUCUUUGCCCUUGCUCGACUUUUUUCGUUCUCCUUCUUUCCUCCCUCUCCAUCGAUGUUCUUUGACAUUGCUUGACUUUUUUCAUUCUUUACUACCGCCUUACCUUGAGAGGACAAUGAUAAUUGUUGUGAUUUCAUCUUAAUAGAUUUAACUAAAGAAGAUAGCUCGUGCUUCUCCUUUCUUGAAGGCAAAUCACCAGACUGCAAUUUUUCAUUUGUUGCUGACUCUAAUUUUCUAGUUACUCCGGGCUGUUGUUUUGCACUCACAAUUUCUUCUUCGACCUUGUGCUGCUUUUGUGCCAACUGACGAGCAUAAGCUGCACUCCUGCAAAAACCAAAAUAGAUACCUGUAAACAAAUGAAAAGAGCAAGCAGGCUUUGUUUUGGAAUUGGGAAAACGCCAGACCAGUUCUGUUUACAAGCACAAACAAGAAAUUGGUGUAAACAAGAUGGGAAAUACCGUUUGAACUGAGGAUCUGUGGGGUCCAAUGCAAAGAGGUGUGAUUUAAAGAGAGAUGAAAACCGUGGAUCUUCAUAAUCUAUAGUUGGCAACUUGUCCUCUACUGGAGUUCCUUUACCCUUCUUCCCCUUCGCCUUUUUAGGUUUCAUGUUGUAACCCUUCAAGUUAGGGUCUCCUCCUUUGUCAUCUGCAAGUAAUAGCUCAAGCUCUGCUCUACUUGCUUCAGCUUCUUCAGAUGCUUCAAGGCUCUGCUUCCCUUUCCUGGUGCUCUUACGUUGGGAAUCCUUAUCCCCUUUUGCGGAAGGCUCUUCAAUGAAGAAGUCCUCAGGUUCAUCUAUAGGUUCUUGAUCACUAUCGCUGCUCUCAUCUUCUGAUGAAUCCUUGGUGUUACCUUUCCUGGACUUCUUUUUCUCCCUUUUCUUUCUGAGAUAAGCUUCCCACACAGUUUCCGACUGUUUAUCCUUCUUUUCUAGGAUACGUUUGCUUAGAUCUUCCAAUCCAGUGUUAAAUGUGACCUCCAUGUCCUGGUCAUCGUCCUCGUUAUUUCCAUCUGAACCCUCCCCAGACUGGAGUAACGCACGGUAGGUAUCAUGUUUUUUCUUCCUUUUGGCAGAUUUAUCUUCUGUGUCAUCAUCACCUUCCUCACUAUCAUCACUUCCACUCUCAUCAGAAGCCAAAAACUCUUUCAACUCCAUAUCUGCAAGCUGCCAACAAAGAAACAAUAUCAAUAUUUGCAGAGUAAUAGAAAACAGUAUUGAGGGAAAGGCAUAAAAUCUUCAAACCCCAAAAACGAAUAUCCCUUAAUAAGGGACUUUAUAUUGGAAAGUGCAGAACAAUCCUAUCAGCAGCCAUAAUAGAUAGCAUAACACAAACACAUAGAUAACCACAUACAACACCUUAGGUACAAGCAAGCAUGUGCACACUAUAUCACUAUCCCACUGUAUAGGCUCACUGACAACACACCCAAGUAAAAAAACAAAGAACAGAAAAAGAUGUCAGAGGUGCCUGACAAUCUUCUCACACUUGCUAAUAUCAGUAAGAGAAACAGUUUGUCAAAGUUCAAAAUUUUCACGGAGAUACUAAACUAAAAGACACAUAUACACACACUCUACAUCAAACAAGAGUAAACCUGUUUAUCAUUGAACUGUCUCUUCAAGGUCCUGAUGCGUUGUGGCUCAUCCUCAUCCCAUGUAAGUUCAAUAUUGCUAUGCUGCAAAGCUCGAGUGUGAAAAUCUAGACCUUCAUAAUCUGCAGGGGCCUAAGUACCAGAAGAAUAUAACAAUCGAACACAAAUACAAUUAGAUUUUAUGUUUUCAGCCAAUAAUAACCGUUAAAACUAAAGGCUCCUAUGAUGAGAAAUCGUAGCCACAAAUUACCUCUGUUGCAAUGUCACGUGGUUGAUGCUUGAAUUCCAUGGAAUCUGGAAUAAACCUCAAAUCUAAUUUGUUUGAUGUUCUCUCAAACUCAACCCCAUCACAAGUUUUGUAAAGAUAAUCAGCUGUAGCACUUGAAUCGCAUUCCACCACAGCAUAAUAAUACCUGCGAAGUACAUAAGAAAGUAUCUUUGAAAAGAGACCUAUACAUAAUGAAGGACGGGGAAUUAAUAAACACAGAAUGGAGUAGCAUAAGGGUAAAAAAAGAAGAGGAACCAAAUAAAUUUCAUAAAGGUUUAUCAACAAGUUAUCAUUUUUAGUCGGCAAAAAAUGCAAGAAUCACUUAAAGAUACAUUACCCAGAAAAAACACAGAACCAAAUCAUCACCUGAGCCGACUCAUCUCAUAGGCGCGUAAUUUCUCAUUGUCCAUCUCAUCAUCAUCUUUUUCUUCUUCUUCAUCAUCAUCACUGUCUUCAUCUUUUGCCUUUUCCUCGUCAAAUAGGCCAACUGGACCAUGGACAGCCUCCUCUUCCAUACGCUUGAGACCAAAGUCAGAUGGAUAGACAGCAACAGAUGUUAUUUGACCCCCUCUUGGGAGAAAGGAGCUCAAUAGCAUAUACAAGUCAACUGCCUACAUAGCAUAACAGCUUGCUGAGAAAAGAAUUUAAUCGUUCUAUAGAAGUUAAAUACAUCAAGGCAUAGUUUGGUUAAUGGCUAUUUAUGGAAUAUAAUAAAGGGUUUUAAUAACAGUGUCAGGUUUGUUAUAAAGUAAAGAAUAAUGUAAGGUGCAGUGAAAUAUAAAUUAUACAGGGAUUCCAUACUCCAAGGGAUUUAUUUGUCUUCUGUUCUGAUUCAUGCAUUACUACUAAAUAUUUCAUUAUUUCACAUUAUGCAGCGUAAACAAUAUAUACAUUUCACAUAAAUUUUGCUUUAAAGGAGUGCAGAGCUUAACACUGAAAAGCGAAAACUAAACAAUAUUAGCUAUGCAGAGGUAUCUACCAGCAACAUUCUAUAGAUCACUUCAGUAGUUAAGAAAUCUAUAUUACAAACCAAGUGACCCCUUAUAAGUUUGAAUCGAGGUGCAAUCCACAUUAUGACCACGGUAGGGUAUGAUGAAUGAUAGACAACGCCCAACACUAUCAUAUAUUAUAGACAAAUGCAUGAACCCAUAGAUAGCCUCCCGUAUACACUGACUACCAUUUCUAUUAUUUUUGCCUGCAACUCAACUUCAAAGCUAAGGAAUACUUCACCACAAUACACCAGUGCAUAACUUUUUUUUAUAGGUAGCACCUUUCCACAACUAUUUCUAUUUUCAAAAUUGAAUGCUCGGCACAAUCUCUUAACAAUUUAAUCCAGUGUCCAGAAAUGCUCAAACUGUUAUUCCAAAGUUAUAUGAAACAUUUAGACAAGGCCAGUAACGGUCAAACUGAACUGAAUAUUCUCAUUCCAACCAAUUCAACCGCCUGCAGGGCCAAAUUCAUCUUGAUAGAGUUGGUUUAAGCAAUUAUAAAUUAUAGUACAGUUAAUGUAAAACAAUUAUAAUUUUACCAUAUCGAAGGACAAAAUUUCCAAAAUUUGACACCUUUCUAGGGAUCAUUCAAUUAAUCCAUAUUGGAAAAGAAAAAAAAACUAACCUUUACUCUACCCCAAUCCAUGUUAACAACAGCAAGCCUCUUAGUUUCCUUGUCAAUCUCAGGCACAUCCUCUUUCUGAUUCAGACCAAAACAAAAAAAAUUGCAAAAUAAUUAAAAGCCAUAAAUUCAAACAUCAUACCCAACAAAAAUGCUGUCUUUUUCAUUGUAUACCUGAAUGAAAGUGUCUUCCUCCUCUGAAGAAACUUCGUCCAUUUCAUCAUCAGAAUCAGAAUCCGAAGCGGAAUCGGACGUACUUGCCAGUGAAUUAUCACUUCCCACCUCUUCAUCUUCAUCUUCUUCGGACUCUGAUGAUACGGCGCCAACUUUCUUCAAUUUAUGGUCUUCAAUUUCUUCCUCACUCGUCCCACUGUCACUCUUGGUCUCUUCUUCUUCUUCUUCUUCUUCUUCUUCACUGUCAUCAUCGCUUUCAGAUUCUAACACCUUUAAUUUCUCCUUCUGCCUCUUCUGUUUCUCACCCUGUUCUUCUUUUUCUUCCUCAAUAUGGUAAUAAUGGUUAAGAGGGUUUUUAGCAGAAGAUUUACGGGGUUUGCCUCUAAUAUCAGUCGGUGCUUUUGAUGAUACGAAGUUUUUAUCAGUGAACAUACGAUUAAAUCGAGAAUCAAUGGUAACUUUAGACUUUUUCUGCGGUGGUUCGCGGAAUCUAGGAUCCGAGUGCAACGCCGCAAAUCGAGAAUCAUUGAUGACACUCUUUUCAGUUCUAUUUCCUCCGCCGCUUUCAUCUCCGUCUGCGGAGGAGGCAUCGGCUGGCCUUUUCCCCUUUCUGUUCUUAUUACCCUUGUUUUUUGACUCCAUGAAUACGUUCUUCUUCUCUCUAAAACCCUAAAACCCUGAAAUUUAUUACAUAAUACAGACCGUAUAAACAUGGAAGAAGAAGAAGACGACUUUACAGCUCCAUGAACAUUCAGAGCCCAAUAAGUUCGGCCCAAUUACAUAAGUUGAUGAGCCCAGCACAAAUACUUAACUGGAUCAAAAUCGGAUGACUUACAUAAAUAACCUUGGAAGUUGAUGGUUGCACUUUUGACCUAUUUAAUUAUUUAUCAUAUAUAUGGUAAUGUAUUUUUUGAUGGUUACUUGUACCUUUGUUUGAUUGACUGUUACGUAUUGUUUCAUAAUAUGUCUUGAAUUAUGUUAUAUCUAAUAACAUCUUGCUUAUUGGAUGUUAAAUAAAGUCUAUAUGAUCGAUUUGUGCUAUUGUUUUUAUCUUUUAUUAAAUAAUUUUAGUUAAUAAUUUUUAAAAAUAUUAAUUAAAAUAAAUAUGAUACAUUAUUAUUUUACGUGAUAUGGAUUUGACAUAUCAUUUAUUGUAAGGGCGAGUGAACUACAUGCAAGCUAGAAGAGAUUUAAAAAUCUUAUUUUGAUUGGACCUAAGAGUUCAAUUAAUAAAAGAUUAAGUAGAGGAGUUUAUAAUACAUACUCAUACGAGUACAAUGGUAGCCUUUAUCUAAAAUUAAUAUAUUUAUUAUAAAAUUGAUUCAUAUAUAUUUUUAUUAUUAAACAAAUAGUUCACAUAUAUUAUUUUCUAUGACAAUAAUAAAAAAGAAUAAUUUUAAAUUUAUUUAUUAAGCUUAAAAUAUUUAUAUUUCACUAGACUAGAUUUUAGAAAGCUUAUGUAUUGUAUUAAGAGUCCAUGUAUAUAGUGGUAGAGGUUCACGUAUAGGACUAAGGUCCAUAGAUAUAUCUAAGAUGUAGAGUUUAUAUACACGUUAUACAUUUCAUUGUAAAAGUGAUUUAUAUAAAAAAAAAAUUUAUCAUUUUGCAAAUGACUCGAGUAUAUCUUUAGGUCUAAUUGAAGUGAAAAAAAAAUAUUAAUUUUUCAUUUAUCAAACUCUAAAUCGCUUAAAAUGAUGGGUAUAUGGAGGGGUUUUCCUAUCAUCUUUCCAACCCUAUGUUGUUAACGUUGUUCUACAAAAAACAAAAACUUUAUGAACUCUUAUAAACUUUUUGGUUAAAAAUUAGUUGAUUACAGCUAAAAAAAAUUAAACUUUAGUUUAAAGGAAUCUUAAUCAUCAAUCUCUUUAAUUAGUUUUUUCAAUUCUCAUCAGGAUGGUUGUUAAACGUUAUAUUAUAUUUUAUUAUUAAUUUUAAUAUAAUAUUUAUUUUAAUAAUUACUUACACUUUGAUAGGAAUUAGGAUGAUUGACAUUGUUACAUAUUAUUUCACAAUUGAUUAUAUUAUAUUAUAUCGUAAAACAAUAAAAUUUCAAUCGGUAAAAGCCAGCGCAUCGUAUUCCUAACUACCAAUCACAUCAAUAGUGCAAUAUUUCAGGCUCUUCAAAUUAUUAUAACUAACCAAAAUUAGCCUUAGAUAACAAACAAGCCAUAAUAACAUGAAAAACGGUUUUGAUGUUUCAAUCUCAACUAAUUUACCAGUAAUUGUCUUUUAAUUAAAGGGGAAUUACUUUUUCCUUUCUUUUAAACAGAGUAAGUCUUGUAUAUUUCCAAAGAAAUUAUAAGAUAACCAGAGUUUUUAAUGAUAUGAAUGAAUGUUUGAGUCGAGGACUACUGAAAAUAAUUUUUUUUAUAAAUUACAUUGAAUAUAUUAUUAUUAAACAUGAAAGUUAAAAGAAUCGAUGGCACUAACAAAAAAGAAAAGGAAGGACAUAAAAUGUUUUAGUAAUGCUUCAAAAACACUCGAUUAUGCAUGUUACCAAAUUCACUGUUAGAGCUAAUAUUUUCAAUUUGAGAUUCCAAUAUCCAUUUUACAGAUAUGUCCUUCUCUUUCAAGAACAUCCCUAUAAAUAGCCUUACUAAUUUUUAUUUUUCUUCAUCACAAAUCAUUUAGUUAUUAAUUACCACCACUUAAGCUAGAAACUAUGUCAUCUUCUUCUGCAUUAAUCUUGUUUAUCUCAUUGCUAAUUUUCUCACAAGGGAAUGCACUUAGUUCAAAUUACUACGAGAACACGUGCCCUGAAGUUGAAGAUAUUGUUACACAAGUUGUUACUGAAGCAACAAAAAAGGACAAAACUGUCCCUGCUGCUCUUCUACGAAUGCACUUCCAUGACUGUUUCAUAAGGGUACAUUUUUGCAUAUUUUUAAUCUAAUUAGUACUAUACUUUAUAUAAUUCGUUCUAAUUUUUUUUAUUUGACAUAGGGUUGUGAUGCUUCGGUGUUACUAAACUCAAAGAAAAACACUGCAGAAAAAGAUGGUCCUCCUAAUGUUUCUUUGCAUGCAUUCUUUGUUAUUGAUAAUGCAAAGAAAGCCAUUGAAGCGCGUUGCCCUGGCAUAGUCUCGUGUGCUGAUAUCUUAGCCUUUGCUGCUAGAGAUUCAGUUGUCGUUGUAAGCAAACACUUCUUAUGUCUGAACUGUCUGACCAUCUCAUCUAAAAAUUUAUUCUUCCUGCAUUUCCAAUUAUUAACAUAACGUCUAUGGGCAGUCUGGUGGACCUUCAUGGGACGUGCCUAAAGGAAGAAAAGAUGGAAGAACAUCGAAAGCUAGUGAAACUAUACUAUUGCCAGCUCCAACUUUCAACAUAAAUCGACUCCAACAAAGCUUCUCUCAAAGAGGAUUAUCACUUGAAGACCUUGUCGCUCUCUCAGGUUAUCUAAACAAACUUAUAUACACUUAUAACGUUAAAAAAUAAAUAAAUUACACUAUCAGUGUAUACCUGUCUUACUUUUUGGGGUUACUAAUUCCACUUAUUGAACAAAUGAUGUGUCUCAAUCUUCAGGUGGACACACCUUAGGAUUCUCUCAUUGUUCAUCAUUCAAUAACAGGAUACACAAUUUCAAUACCACACAUGAUGUUGACCCAACAUUGCAUCCAACUCUAGCAGCAACUUUAAAGAGCAUUUGUCCACUGAAAAACAGGGCUAAAAAUGCUGGAAGUCCCAUGGAUCCUUCCUCAACGACGUUUGAUAAUACAUAUUACAAGUUAAUUCUGCAGAAUAAGAGUCUAUUCUCUUCAGACCAAGCUUUGCUCAGUAAUCCCAAGACCAAAAGUCUGGUUACUGAUUUUGCUAGCUCAAAAGACGCCUUCUUUAAGGCUUUUGCUAAUUCCAUGAUCAAAAUGAGCAGCAUAAAUGGAGGUCAAGAGGUCAGAAGGGAUUGUAGGGUGGCUAAUUAAUUAUUAAUCCUUCAAAAUUAAUGAUAAUAUAUCCAGAAAAAUGGAAGCAGUGUGGAGAUUUGUGUUUUAUAUUUUUCUCAGAUUUCAUUUAGCAACUUAUUAAGAACACUUCUACUAUCGGUUGCUACAAAUCAAGUUUACUUACGCUCGGUCUUUGCACCAAAAUCAAUAAAUACACAAAUAUUUUUUAAGUGCACCUUUAUCACUAACCAAACGGAAUUUGUGACUGGUUUAUUACUCCUCCAAGUGGCCCAAAUCUCUACUGUCUACUAGUAGUAAUUUGGAAAAAGUUAGAUAGUAAUGAUCCAAUUCAGGAAAAUCAAAUAGAGGUCCAUAUAAAGGGUCAAACUAAGGGCCACACUAGAUUUUCUUUGAUUUAAAGCUAGAUGUUUUUAGAUCCCACUCUUGUAUGUCCACUGAUAUAAAAAAAAAAAAAUCAAACAUAUCAAACUCCAAUUUUAGUGUAAAUGUAACAUAACAGUUUACACGUAUAAAUUACUCGCUUCAAUUGCGUUACGUUCUUAGCUAAAUUCAUAUAAAUUUCAAGGGUUUAUACAUCUUAUGAGACAACCAUCCGAUAUGAGAUUUUAAUAUCUUUUUUUUUAAAACAAGUUCAUACUUUUAACCAGUAAAAAUCAAUAAGUGAACUUACACAGAAAGAGUAAAUCAACUAAAUCUUGCUUACUAAAACAUGUUUAUAACUUAAUCAUUGAGAAUCCGAGGUAAUUGUUUAGAUAAUUAAAAAAAGAAGUAAAAAGAUUAUUCUCUCUAUCAACUUUUUGACAUUUUGGUUUAUAUAGAAGGCUCUAGCUAGCGGGACAUUGGUGGUGGAGUAAUAAUCAAGUAGAUAAGCAGGAAGAUCAAAUCAUAAUUAUGUGUUAUCAUUGCAAACAAACAAAUAGAUACUAUGCUUCAUACUAAUAGAUAUAAAGCCAUGUGUGAAGUGAUAUUUUACUUGACUACUUACUAUCUUACUCUACUAGGUACCACCUUUUUUUCAAAUUGAAAUGACUAAUGCUGAGAACCAGACAAUUUAGCUUAAUUACAUGCAUAAUGACUUUCCCCCCAUAAAUUUCAAAUGUUAACCACCAUAGUUAAUGAUUAGGCAUAAAGCAGAAUUUCUGCUGGACAGACAAAAAGUAAUGAGAAAAAUAGCAAUUAGAGAUGCUUAGAAAACACUCUACUAUCUAUGGCAAACAUGCAUGCCACCAAAUUUUACUAUUCAAGUUAAUCAUUUCAAAUCUACAAAUCAAAGAAUAAUCACAAAGGUUUGGUUCUCUACCUAUAAGUAAGCAUUUGUAGUUGUCAAAUAACACAAGUCAUAGAAUAGUUGUCCAAUGGCAUACUUUGUUCCAUUAUUGAGCACAUUUAUUUUUUUCUCCAUCUACUAUUCUCAAAGCAAUGCACUUAGUUCCAAUUACUAUGCAAAAACAUGCCCUCAAGCUGAAGACAUAGUAAUGAAGGUUGUUAAGGAGGAAGCACAGAAAGACAGAACAGUGCCCGCUACACUUCUAAGGAUGCAUUUCCAUGAUUGUUUCCUACGGGUAAAUAAGCAUCUUCGCUAAGCAUAUUAGUUAUUUUUACUGUACUUACUUCCUCUGUUCUACCUUGCUUGAAGGGUUGUGAUGCUUCUAUUUUGUUGAGCUCCAAGGGGAAAAACACCGCGGAAAAGGACGCGCCUCCUAAUGGUUCUUUGCACGGAUUCUAUGUUAUUGAUGGUGCAAAGAGAGCAGUUGAAGCUAUAUGUCCUGGCGUAGUGUCUUGUGCUGAUAUUUUAGCGUUUGCUGCAAGAGAUGCAGUUGUGUUAGUAAGUACAUAUCCCCUGCAAAAGUUAUAUACUGAACAUCUCUCUCGUGUUUGGAUGAUGUGGAUUUGCAUAGAGUGUAAUAAAUACUAUAUUGUAUAAGCUUAUUACUAGUUGUUUUUUCAGUCAGGCGGACCUUACUGGAAGGUGCCUAAAGGAAGAAAAGACGGACGAAUAUCAAGAGCUAGUGAAACAACACUGCUUCCAAAGCCUACAUUCAACAUUUCUCAACUCCAACAAAGCUUCCAUCAAAGAGGUCUCUCACUAGACGACUUGGUGGCUCUCUUAGGUCAGCACCAAACUUGAUUUCUUAAAAAUGGUCACUCAACUUACAUCUGAUACGACGAUACAUUUCUUCUCUCUGGCUUGCAGGUGCGCACACUCUAGGAUUUACCCAUUGCUCAUCAUUUAUGAACCGUAUAUACAACUUCAACGCCACACAUGACAUCGAUCCUACACUACGUCCAUCGUUUGCAGCAAGCUUGAAGGGCAUAUGUCCACUCAAAAACAGGGCAAAAAACGCAGGAAUAAGCAAUGAUCCUUCACCAACAACAUUUGAUAAUACUCAUUACAGGCUAAUUCUACAAAAGAAAAGUUUGUUAUUUUCGGAUCAUUCAUUGCUCACUAUACCAAAAACGAAGAGCUUAGUUUAUAAGUUUGCUACCUCAAAAGCAGCUUUUCAUAAGGCAUUUUCUAAUUCUAUGAUUAAGAUGAGUAGCCUUACAGGAGGUCAAGAAGUUAGAAAAAAUUGCAGGGUUGUAAACUAAUUAAUUAUUAUUAAUUCUAAUUUGAUAUUUUUAUGUAAUUUAAAUUAGAUGAAAUGGAAGAGUUGAUCAGUUGUUUCAAAUGUUAUAAUUGGGAAGAAGAAAAAAAAAAAAGAGAAAGGGAAUAGACAAAGAAAGUUGUUACCACAAGUGGCCGGCACAAAGAACACAGCAUCAAAGAUUAGUUCCCUCGCCUUUGAAAAAUAAUAAGUAAUUAAUAUAAAUAUUUUAUCAUUAUUUGAUGUAUAAUCAUUAUUUGAUGUAUAAUUUCAAUUUUUUUUUUAAAAAAAAAUGAAUAAUUACUAAUUGGAGGAGUAAUAUUUUUAUGUAAAAAGAAAUUCAGUGAAUAUCAAACACCCCAUAGACCACCAGUCCCCCAAUAUCAAUUUCCCAAAUAAAUGAGUGACUAAUAUUUGAUCAAUAACUAAAUAAUAGCUCUUAAAAUUCAUAUUUGUACUCCAUGGUUGUACUUUAUAUAAUUGCACUCUAUAGUAUAAUUUGUGUUUGCUAUGGAGUUAUUUUUUUUAUAUUUCGAUUGUCGAUUUCUUUUUAUAUAUAAUUUAUUUUAAAAAAAAUAAAUAAAAAAGACAGUAAUUUCGAUUGCAAUAAAAGAAAUUUUUUUUUGAAAUCACGCACAUUAUAUAUUAGUAGAAUUUCUUUUCUUCUAUGUCUUCUUCAUCACUAAGAACUCCAUUGAAGCUCAGUUUAGAUUGUUGACUAUUGUUUCGAAUUUUGUAUAUUUAUACAGUUUAGGUGCCUCUUUAAUUUGGAUAUAUGAAUUUGUAUAUUUGUAUAAAACUAUAAUUUGUGUAUAUAAUCUUGUAUAUAAGUGUAUAUUGUAAAUAUGUAUAUAAAUGAAAAAUAGAAUUCGUUGUAGUAUACAGUGAAGAUUCGUCCUUAGUUUGGAUGUAUGAUUCUGUAUAUAUACAUUAUACAAACAGAUUUCAAUUUAUGUAUAUGUAUAAGUUUGUGCAAUUGUAUAUGUCUAAAUGAACAUUAUACAAAAGUAUCCUUAUACAAAUGCAUUGUGUAUGUAUAAAACGAGAAUGAGAACAAAACAAAAUAAAAUUGGGCAUGGGAAUAUUUACAUUGUAUAAUUAUUAGUAUAUAAGAUGAAUAUAUAUAUAUUUGCAUGUGUAUAUAUAAUUUUCUCCCGUUUUAUACAAUUGAAAACACAAUUUAUACAUUAUGUUUCUAUUUGUAUUAGCUAUAGAAGCGAGUGUGGUAAGGGAGAUCUGGGAGAGGGUGAGCGAGAUCUGGGAGAGAGAAACGAAAAUAUAUGUAUAUGUAUAUAUAUAAAUUUUUUCGCUUUAUACAAAUACAAAUUAAACGCAUUUUAUACACUUGUGUUUGUAUAAAAGCGAGAGGGAGCGAGUGAGAGAGGGAGAGUGGCGAGCGAGAGUUUGAGAGAGAGAGGCACUGACAAAUAGUUUGCUACAACACACAAUUAAAUCAAAAAUGUGAUUAUAACAUUUAAUUUGAUUUAUUAGUUUGUCAUUAUAUAUUAUUUUCCUAAUCUAUUAUUAAUGAUAUUUUAGAAUUUUAAAUUUUAUUAUUAUUAUUUUAUAUUGAUAUUUAAUACUAAAAAUUGAUUGAAAAUAGUAAUCAUUCUUUUUUUGUAAAAUAAAAAUAAAUAAAAAUUCUUUUAUACGAAACAAGUAAAAUGAAACUGAUAUAGUACCAAAAAAAAGUAGAAAACUGAAAGAAGAGACUCAUUUAGAUAGACUAAUUUUAAGAAAAUCCUAAAAUGGCACCAAUUUGUAACCUUUUGUUAUCUAGAAUUUAGUUUUAAAACUAUUUUUCCAAGAAAUUUUGUGAUUAGGCCCGACUCGAAAUCGUGAUAUAUAGUCCUUAUCAUCCUGCAUAUUCUGGAAGCCACACUCAUAAAAUCUUGUCGAGUACCCAGAAAUCUUAUUCAUCCAUGGCAUUUGCUCACUGCUUCCUUACUGUCCCGGCUGAUACUACAAACUUCCACACCGCUACUUCCAUCCUUACCCGCCCCUUUUCAUCUUCGGUGAGUUCUUCUUUUUCUUCCUCAAACCUCAAAACUUGCAGCCUCUCUAAUUUCCACAAGAAUUUGAGAAUCGGACUCAAAGGUAAUGCCUUUUUUCUCUCUCUGACUGAGUAAAUUGGGUAUUUCAGUAGAUUGCUAAUUUGUUUUUUUUCCCUGUGUUUAUCGUAGAUAACGUUUACUAAUUCAAUUUAGUGAUGGUAGUUAUUGAGUUGAAAGAAUUGAAAUCUGGUGGUUGUUAAUUUGAAAACCUUGAAAUUCACGCAACUGUUUCCUUUACCCAACUUCAUUGUGCGUCUAUGCUAUUACCGGUUAACGUCACUGUAAAGUUCACCAUCCUACUAUGGUUUUCUAGGCCGUUAGGUAUAAAUUCUCUUAUUUACUUUUUUUUUUUAUAAAAAAGAAAGGGGGUUGGGGUAAUGGAAAGGGGAUUACAAGGUGAGAAAUUGUACCCUCGCCAACUAGGUGAAAGUUGAGGUAGCCAACUAGGGGUCUUUUGAUCAAUUAUCUGCUUUUCUAGGUUAAACAAUGUAUAGGCUUUAUACUAUCCAAUGAACCAAAGGACUCUUUUUAAAAAGUGUGAAGCUAUAGAGAUAUAUGGAACUUUUAGUUUUGUGAAGAUUUGUUGCUGCUUUGUAAAAUUUCGUGGGAGAGGAUGUGUCUUAUCUGAAGUGUUUGAUUGGGCCAUAUUAGCUUUAUAGAGAACAAUAGUAGUAAUCUUCAGUUGUUACUUGAUGUCUACUUUUUUUGAGGAUUAUGAAAGAGUCGCUUAUCCAAUCAUACGACUAGCAUUUUCUUUGUCUUUCAAAAAGUGGACCUUGGGAACUUAUUAUUGCUAAUUUCUCCAGUAUCUGUUAAGGCUCAAGCAUCUGAAGACAGCGCAGCAGCAGAUGCUUUCACCAACUUCAAGCAUGUACUGUUACCAAUUACAGACCGGAAUCCUUAUCUCUCUGAGGGUUCAAGACAGGUCUACUUCUUUUCUACAUUUUCCUUCUUAGUAUUGGUGCUUAAACAAAUCAGCCCUUGCCUCCUUUAACUUAAUCCUAUGGGAAUUAUGGAUUUCCAACUAUUUAAGCCUCUUAGUUUGCAUUUUUUUUUACAAAAAAGAAUUAAUUUCAUUUUCCUAGUGUCAUAUUUGAAUUCUGAAGUAGAUGGUUGAUGGAAAAUUGUGAGAUCCUCCAUAAAUGUAAUAUGUGGUGAACUUCAUUCACCGUAGAAUUAUGUGACCGGUUUUGAUUCCUCACUAGCUGUUGUUAACUGUAGCCAAAGACAGAAUUACAUCUCACCUCGACUAUUUGUGGGGAGAGGGGGAGGACUUUAAAGGUGGAGGUUCGGGUGACUCUUAGUGGGAAAGCGGCAGGUGAGGAGAGGGGGGAGGGGCAAGAUUUACAGUUCUUUUGAAACUUUAUAGUGGUCAUGGUGGGUUAAGCAGACAGAGGGAGAAACUAUUGACAAAUAAAUAAUGUUAGAAACUUAGAAGGAUAUUAACUUAACCGGACAGAAAACUGUAGUGGGUUGCAAGUGCAGAAGAAAUUUAAAUGGGGCGUGCUGAUGGCACUAUACUGUUAUGGAGAUAGCUCCCAGUGGCAAACCCACUGCCUCCAUUGCCAUUCUUAUAUGGAGUUAACUACCAAUUUAGCAGUUUGAGCUGUUUGCAUGUUAUAACCACCUAAUUUAAAUAGGUGUAAACUGUAAAGGUUUCAAUAAAAUGAUGUGCCCUUUUGGUUCUGAGAAAAGACAUAUAUUGGCUAAUCUUGGAACAAAUUAAGUGGACUGUAUCAGCACCUUUUGUCAAACUGCAUUAUUUAUUUCUUUUGUCAUCUUUCUUCCCUUUUUCUUAUUUGAACAUUUUCUCAUCAUACCUUUCUCUAAAAUGCUUAUCCGAACCUUUUUAAAGACUCAACUUAAGCUUAUCAUACAUAAUUGGGUUUCCUCUUCUUCGUGUUCUAUUGAUUAGAAGCAUCCAGCAAUGCCUCGCCAGUUUAGAAUUCGAACAAAAAAUGGCCAUAGUUACUCAAUUCACUGUGAACUUUAUAAACAUAACUUAUUCUUGGUACAUUAUCAGGCUGCAGCAACUGCCGCUGCUAUGGCAAAGAAGUAUGGAGCUGAUAUAACAGUUGUUGGUAUGUCACCGAUGUUGUGUACUAUCGGUUCUUUCAAAAGCUAAACUACAGAGUUGACUUUCUUGGUACAGAAACUUUUAGUGGUAGAUUUCAAGGAAUCUAUGUUUUUCUGAUCUUUGCAGUUAUUGAUGAAAAGGGGAAAGAAGCAUACCCAGAGCACGAGACACAACUAGCAAGCAUCCGAUGGCAUUUAGCUGAAGGUGUAUUUACUGUUUUUCCCUGCAUUUAAUAAGUAUGAAUCAGUUGAUGGAUUGUGAUUUGCAACCUGGAUGGGUGCACUAGACUUGCAAAACAACUGGCUUUUUGCAUGCAAGCCUGUAGCACAGAGUAAUUUUGGGGAACUUUCAGUAUUUGGCUUGCAUUAUGAGACAGAUUCUUCUAUCUUAUUAUAACAUGGUUAUUUCAUUUUUCUGCUACGGAGGUUUUGUUAUGUGAGUCUGCAGCUAUUUGAUCAUGCAGCACAGCAUCCUGGUACAUGGAGAUAGGAAUGUUGAAACAUGUUCUGUUUGCUUGUAUGUUGUAUAUGCUUUGGCCUACUUCUCAUUAUACUAACUACCUUGAACUCGUUCCUCACUCUUACUUUUACAUUUGUUUGGUAUAUUUGCUGAUUGGAAUAUGCAAACCUUUGUACAGGUGGAUAUCAAGAAUUCAAGCUGUUAGAGCGGCUAGGUGAAGGAAGCAAGCCAACAGCCAUUAUUGGUGAAAUUGCUGAUGAUAUGAACUUGGAUAUGGUAGUUAUGAGCAUGGAAGCUAUCCAUUCCAAGCAUGUAGAUGCAAACCUUCUUGCUGAGUUCAUCCCUUGCCCUGUAUUGCUUUUGCCCCUAUGAAGAAGAAAUGUAUCUGAAAAGCCAGUGGUGCUCGGUUUUAGGAUCAGGGAUAUUAACCUUUUGAUACUGUUCUCUACUUCAUUGACCAUGAACUCAAGUUUUACAUUUGUGGUAAGUGGUAAUAGAACAGAACAAACAAGCUGGUUCAUUGCUAUUUGCUUCUUAAUCAUGUGGAGAGAUAUGAAUAUGUUGUUUACUCUUUGAAGUAUACACUUGUUCAGCUUGAAAGUAGAAAAGAUUUUUUGCCUUUAUACUGAAUUACCGACUGAUAUUAUCUUUGAAUUUGUAACUUGACUUAUUUCUUAAUACUUAUCAAUUAUCAUAUGACUCCUGUUUAAUCAACUGAAUUACUAAGAAUUAGGAAUGAAGAAUAAUGUUAAGACAUUGAUAUAUCCCAACUGUGCUGGAUAUUUUACAAGCCACAUAUAGUGAAAACAAAAGGAAUUGAAGGCACAGCAACACUACUACUUCAGUGCUACUAUUCUGCUGAGUAGAUAGCAUUAUUAUUAGUGAUUAGUAAUGAGAGUGGUUUUGUUGCUGGAAUUGCUGUAGAAGGAGUUAAAAGGCCUUGGCAGCGUGGCCUCGCAGGAUUUGCUGGUGAUAGAUAACAGCAGCCAAUGCUCCCAGAAAGGGUCCAACCCAGAAGAUCCACUGUACAAAAACAGAUUAGGAAAUGUAUAUAUGAGAUUGAUUAGCUUUAAUUAUAAGCCUAGCUAGCUAUAGACAGCUUGAUGUAGAAUUAUCGUGCUUACAUGGUCAUUCCAAGCCGUGGUAUCGUUAUAAAUGACAGCAGCUCCGAAACUCCUAGCAGGAUUGAUGCCAGUGCCAGUGAUGGGAAUGGUGGCCAAGUGCACCAUAAACACUGAGAAUCCAAUUGGCAAUGGUGCUAGAACCUGUGGGUGCACAAACGAUGAACAUCUUUUCUUUUACUGGACUUCGUAAGUAUCCCCAUCCAUAUCAAUCUCUCAACACUCUCUUCCUUUUUUUUCAAUUAUGUCUUGUUAGUGUUACAUCCAUAGUUUUCAACAGUUAUGAAUAUUAUAGGGGUUGUAUGCGUAAAUAUGUCAAUUUUAUAUCGUGGUGCCCAGGUCAAUUUCUGCAUUUGGUUCCUUCCAUCAUAUCACUAUUAGGUAACUCUACCCGUCAACACUUGGUUUAUUUUGUUUCUGUUAGGAUUUUAAGCCUUGUUCUCUAAAAUUUACACACUUGAUAUUUUCUUGCUGUGUAUAAGACUUAAAACAUUUUAUAAAAGAAUCAAACAAAGUUGGUAAAUAUAUAAAAAUAGAUUCUAAGUUUGUCCACUUAUUUGUCAUGGUUUCUAUUUUUAAAGUCAAAUUAUAAGAAUUUUGACUAACAUUUUAAGAUAUAUUUUUUAAUAAUAUUAAUAUGCAAAAUAUAUAUAUAAUUUUUGAAUAUCUAAAUUUUUUGUUUAAAAUAUCAAACUAAUGUAAUCUAAGUUAAAUUUGAAAAUUAAUCGAAUUGACUUUUGAAAAGCGUAACAAAACUAAUGUAAUUUAAGUUAACUUUGAAAAUUAAUUGAAUUAACUUUCUUUCGAAAAGCAUAACAAAACUAAUGUAAUCUUUAAAAGUUAAUCGAAUUGACUUUCGAAAAGUGCAACAUGACAAAUAUAAAUAAAUAUAUGUUUCUAAUUUAUACAUAGGAAUAAAUUUUAUAAAUCAAUGUAUUUUAAUUUAAACUAUGGUAACUCUUGUGAAGUUACAUAUAAUUCGAAUGACAUGUAAUAUAUAUAAUUAAUAGAAGAAAUCAAGACUUGGGAAAUUUGUAAUCCUUGAGUAGUCCCAACUUUUCUACGCAUUUGAAAACUUGCAGGGUUAAACAUUUUAUACCAUUGAUGUUUCCAAAUUCAGUAGUGUAUAAUUAUUUUUGGAAACGAAGUAAAAGUGUGUGAUAUGAAUAUGAGUAUGGAUGAGACUUACUGGGACGUGUGAAUCACGUGCUUUCCUUUUGGCGUCGGUGGCGGAAAAUACGGUAUACAUGAGAAGGAAAGUAGCAAUAAUCUCAGCACCUAAUGCUGCGCCCGUUGAGUAGCCAACUGCGACGGUAUUAGCACCGCCACCAUGCUUCGUAUAAUCAUCCUUCAUCACACCUUUCACUAAACCAACGCCGCAAAUGGCUCCUAAGCACUGCGCCACCAUAUACGCCACCGCUCUUAGUAAUGACACCUUCCUUGCUAGUAAUAACCCAAACGUCACUGCCGGGUUUAUAUGCCCACCUAUAUAUUAUACGUACAUUUUUAUUCAUAAAUCGUUGUUUAUAUUUAAAGUGUUUAAAUUCUACGUACCAGAAAUCCCAGCAGUGGAAUACACGAGAACAAAAAUCAUGCCACCAAAAGCCCAUGCAAUACCAACAAGUCCAACGCCAUCGCAGGGACCAAGUUGCUUCUUGUGGCCGAUAACAGUAGCCACGCUAACGUAGAGGAAAAGAAGCGUCGCGACAAAUUCAGCAAUCAAGGCUCUGUAAAAAGACCAGUUGUAGAGCUCCGCUGUUUGAAACAGCGGAGCUGAAGGUGGAUCAACGUAGUCUUUCACCAUAUCUUAUUAUUAGUGUGUUACUACUAUGAUUGCUGAAGGAGAGUGAUGCUACACGUUGGGUAUUUAUAAAAUUAAAAAACAGAGGUUGUGUAAUGGUUACAACUUACAAGUUAAAAGGUGUGAAUAAAUUGAUGCAACAAAUUUUAAAAAGGAAACAACAACACAUGCAUAUAUAUAUAUAUAAAUAUAUAUUUGGACACUUACGUAAACCUUCCAAAGUUCCAGUCUGACGUUAACUUGUUACCAAAAUAAUAACUGCAUGAACAGUAGUAAUAUGGUACAAUAUUAUAGAAAUUUGAUUAGAUUUUAAAAAAAAUAAAAUUACUUUGAUAUUUUGAAAUAAAUAUGAUAGGAAAUAACAAUAAGACAUAAUAAGUUUUUGACAAACAAAAUAAUGACCUACUUGAUGAAAAUUAUAACGAAACAACUCAUUUUUACAAAGUAAUAAAAAGAUAGAGAAAAGUUAUGACUUUGUGUCUUAAUAUUUAUUAAAAUUAGGACAACAAUUUUUGUAUACUAAAGAUAAAAAAAAAUUCUAAAGUAGUGAAUAACCAUAAUGAAUAAAUAUUUUAUCUCAACUAAAGAUGAUUUAAAAAUAUUAACAAAAGUUGAUAACUCAAGCGUAUUAGUGGCUUAAAAUAAAAAUUAAAUGGAGCUUUAAAUUUAAUUGUUAAUAUUUUUUAUAUAAUUUAUUUCUUCUAGUCUUCAUCUGAUAAUAUUAUUAUUCUUAUUUUAAAUUAUUUUUUAUUAGAUGUAGUACUCCAAAUAUGUCAAAUUUCUUCUAAUAAUUUCUUAAUUUUUUCAUGAAAUGUUUACUUUUUCUACAAAUAACUUAUAACCUAUCAUUAUAAAAAAUAAGACCCCUUAAAUUUGUGAAUCUAAGAUACAUAUUUUUUUUUUUAUAAUAUCGAACCACCCUUUUCAUUAUAGUUUCACAUUCGAAAACCAUCGAUGCAUUUAAGAGGUCGUACUGUUAGGUAAUAAUAGUGCACUAACAUCAUUAUAUAUAUACUUUAAUAAAUCUAUUUUAAUACUAUUUGAGCUAGUUGAUCAACCUAUUCUGUACAUGGUAUGUUUGUCUUUCUUUUCCCUGUGACUACUAGAAUUUCUUUAAAAAUAUACUCCCAAAAUAUGAGGACUCCUCUUACAGGCCUCCUAUAUUAUGAAUUAAAAUAGUUGUAUACUCCAUUGAAAUUAAAAGAAGUUAAGGACCCACAGAUUCUUUUCCUCAACUCCAAGAUUAUUCUAUUUUGAUCACUACACUAAAAAAUAAAGUUUUCAAACUGCCAUUUAUAGGUAAUAGCUAAUACUGUAUCACUUAGCUAGGAGGUCAGGGAUACCCGAUCAAUAAUCUCAAAAAAAAAUGUAUCUUAAAUAGUGUAUAUCAUUUUUUAGACAUUUUUAGUUAUUACAACUUGGACUUUUUUUUGUUGUUGGAUUUUUCUUUAGCUUUCAGGAGGUUCCCAAACUUUAUAAUUUUUAAUAAUAAAUUACUUGAUAUGUCUAUAUGUUAUUUAGUUUAGAAUAUUAAUGUCUUUACUAGAAAUGUUUAUAGAUUAUUUUUCAUAAUACGCUCAUUUAUGUUAUAGGUUAUAUAUACAUUCACAUUUUAGGCUAUUACAAACGACUUCAUUUUUUGUGAAUUUAGACAGAAUAAUAAUCAAUAAUUAUUAUUUUAUAUAUACUUAUCAAUAGAUCGAUGAAUCUAAAACAUCAUACACAUAUUAACCUUUCUUUUUUCGUACAAAUAUUAUUAUAUGUCUAAACGAGCGUACUAAAAAAAUAAUACUAAUACUAGUACUUCAUUGAAAAAGAUAUUUGGGGACCCGCUGAUUAAUUCUUUUCCUCAACCCCAAGAUUAAUCUAUUUUGGUUACCAAAUUAAAUGGCUUUUCAAGCUGGCAUGCCUUAUAUAUACAGCAUAAUUAGCUACCUACAUGUGAAGAUAGACAUAUAAAAUUAACUUAUGACCCGUUUGGAUGGGCUUAAUAAAAGCAGCUUUAAAAAAGUACUUUUAAAAGUGCUGAAUAUUAUUUUUAAAAUAAGUAGUUAUGCGUUUGGAUAAAAGUGCUGAAGUUGUUAUGUCAAACGUGAAAAGGGAUAAAUGGAACAAAGAAUGUUAUAUGGGUAAUUUGGAGAUUGUAUAAAAAUAUUAAGCACAAAAAGAUAAAAAUAUGGUCAACUUAAAACAGCUUAUAAGCUAAAAAUAAAAAAACACUCCUACCCCAGCUUUUAACUUUUGGCUUAAAAUAAGUUUUUUUUAACUUAAAAUAAGCUGUUUUGAGUAUUGUCAAACAGCUAAAUAAAUCAAAAACCAGCUUUUAAGUCACUUUGACCAACUUUUAAGCUGAGCCAAACAAGCUGUUAAUUGUGUGGCUACCUCUUUUAUUUUAAUGGGCCUCGAAACUUGUAAAAAAAUAAUGAGGAAUUUAAUGAGUAGACAAGCAAAAUCUGGAAAAAAAUGCCUUGUACACUUUGUGUUCUUAUGCUUUUUUCACAAAAUUAAAAUUACUGCUUAGGCGGCCUUAGAGAAUAAUAUAAUCUCAAUAAUGCAAAUUACAAAAGGCUGGUUCUCGUACAUACAAAGUAACAAAAACCUUUCCAUUGUUAUUUUUUUUAAUAUAAAAGAUACCAACUUCCAAAAUUAUUGAACUCAGAUGAAUCUAUAAAAUAUCGCUAAGUCCACACUUAAACAUAAGCCAAAUCAAAUAGACACACGAAAAAAAAUUACCAUAAAUUUAUGUUUUCAAUACAUGACUAUGAGCCAGACUUGAAAUCAAAAUUAACUAUUAGGUUGGCACAAUUUGAAAAUCUUAGAACCCGUUUGGCCCCAAAUAAAAGGAAAAUGCACAAGUAUCCUCUUAAUCUAUACUUUAAAUUUUAAAGACACACUUAUGCUAUAUUAAUAUUCUAUUACCCCUGAACUUAUUUUAUUAAUAAUUUUCUAUACCUUUUCGACCUACGUGGAAAAGGGGUAGAAAAUUAUUAAUAAAAUAAGUUCAAAAGGUAAUAAGACUUUAAUAUAAUAUAAGUGUGUCUCUCAAAUUUCGAACAUAGAUCAAGGAAUGUUUGUGCAUUAUCCCAAAAACUUAGCUAGUGGUGUUUGACUACAUAACUUUGAACAAAUAUAUUUGAUUAUUUGUCAAGAAUUUCAAAUAAUUUGUUUACUCCUGAUAUAUCUAUAAAACAACACGAGUUAAAAGAAAAUUUGUAAGGAAGAGAUUGUUCUUAUAAUAAUAGAGGGAGACUAUAUAAAGGAAUAAUUUGUUACUAUCUUCUUGGAAAAGUUCGAAUUUUAUUUUAAGUGGCAAAAUGAGAAAAAAGAACAAUUUGUUCUUAAUGGGGUUACAAUUAUAUCCGAUUUAAUAAUAAGUUUGAAUAUUGAUUAAUGUAUUACUCUUGCGUAUGCCGUUAUUUUGUUAUUGUUGAUUGCUAUUAAUUAUGUUAUGAGAUUAUUAUUUAACGGAGCAUAUUUCCUAUAAAGAUAAUACAAAAUUAUGGAUAUUUUAAAUAAUUUUUAGAAGAUAUUGAAAUAGUCAAAUUUUCUCGGGAAAACUUGGGGCCAAACGUCAGCUUAAAUUCAUCUUGUAAUUAAUGUGCAACAAUUGGUAAUGUCAAAGGGUGUUUGAAUUGACUUAAAAGUAGGUUGAUUUUUACUUCUGAAAAUAUUUAGCAAAUAUAAAAAAUAAGUUAAAGUAAAUCAAAAAUGACUUCAAAUAAGAUAAAAGUUUGACAAGGUUAAAAAUAACUUAAAUAAGUCAAAAAUCAAAAAUAUAUUUUUCAUAUUUUUUAGUUUUUUUGAUGUAAAAGUCAUUUCAAUUUUAAUCUUUUUUUUUUUUGUACUUAAAAGGAACUUUUUUUUUUUUAAAAAAAAAAAGAAGCUAAAAUGAGCUCGUAGUCUUAUUUCUGAACCGUCUAGUAAAUGGGACUUUGUCAUCCGGGUUGCCUCCCUCCUUCACCAAACCCGUUUACAGAUUUUGUAAACUUUGCUGUUCUGUCCAAAAUUUGCAAAUUCUCUUCGAACAAAGGGCCAAUCAAUGUUGGACCAAUUUUGUAAGUCCACCCAAUAUCCCAAACAAAUUGGGCCGCCUUUUGUUAGUUCAAAUCAAGGUACAUGAAGUUGAGUUAUUUAUAUUAUUCUUUUCGUAUCAAAUCACUUUAUAUAAUAUAAUUUAAUUUUUUAAAAUUAAAUAGUACAUAGCAUAUGUAAAAUUAUUGAUAGUGCCAUUACAUAGUCCGGAUGAGCUGACUAACCUUUUCUAGUAACUUUGGUUUAGCUAAUAUGGCUUAUGGUAACGAGGAGUCUGUUCUCCCACAUCGAACAGAUGAAGACAACGUUCCAGGAAGGAUACCUAUAAAAAUCGAUAGCAGAUUGUGGUGAAAGUUAUCUUUGCGCUUGGGGCAAUGACGCAGCUAGUGAGGUUCUAACCGAGGCGCGUCUAUUGCUGGUUGAAAACUAUUUCCAAACCCCCUCAUUGGCCUGGGUUUUGCCUUGGCCAUUGAGAAUUUUUGAAAGGGCUUCCCUUCUGGGUUAAGCCCUCCAAUUCUAGUCUAAUUUUUUACCUUCUUUCAAAGCCAAGCCAAAAACCACUUUUUUCUUU
rnacentral:lncRNA from 1 species